rnacentral:lncRNA from 1 species
UAGCUCCUUCAUGAAUUGGAUAUCAAACAUGGUGAAGGGCCUCUCCAAAACAAAUCAAGAUGUGGCAGGCUCUCCCUCACUUGCUCUCACUGGUCCUGGUUCUGGAAAUGAGCAUCUGGAUGGUUCAUUUGUAGGUGGCUUUCAAAACCUGGAUGCUAAUUGUGGGAAUAUGGGUUUUAAAUCCCUUUUUCAAUCUAUCUAUUGUCUGAAUAAAACUGCUCAAGAAUCGAGGGUACUUCUGCUUCCUAGUCAAGCGGGAGAGGGAUCUACAAAAACUGAGCUGGCUAACAAGAUAUGUGCUAAAGAUGUGCACCCAUUGACAUGUCUAGCAGAGAACAACAACCCAUGCAAGAAGCUGCUGCUGCAUUGCAGAAUGUUGGAUGAAUCUGCUCCUGAAAUUGGAACAGGUGGUCCAAAUAUUACUCAGGUUUUGGAUGCAAGAUUUGCCGUCUCUCAGGAGAAUUGUGAAAAUCACUCUACAAAGAAUAAGAAUCUCGACAACUUGGAUAACAGAAGUAAUAAGAACUCAAAAGAUUCAUCCAACUCUUCUUUGGGGGAACAUAACUCAUUAAAAGCUGGUAAGGAUCAUUCUUAUUCUUCAGAAGAGAAGAUUAGUAAUCUUGGCUGCAGAAAUGAUUCUCAAAGAAGCUUGUGGAUAACUCGUUUUUCAUCAAGGACCUCUUGCUCUAUACAAAAGCAGGAUAUCUGUGUCCAGAGUAUGGGUGGAACAAUCGAGGAUUCGGGGAAUUUCAUGAGAAUUACAGCUCAUUCUAAGCAAUCUUUUGGUUGUCACCCAGAUCCAACGAAGCUAGAGGUCAAGGAUUGUAACAGUGAAGAACCAUCUGGUGUUGGAAAAGAACCACAAGAUUGUGCUGCUGGUGGUGAAGCUUCCUUUGGUUUCAGAAAGCUCCAGAAUAGUCAUGAUCACCAUAUGAUACAGAAAGUGAACUGUAUUUCAUCUUCUCAGAGACUAAAAAGUUCCGAGGAAAUGGCAUCAUUGUUUGCUCGAAGAUUGGAUGCCCUGAAGCACAUUAUCCCAACAAAUUCACUAGAUGGGGGUGCUGGAUGUAGUGCAACUUGUCUCUUUUGUGGAAUUAAAGGUCAUGGUCUCCACAAAUGCUCAGAGAUAGCAGAAGCUGAGCUAGAAGACCUCCUGAGGACUGCCAAAUCAUAUCAAGCAGUGGAGGAAAUGACUCCUUUAUGCAUUAGAUGUUAUCAGCUCAAUCAUUGGGCUAUUACAUGUCCAAAUGUUGUUUCAAAAUCGAUGCUGCCGGAGGAUUGUAGUUAUGUUGUUAAUCACCGCUGUUCUGAUAUAUCACAGCUUCAGAAUAAACAAAUGUACCAAAAGAGUAACCUUAUAGAUAGUUCUAAUGGAAACUUGAAAUUGAAGGAAGUACCAAGCUCUGACAAAGAUAUUCCUAACCCAAGCUGGAUUAGGAAAUGGAGUGCUUUGAGCCCCCUUCAAAAUUGGCUGAAAGAGAAUGUGAUCACACCGCCAGGAAAUUUCAGUGAAUGGCAUAUAUCAGAUGUGCCUAAAGUGAUCUUUGACUCGAUAAAGAUGCUUCGACUGUCUCGGACCAGUAUCCUCAAGUAAGUAAAACUUUUUUCUUCAUAAUUUCUUUGAAUGAUGCAGUUGGCAAAAUACUAGUUCGUGUUCAAUCAUCAGGCAUGGUGGUUACUGUUGGUUACAGAGUCUUGGUUUUGGUGAAACCUCUUAUGCAGGUAGAUCACAUUUUCAAAGACAAUGCCUAGAAUGUCCGGGAGAGUUGAGGGUUACAGCAAAACUAUUUUUUAGUGAAAACUGCAUGAUAGAUCAAGUACUCUGUAUGCCAUGUGAACAUUUAUGUAAACAUAAGGGAGCCUGACAAGAAAAUGACCUCUUAGAGUGUGAAAUUUGCUAACAAAACAACCAACUGCUUGGAUGGUUUGCCAGAUCGUGUUAUGUUAUUAUCGUCAAAUAUUAUUGAAACUUGAGCAGAAUUAUGAUCAAACUAUUUUCUAUUGUCAUUCCUUGUAAUUUGCAGCAUAUAAAGUUGCAGUUAUAGUAGAGAGAAACAUGUAUGAGUUCUUAGUGUCUGACAUCAUCCCUUUCUAUUUGGGAUGUCUAUUUUAAUUCUCUGAAGUGGAACGAUGAAGAUGACCAUAGUCACAGCUUCAAGAUGAAGACUGCGAGCUUUUGGGGUGUUAUUUUUCUUUUUCUUUUUUUUUUUGGAGGGGGGGGGGGGGGGAGGGGUUAGGGAGGGAGGGAGGCAACCCAAGGAAAAUGAAAGAGUAGGACAAAUUUUUUUAGUUAGAGAAUGGAUUUAGGGUUUUCUGUGGGAGUUUUUCCAGUGCUUUGUGAAGGGACCUCUGUGUGGGAUUUUCAUCGAGACAUCGUUGGUCUUAGAUGGAACUCUUUCUCUGUCCUUUGCAUUUUAGGUGGAUGAGUGCCCAGACAUCCCCGGUGCACCUCGAUGGAUUCUUUCUGCGCUUACGUCUUGGAAAGUGGGAAGGACUUGGACGAACUGGUUAUUAUGUAGCUUGCAUAACUGGUACAACUCAAAAUCACUCUUUUCAUCUGUUAUAUUUCAUAUAUUCUGGCCAAGUUAUGUUCUGAAUGCACAUUUUCCGCAUCUGGAUGCUGAUUAGCUGUCGGCUGUUGUGAAUCCAUCUGCUGUCUCCAUUUUGAGAUUGUGACAUGCGUCCGCUCAAUUCCUCACCUCAUCACAUCCAAUCUAAAUCCUACAAAACCCUUAGUUUUCUCUCUCCCCUCUGCCUGCUGUCACCACAGCUGAAGUUGCCAAUGCUACACUCAGGACCAGCUACUGCCACAUAUCAGGACAUGUAGCCGCUGUGCAACUGCUGUCAAACCCUGCAGCCAUGGUCAAGUUGCUGCCGCUGCAAGAUCUAGAGGCAUGCCUCGAGAUCUGGGGGCUUGGCAUCCAGGGCCAAGGCAUAGCUCACACCGACCUCAAACAGAAAAAACAGAGGCAACCUAGCUCGAUGCUGGUGUCCAUGGCUGAGGCUUAGCUCGAGGCUUAGGCUCUGUUCAUUGCCAAGGCUUAGCUCUGUGUCCAUGGCUUGGCAUUGGUGGAUGAGGCUUAACUCGACGCCGUGUCGAGUGCUGCCAUUGGCAACGAGCUCGAGGGUGGCAUCGAGCUCAAAUGGAGUGAUUUUAAGAAAUAGGGAUGGGGGCAUGCAGAGAGAGAGAGAGAGAGAGAGAGAGAGAGAGAGAGAUAGAUUUUUGAUCUACCAUGGGUGAGACUAAAGUGUGGUGGUGUGGUGCCGUGUGUUUUUUCGUGCUUGGAGAGAGAGAGAGAGACUAAAGUGUGGUGGUGUGGUGCCGUGUGUUUUUUCGUGCUUGGAGAGAGAGAGAGAGAGAGAGAGAGAGAGAGAGAUUUUUGAUCUACCAUGGGUGAGACUAAAGUGUGGUGGUGUGGUGCCGUGUGUUUUUUCGUGCUUGGAGACAGAGAGACAGAGAGAGAGAGAGAGAGAGAGAGAGAGAGAGAGAGAGAGAGAUUUUUGAUCUACCAUGGGUGAGACUAAAGUGUGGUGGUGUGGUGCCGUGUGUGGUGCCGUGUGUUUUUUCGUGCUUGGAGACAGCAGAUGGGACUAUAUUAGGGGACAGCAUGCAUCCAAUCCAUCAAUACCCUAAUCUGGGAGGGAGAGAGAGAGAGAGAGAGAGAGAGAGAGAGAUUUUUGAUCUACCAUGGGUGAGACUAAAGUGUGGUGGUGUGGUGCCGUGUGUUUUUUCGUGCUUGGAGACAGCAGAUGGGACUAUAUUAGGGGACAGCAUGCAUCCAAUCCAUCAAUACCCUAAUCUGGGAUCCUUACCAGAGGUUUUUGGUAUCUGGAACUUAAUGUGCAGGAAUGCAAGGAGAUAAGUCAUCCGGUAGAAAUCCUAUUUCUGUGAACAUUGGUGGAGCCAAAUUCCUCGUUGAGAGUCAAUACAUCUCCAACCAUGAUUUUCUUGAGGUAAUAACUUAACUCAUUCCUCCUUCACUAAUUUCCCUGGGGUGCUUUCUUUUCUUCCUCUUUUUCUUUUCGUUUUGCAUAAAUCGUCAGAGGAACUUCCUCAGAAUUUUACGAGUUUUGAAGGCAUCCAUCAUAACAAUGUUGAAUACACUCUGGAACUUUGCUCCACUUCUGUUGUUUCGCAUCUUGUUUUAUCCAUUCUGUGGCAGCAGUAGUAUUACCCGACAAUUGAUUUUCCAGUUGCACUUUAGUGUGGUAAAUUGUUUUGCUACGUGGGCAUCUAUAACACAAAUGAAUCUAGUUAUAGAUGGUUAUAUUGAUGAUUUAUAAUUGAGUGAGACGGACAUUCCCCAAGAUUAAUUUAAUUUGUUGAAGGUGAACCAUGAAGGUGUUUGUUUGUUUGUUUUUAUUUUUUAUUUUUUUUAUUAUUAUAUAUAUAUCUAGCAACAGGAGGUAUAGAACGAGAAAUGUUUGCACGUGAUAUCAUGGCAACAGGAGAUCACUUUAGACAUAGAAGAAACAAAAAAUGAAUAAAUAAAAGGGACCCCAUUUAGACUAGGAGUGAUUCAUGGACUAAUAACAGUGUCGCAAUGUGGUAAAGACUCAACUUCUUCGAGGACAAGGUCGGUCUACAUAAAAGAACAUAAAUGGCUGGAACAGACAAAAUAUGUUAUCAUCAUUUGAUUGGGACAUCAUAAUUAAGGAGAGAAGUCUGUGAACCUUCAGAAUUUUCAUCUUACGGAAGUGGCUUGUAUCAACAAAGUAUAAAGCCUAUGAAAGACAUGGAUGAAUUCUUUAAAUGAUGAAAACUCAAGAAGAUGUUGCUGUUUCUUGGGAGCUUUAGAAGAGGACCCAUUUUUGGGGCAAGUGAUGUUGCAAACCAGACGACACAAUCAUCCAGCCUUUUUCUAUUUGAAGCAAAAUGGUUUACUCUUGAUAUUGUCAUGGUUAUUGACUCAUCAAUCUAAAUAUAUCGAGGCUUUAUGCUUAAUAUUUCACUAUUGGUUUUGUUGGUGGUCUCGCGGGUCGUGUAGUAGCUAAAUCAUCCGGUGUGUCCAACAACUAAAUGAUGGUUUCGCAUGCUAAGCUUUUUCUACUGGGUGACUUCGUGUUCUUUAUGUAUUUAUAAGAGUGGCAGAGUUUGUGACGAUCUCGUCUACCGUUUUUUAGCCCAUUAAAUUGCAAAUGAGAUGCUUGACAGGAGAAAGAGCUGGGAAUAAAAAGAGGAUUAUUGUUGGACAGGACUCUUCUUUUUCCUCUUUUUUCUAAUGCCUUUCCUUUGCCUAUUACUCUUCGUAGGAUGAGUUAGUAGCCUGGUUGCGUAUGACGUCCCGAGCCGGCGGCAAGAUUCCAUCCGAGGAAGAUCUGAGGAUGAAAGUGGAGGAGAAGAAGAGGCUAGGGUUUUGAAGCGCUCGUGCCAUCUCUGGAGCCAUCUGAAUUUCACCAUUUGAGAUUUGAAGACGAGAGGAAGUCCAAAUCCGACUUGUAUAUAGAAUUUUGACGUUUGCUUAGUUGCUCAAAGAGUUUUAUGCAUUCAUCGGAAAAAAAGAAUUGUUUUUCAUAUGUUAAUGGAGUCUCACAAUCCUUUGGAAGCUAUGUAAUUUUUGUUUUGUAGUAUAGAAAGGGGAUUGGAUGGGAUUAGAACCUUACCUCACCGUUAGAAUGAUCUGUUUAAGGUGUCAAUGAAGUAUCAACUGUUCGCUAAGGGAGUCCAUCCUAGCUCCAUCGGAUCGGGACCUACUCCAAGUGCUGUUUAUUGAAAUACUAUAAAAUGGGAAGGAUGAAAUUAGACGGCUAACAUUUUCUUUUGUUGACUCAAAUGGAAACCUCUCCAUAGAAUGACACAUUAUUACACACUAAAAAGAAGAUGAGCGCUGAAUCGAUAAUCAAUACACGUAAACUUAAUAAAGGACUUCUAUUUAGUAUACGUUCGACGCUCUUCCUGAGUACUAGAGAGAGUACAGAGCUCUGACGCCCUAAUUGGCCUCUCUCACAUGGUAAAUUAUUGGCUGCAUUGACGGAACAUAGAGGCUGACUGCACGCGAUCCGUUGGAUCACAUGGGUUUGGGGCCUCACUACAUGAUCCAUCCAAUUGGGUCCGUAAAGCCUUAUGCUGAGUGCAGUCAAUUUGGGAUUGGAGUCACAAUAGAUCUUUUAAUUGUGUGUUGCGGUUGGGGAAAUUUGAUUGCUGAUGAAGAUACAAGGUAGUAAUAGAUUAUUAAUGCUUUGAUGCGCGAUGACAAUCAUUGUGCUUAAGGUAUUAUUUGCCUUAUUAUUAUUGCCUAUGUAGCACCGACACGCGACACGCGACGCGACAUGACACGACACGACACGUGACACGUCAUUUCUCAAGAAAUAUAGAAUUCCGACACGUUCCGACACGUUAAAUAUUAAAUAAAUAUUUUUAUAUAAAAAGGCAUAAAUAACUAAAUAAUAAUAUUAAAAAGAGCCUAGAAUUAAUCUAUACUAAAAACAAUAAUCCUACAUUUGUUAAUAUCAUAUCAAAAGUGGAAAGGAAAUAAAAAUAGAGAAAAAUCAUAUCAAAACCGAUAUGCCCUUCAGGUUUUCAAUUUUGAUGCCACUUACUUCAUAGAUGACUUAUUCAAAAUAGAGCGCUCAAUACAUAAAAAUGACAAAAAUCAGUCCGUUCACUCAAGGUAAAUCCUACUUGGUGCAGAGCAGCAAAUAAGAACUCUUCCCAUUUGAAAUCAUUUUUAUAAUGCCUAGCAAAUUCAACUCCGCCUUAAUCUCUGGAUCAUUAUUAGGUUUCAGAAUUUCCCUUACUCUGGUCCGUGUAUCCUUCUACCAUAAUUGCAAGCAACAAUUCAGCAAUCCCAGUUCUCCUAAUAAGCAUCAAUGUAAUACUCGGAUUAGACACAAUGCGUAAAUUGUUAAUACAAAAUAUACAAAUAAGAAGCGCCUCGCCUAGCCCCUUCACCUCCAACAGCUACUUCCCAUGAAGACUGAAGAGAAGAGUCCAGAGUCUCCACUCUCCAGACCCCGUGCGUGAUUGAAGUUUAGCUUUUAUUUUUAUAUUUUUUUAUAUUUUUUUCAUAUAUUUAUAUUUAGACCCUAGAAGUUUUGAAAAUUUAUAAAAAUAACCCCGUGCGUGUCGGAGUCACGUGUCGGAAUUUCCGACUCGCGUGUCGGAAAUAGUUGACCGCGUGUCGGACACGUGUCGGAGUGUCGGACACGACACGAAGGGUCCCGGAGAGUGUCCGUGCUUCAUAGAUUAUUGCUAUCAAGUUUAGAAUAAAUUUGCCUUUAAGACAUACACCAAAGUCGCAAAGAAACGAGUUCGGCAACACUUAAUUUUCUCUCUUCAAAUUUCAUCUUGAAUGUGUUAAAGCUAUGUGUAUGAAAAGAAAAGAAUAGAGAAUUUUGAAAAAGAACCAUUUAUGAACAAUAGUAAUUAUUAUAAAAAUAUGUGAAUUUGUCUCUAUUCACAGAUAACCAACUAACACAUUUCCUUAAAAUAAGUACCUUAUUCCUAACCAUCACCACUCUUCAUGUUAAGAAUAAAUUCAUUUUUUGACUACUGAUAUCCCCCUUUUAGGAGCAAUAGUCACCUAUUUCAUAAUCAAGAGUAACGCCUUCUCUUAACAAGGAUUCACGUUUUCUCUUAAUCAUGAGACACCUCUUUUAUGAUAACAAACUAUUUUAAUAUGAAAGUCUUAUUUUGUACAUCUCAAGAUUGUAACUGAUAAUGAAUCUUAAUAAGAUCAUGAAAACUUUUAUUUGUAGCAUAGUGUUUGCAUGUAAAGUACUUCAAGUUUUACACAUUACACACGCAACCCUGUUACAGAUAAUAAAAAAAAAUUUAUUCAUUGCACACAUUGUCCGCAAGCGCAGUAAAUCGAGGCGUGCGCACCACACGCACAGCCUUGUUACAUAAUCCAACCACACGUAAUGGAAAGCCACAUCAAACUGGAAAGGAAAGAAACGACGUGAAAACGCGACUGAGCUGAGCAGUCCGUGUUUAUUCUGGAGAGCCAAACGAAGGCGUUGGGCUCGAUGCCUUAUUGGCUGGUCAAUGCUUAUUGUGGCAGCACUUGAAGGUGACUAUGAUCUCCAUGUCUCGAGGGCAAUCGCCUUUGGGGCAUUUGAUGCACUCCGGUAUGUCGCCGUCCAUGAUAAGGAUGGAGAAUGGGAGCAUUUGGGCAUGACACUGAACUUCUUGUAGUACUCUUGGAAGUGGGUGUCAAAAUUGGAUCUGGUAGUCUCCUUAGUGAUCCACCGUGUGUUCCGACAGAACUUUUCAGAGAUCUGAGAGACUAGUGUUGACGAGCACGCUCGACCCCCUCGCCUGUAGCUGUUGUAGAGCUCGAGCAGCUGCAGCGUCUGAGAAUCGGUCAUCCCCUUAUUCACCUGCAUCUUCCAGGAUAUGCAGUUCUCGAAGAAGGAUAGGAAUUGCCUUCUCUUGGUUUUGACAUUUGGGUACGUGAAUUUGAAGGUGUCAUAUUUACUUUUCAUGACGUCAUCAAUCUGUUCGACAGCCUUGGAGUAUACAGCCGAGCCGUACAAGAAUAUGAGCUGCUUCGUUUCCCAGUGGCCAACAAUCAAUAUGUUAUAACAUAUGCGGCAACUAAAAUGAAAUUGAAACUUAGAAGAAUAAAAUAACACCAGAUUUACAUGGAAAUCCUUGUGGGAAAAACCACGGGAAAAGGAGAAGUAAAAUCCAUUAGAGAACUUCAAGGAUUACAAAAGAUGAGUCUAAAAAACUUAAAACUCUUUCUAUCUCAACUUCUUAACCUAAUAACUUGAGAAAAACAAUAUCUAUAUUACCCUCAACCCUAAUGUUGGCCCAAGCACAUAAAAAAAAUAAAAAUUCAAGACAUACUUAAUAUAAUACACAGGACAUGUUGAAAGAACAAGAAUAAAAUGGAUGAAGUCAGGAAAUUCUUAAUCUAUCUUGCAUAUGAUUCUUGUUUGAAUUCGGUACAUGUGACAUUAGAUGUAUCUAAAUUUUUAAAUUGGAUAAAUUCUACAUGAAGUCUGAAAUAGUAGAAGCUCGAUCUGCUUGAUUUUGUCCAUCAUGUGCAAGUAUGUGCUUGGCCAAGCGGGUCAAAGACUUGGCCCUCAUAUAAUCUUGUUAGACAGAUAUUAGAACAAAGGCCGUGUCUUCCUUCAUCCCUAUUCGGAGGAGAUCUCCAACUAGACUUCGAUUGUUAUAACUAAGACCGUGUUUGACAGUCGAGAUAAAAUUUAGAAUAUGAUAAAAUUUAUUUUAUCUAGCAUUUGGUCAUUGUCAAGAUAGGAUAAAAUCAAAUAUAUAGGACGAAUAAAAUUAACCCAUGAGGAAUGUUGGAUAAAGUUGGAUUAGAUUUCUAAUGUUCAUAAUAAAUAAAGUUAUUUUUCUUGAAUAACAAACUUCUUAAAAUUAACAAAAUAUUUCAAUAUAAAUAAUAAUUAACUUCAAAUGUAAGAAAUUCAAAAUAAUAAAAAAUAACAAUUUAGUUUUUUUAAUUUGAUUUUUAUUUAUAUAUUCAAAUUUAAUUUUAUCUUAUAUCAUAAAUUCUAUAUAUUUACAUACUAUUUAAAAAUAUUUUAUUAGAGAAUGAUAGAAGGGCAAGAAAGAAAUGAAAAAGAAAUUAAUUAAAAAGAGAGGAAAAUAAAAUAAAGUAAAUAAAAAUAAAGUAGGCAAUACUGUUGUGAGAGAUUUUUAUUAUCUUCGUUUGUAAAAUUUUUGUCUCAUUUAUAUUGAUAUAAUCAUUUAUACCAAAUAAUGUACAUGAUAUGAUGUAAAUAUAUCCGAUUUUAUUACAAUCACCAAAUAAUGCAUAUAAUAUAGCAAAAUUCUUGAAUUGUAAAGUACUAUUUAGAAGCCUGGUAGGAAGAAGGUCCUUCCAACGAGGGAUGGUUGAUGAAAAUAUAACCUAGAUAAUCGAAACCAUGCUGCAUUUGUAACUUACGCUUUGUGCCAUAGAUUGGGAGACUGUGGUUUCCACCAAAAGCUUGAGCUAGUUGUUCCUGUGCUUGUCCUAGUGCUCGCAACCCCUCUCUGGCGUGAACGGAAAGGCUUCUCUUAAUAAGGAUUCAUGUCAAAAAGAACUAUUGCGCCAUCUAAACUCUAGACUCUACAGUCAUGGGCUCUGGGUCCUCCACGACACCAUCAGGGGUGUUGAGAUCCAUAGGAUGCCUUACUUCCCACUCCCCAGUCUCGACGAGAGACUCGUCAAAACCCUGAAGGGGACCCUCCCGACCCCUUUGAGGAAAGUUGAUAAACCACACUAUGAAUUGAUGAGGUACCAACUGAGGUAAGCCUUCAUCGAUCCAGACCGUGGACUCAACCAACUCGCGAGUAAAGUUGGUCCUGGGAAUUGGGAAAUAGGAGUGCUGAAAAUCCAUCACCUGCGGGACCCCAUAUCGUACAUGAUGUACCUCAAUCUAAGGACCUAAAAAUUGUAAAUCACAACGGGAUGAGAUAAAGUCUCAGCGAGUCUAUACCCUAAACCCCGAUUAGGAAGAAAAUUCACCUAGAGGCAGCCUAAACGUACACCAUAUAAAACUUACCUUGCCUUAACACCUCCCUGCACAUUAAUACAACUCAUAUAACAUAUGCAUACAGUAAAUGCAAUCAAUAAUUGGAACACUUCACUCAUAUACCAAUCAAUCAUAGGGGUCCUAAUUUUAAGGUCAAAUCAUUAUGACGCAUCCCAUUCCGUGCCACAUAAUUUUGUUCUAUAAUUAGAUGCGAUUAUCUCACUCAUUCAAGUGUUCCAAUUAAUUACGACCUAACGGCCACGGCCAACUCAACAGUUAGCAGUCAUCUGGCAUAGCCGAGCAUCAUUAUGCUUUGUCGAGUACGGCAACGUCUAUAUUUUGACGGCAUUCCCAAAGGAGCAUCGGCCUAGCCUCCACUGCGACCGGCAUCCGUUGACGUGAGACAUUUCGAAGGAGCAUCGUUUGACAUAAACACAUCGUGAUGGAUUUAAAUAGCGAUCACACGCAUGUCCAAUCUCAACCAAAGAUAUCGUGCUUUGUACUCAAAUUCCUCAAUUUCAAAUAUUGUACUUGGCUUAUUUUCUUCGUAUUAAAAAUACCCGGUAAAAUAGUUGUGCGUGAACACAUGGUCAAAUCAGACCAUAGAAUGUGAUAUUCUCUCUUUUUAAAAUUCCACGAUUUUAUAUAGUACAUAAAACAUUUUCGGCGUCAAAACCGACAUCCGGUAUUUUUGUAAUUAAAAAACAAAAUCUCAUAUUUUUGAAAUAAUAAUUCAAAAUCAUCAGCAAGCACUCAAUUGCAUAAAUUAACAAUCAAUUACACAAACUAACACUACCAUGACGAUCAACACGAAAUUCUAACAACCGGUUAUCCCGGUAUAAUUUUCGCUAAUUAAUAAAUAAUUAAAUAAAUUGCACUUAAUUAAAUAAAUUACAAAAUAAUUAAAUUAAAAUAUUAAUUAAUCUACCUAGGCUAAUCUAACCACCUAGUUGAACUAAUUAAAUUAAUCUAACCAUUCUAACCACAUAUAAACCUACUAAGCUAACUAAUUAAAUUAACUAACCACCUAAUUGCUAACUAACCUAACCACAUAAUCUAAUUAACUAACUAAGCUAACUAAAGCACCCUAAUCUCACUUAAGACUAACUAAUCCACUAAUUAGCCCACUAAUCCACCCUUAAGUGUAUAGCCUCCUAAUUAGAGAUUAAGACGUAAACUCAUUAGUUUAGCGUGAAAACCGGUUUACAGCGACGAUGGUGCGACAGUGGCGUGACAGCAACCAAGACUUGGGCUUAUGGCGAUAUCCAAGGAGACUGGGAAAGGGCUGAAAAAUGCUCGGUAAGCUCACAGCUUGCUGUUGGGCUUCAGUUCUAUGGGGUUGAACUGAAGGCUGGUUGAGGGGUUCGGCGCGAGGAGGGACGACAGUUGACGGUUAGGUAGCGACGGGGAUGACCUGGAGUGGAGCUGGGAUAGGGGGAGGCGUGCUAGUGAAGGAGUUGGCUGACGGUCGAGCAGGGGAUGGCGUUGGGUUGGAGCAGGACACAGCGGACGUGCGGGCAGCUUGGUUGGGUGACGAGAGGGCUGGCGGUGGUUGGUGGCUUUAGUGCAAGGGUUGGUUGUUUUGGCUGGUGGAGGUUAUGUGUAGCAGCAACAAAUGGAAAAGGAAAAAGAAAGAAGAAGCAGAAGUUGGACAGCAAAGGGGAGGGUGUUUAGUCGAGUUUGAGGGGGAAGGAGGGGGAACCAAGAGGGAGAGAGGGGGAACAAGGAGGGGACAAGGCCAAGCAAGUCAAGGCAUGCACCAAUGGAAUUCAAGGUGAAAUAUCUAGGCCAUGAUCACUUGGACACCAAGGUCUUCAGCCCUUAUCUUCAGCCAACAUUGCCAAUGGGUCACCCAAGGGCCAAUUUCUUCCCAAAUCCACACCAUAGGACUUCAAGUUGAUGCCCAAAACAGCACAGCAGCUGCCCCUACGAAUUUCACUCACUCUCGCCUCAAUUCUCCCCAAUUAACUCCAAUUUGAUGGCAAAAAAUCACACCCACUCAGCCCAUAUGAAUUCCAUGCAUUUCCUUCACCAAACAAUUCAACUUGAAGGCCAAAAAUCCACACAAAAGUGGCCCUCCGAAUUUCCUUGAUUUUAAUUGGCCAAUUUUGAUUUUUUGCCAAAAUUCUAGGCUCACCAAAAAUUCUUCAAAGGAUGAGGCGAUGUCUUAAAAAUAAAUCGUGACAUGCUCGAACUUUCGAUUCUUGAAACCAAGUUCAAUUUUGUGGUUAAUUUCGAUUGGAUGCGAUUUUAGCGUAACCUAACUUACCGGUAGCUUUUUAGGGAUUUUAUCGCAUUCAAUCCUGAUUAAUAAUUCUCGAUCCACGUUUGUGCAUCUUUGACUCAUCAGCGACUCUCAGUUGUUGUAAAAUACUCAAGGUUUCAAUUAUGGACAUUGUGUAUAUAAUUGACAGAAAAAUCGAUUUAGUGCCGUUUGACGUGAAUUUUGCAAUCAGGUGGAAUCACCCACCAUCUAAUUAUGUGCUUCUAUUGUAUCGACCUAUCUUUGGUUCUAAUCGAUUAUAACGGUGCCGUAUUGACCAUUGCCGAUUAAUAUAGUUGAACAAUCGAUUUUUGAUCGAAUUCUCAAGUCUGUUGCGUUUAUAUCCCUUAAUGGCUUCAUUUGAUUGAGUAGUUAUUUCGUGAGUGAUCAGCUCAGAGAAAAGAACCAUAGCCGUGUUGAUGAAAAGCCCAUUUCAUAUAAUCGGUAUGAGGUCAAAAAUUUAGGAUGUCACAAAAUUAAAGUAAAGUAAGGUUUGAAAUACUCCCCUCGAUAUAUGAAGAUGCCAAUUGUCCAUGUUGAAUCAAGUCCAGUAAGGUGAUGAUAUGCUCAGGUCUGUGAUUAGAAGCUACUCAAAGAAAAUUUCUUGGUUGCAAAGUCAUACAGUCGUGUGUUUCUAACCCCUCUUCUUCCUUUAUAGUGCAUGGCAAUGUGAUAGAAUAUGCAUUCUGCCUCAUGGCCGUGCACACUGCUAUCCUUGCAAAACAUAAAUUUGUUACCACAGAAUUCUUUUUAAUUUUUUUUUAACGAUGACACAUAAACCAAACAAACAUAAGAAAUAUAAGACUAGGAACUUGGGUUGCCUCCCAAGAAAUGCUUGCUUUAUAGUUUGCAGCCAAACUCUUCCCUUGCUUUUAAGUAGGUGGAGCUAAGGUAAUGAAAGAUGUUUGGGCAUCGAAACCUCCUCCAAAGUAUUGCUUGAGCCAAUGAUUGUUCAUCUUAAAAGUCUCCUCCUUCUCAUUGACAAUUUCAAUGGCUCCAAAAGGUAAUACUUUUGUGAUGGUGUCAGGAUUGGUCCAUUUAGACUUCAAUUUACUUGGAAACAAACCAAAAUGAGAGUUAUACAAUAAAAUUUUUUCACCCACAUGAAAGUCCCUCCUUAAAAUGUGUCGAUCAUGCCAUCUCUUCGUUUUUUCCUUAUUAAUUCUCACGUUUUCAUAUGCAUCAUUGUGCAUCUCUUCCAACUCAUCUAAUUGAAGCAAUCUUUUCUUACCUACUGCUUGCAUAUUAAAGUUAAGUUUCUAUUUCAAAUGCCUGCAAAUACUCAGAGUUAAAAUUAAACUUAGCAUCUUUUUGAAGCAAUUUUGUGAGUGGUCUUGCAAUCUUGGAGAAAUCCCUUAUGAAUCGCCUAUAAAACCUUGCAUGUCAUAAAAAAUCUUCAAAGUAAUUUCACAGAAGUAGGGGGUGGCAGUUUGGAGAUAACUUCAAUUUUGGCUUGGUCCACCUCAAUAUCUAGAAGAGAUUUUAUAGCCUAAUGCCAUCCAUUCUUGCACCAUAAAAUGACAUUUCUCCCAAUUUAGUACAAGGUUAGUCUCUUCGCAUCUUUGUAAUACUAAAGCUAAUUAUGCAAACAUGAAUAAAAAGAUUUGCCAAAAACAGAGAAAUGAUCCAUGAAAAUUUCAAUGUAUUUCUCUAUCAUGUUAGAAAAAUAGCAAUCAUGCAUCUCUGAAAAGUAGUAGGUGCAUUGCAAAGAUCAAAAUGCAUCAUUCUAUAUGCAAAUAUACCAUAAAGACAAGUGAAUGUAGUCUUUUCUUGAUCAUCGGGUGUAAUAGAGAUUUGGUUUUACCCUAAACAUCCAUAAAAAAUAAUAAUAAUAUUCAUGCUCUGCAAGUUUCUCUAAAAUUUAAUCAAUAAAAGGUAAAGAAAAGUUACAAGUGGCAUCAUUCAAUUUUCUAUAAUCUAUGCAAACUCGCCAACUUGUAACCAUUCUAGUUUGAAUUAAUUCAUUAUUUUCAUUGGUUAUAAUAGUCAUACCUCUCUUUUUCGGCACUACUUGCAAGGGACUCACUCAAUCAUUGUAAAAAAAAAUUGGAUAGACAAUACUUGUAUUGAGUAGCUUAAUCACUUUAGUUUUCACAACUUCUUGUAUUUUCAGAUUAAGCCUCCUUUGUGAUUGGAUGAUCGGUUUGUAUUGCUUCUUCAUCAAAAUUUUGUGCAUGCAAAUUGAAGGGCUUAUUCCCUUUAUGUCCGCAAUGGUCCAUCCAAUGACACCCUUGUGCUCUCUAAGCACUCUAAGUAACUUUUCCUCCAUCACCCCUGUUGAAAUAAUUACUGGAUAAGAAGCACCAUCAAGGAAAGCAUAUUUUAAAUGGGAAGGUAAUGGUUUAAGCUCAAGAGUUGGUGGUUCUACAAUGAAGGGUCUUCUUUGCAUUUGAUUUCAACUUUUCAAAUUUUUGUGUUUUCCAUCUUAGAUAUGGUGGAUUUGCUUCUAAAAAUUCCACGGUCUCUCCGAUUUCUUCUUUCUUAACCUCUUCCUCCUUUGGCCGAACCAAACAUGCCUCUAUAGAGUAUUGAAUUGUGGUCAAUUUAAAUAUGGUCUCCACUUCCCUAUCUAUGGUGUCCAUCUACAAGCAUUCGCUCGGUCCCUUCAAGUUUUUCAUGGCCUUGAAUACAUUGAAGGUGAUCCUAUCUUCUUCUACUCUAAGGAUCAAUUUUCUUUGUUUUACAUCAAUGAGAGCUCUUCUUGUGGCUAGGAAUGAUUGGCCCAAAACAAUUGGAACUUCAUAAUCCUCCUUUAUUUCUAGAACAAUGAAAUUUGUUGGGAAGAUAAAUUUAUCCACUUUUACUAAAACAUCAUCAACCAUGCCUCUUGAGUAUUUGAUAGAUUUAUCUUCCAAUUGUAGAGACACGAUGGUCGCCUUUUCUUUCCCCACACCUAAAUAUCGAAUAAGGCAUUAGGUUAUACUAGUACCGAGAAGGCAACAAGGCUCUCAAUGUUGUUCUCUGCCUCGAAUCGUUAGUGCUUGCGCGACCCUUAUACUAGAUCGUUAUCUUGCAACUUUAUCUAUCACUCCUUGGAGAAUAGAGCAGACUUUACCUCUUCUAAGAUAAUUAUAGUACACUCCUACAAUAGCGAAUUGGUAGAGUGCUCCCAUGAGUCUGGUAAAGAAGUUAACAACAUAUUCUUCAUCAUCAAGUAUCUUACUGGCAUUCUUUAAUCCAUCAUGAAUUUAUUGAAUUUAUCUAGGUGACUUCUGAUAAAUGCACCUUUAGUAUAUUUAAAUUGAAACAUCAUUUUCAACAUGUACACAUGAUUGUUUAAACCCUUCUUUACAUAGAGCGCCUCAAGUUUUUUUUUAUAAUACUAUGGCAUCCUUCUUCUCAGCUACCUCUAUUAAAAUCUCAUUCAACAAGUUCAACAAGAUUGUGCUCUUUGUUCUUUCCAUUACUCUACUCUCUUAGAGGCUUUCAUUAUAAUCGACAACUCAUCUGCAUCAUCCAGUGCCUUGGCCAAACCUUGGGCUGUCAACAAUGCCUGCAUUUUGAUACUCCAUAACCCAAAGUUGUUCUUCCUAUUAAACUUCUUAAUUUCAAAUUUCGCCUCAGACAUAAUUUGUCACACCCUGAUCCUCGAGCAUGUAACUAUCCCCCGGUGGUCGAUGAAAUUUGUGACGUCGUAGAACGCGUUGCCGAUCCAUUCAUUUUAUUGCACAUGCAGAAGUGAAUUAAAAUCCCUUGACAACAAACGGCAUGAGAUAGGAAAGCAGGAUAAUCACAACAAACCAAACACUUUUAUAAACAAACUGAGUUUUAUAAACAAGGGUCUACAAAAUAUCAGCUUUAAAUAAGGAACUAUCCUACGAUCUACUAGUUGGACACGUUCACUGAUCCUUCGGACUCCACCGGCUUCGGGGGUAUCAAGUCCUCCACAGCUUCAUCAGGAGGGUUAACUGCUCCCUCGCCAAAAGUGGCAUCGACAAUCAUCGUGGGGAUCUCAAAAUCCUGAAGGGGACCCACUUUGUACCAAUUGAGUCCAUGAUGGAACCACGCCCUGAAUCAAUGAGGUAUCCUCUCAGGUAGGCUCUCGUCGACCCAGACGGUGGUCACGAUCAACUCAUAAACCUAAUGACUACCAGGGAUCCGAACAUCUAUCCCACAUUCAGCAAUAGCCCGUGGUUGUCCAAAACGUUUCGGAGGAACUGCCAUAUAAGGACUUGAAAAUAUUGAGCCCACGACGGGGUGAGACAAUGUCUCAGUAAGUUCACCCCCUAAACUUCGACUAGGAAGGAAAUACGCCUAAAGCAUCCUAACCACACAGCCACACAAUCAUAGAGACCUACCUCGUCUCAAAUCCUUAUUGCAUGUCAGUACAGUUUAUAUGAUAGACAUAAGCAAUAUUCACACAUAGUCAAUUGGAACGCCACAAAUCAUCUUCUCAAACAGCCACAAGGGGUCCCGAUUAUAGGGUCAAAUCGUUAUGACACAUUUCAUUCCAUGCCACAAUUUUGUCCUAUAAUCCAGCGCAUCAAUUUCACUCAACAUGCGUUCCAAUUGUUAAUCACCGCCAUACACAGACAUGGCUUACUCGAAGUUUGGCGGUCUUCUGGCAUAGUAGUAUUAAGCGAUAAUUGAUUUUAUAGUUUCACUAUUCGUGGUAAAAAUUGUUGUGUUGUAUCCUGAGAUAGCUAGUAUAAUCACCUAGAGGGGGGUGAAUAGGUGCACAAGCAAAUUCUCGAGAUACAGAAGCAAUUCUAGGCAAACGAUAGAAAGAAAAAUACGAUCAAAGUAAAGUAAAUGAUAGGGAAGAGAGAAAUGAACACAAGAUUUAUAGUGGUUCGGCUUAUUCCAAGCCUAAGUCCACUCUUCCGCACUGACAGCCCACCGGCUGGAUUUCACUAUGAACAAAAGAGAAGUUACAGCACAGCUUUUCCUUGAUUCUAUAGUGUAAAUGUUCUACCACACUUCCUCAAGGUUUCUCACGAAUAUGGACUCUCUUUUGUCUACACGAUUUUGCUCAACAAAUGAAUUAACUAGGAACAAGGAGCUUCAGACUUUGGAAUUCUUCUUUCGUGCACACUCACUCGAAUAACUGUAACGUCUUCCUUAUAUACUCAUUUAUGCCAUCAUACCCGUUGGCACUUACCAAAGGAAUUCCUCCAAUCUACCCGUUGGACGAAAUCAAUUAGGAAGAUCAUUCGAGCUAUUAAAGGAACAUGUCAAUAGCCCAUCAAUCCUGUUCGCCCAUACAAUCAGGAUCUCGGUUUCCAUAAGUAGAACCUUCCAAGUAUACUUUGCCAAUCAUCGGAUCCUUAAUCUUCAAAUCAAUUAUGAUCGAAUAAAGGAUUCGGUUAUGUCAUAUCCAGCCAAGAGAUCUUCUCCAGUUGAUAAGGCCACAUCCUUAAUGAAACAACAAGUUCUGGAUAGCCUUUCUUCAACAUAUUAGAAACUGUCAAUGAGGAUUGACUUUAAGUCUUGAGUCUGGCUGUCUGGAGGUCUUUAGACUUUAAAUAGCAGAGUCUGCAAGCCUUCAGACUAGACUGAUGGAAACGUUUUGUCAACUUCAAAACACUUCAAGAGAAUUUCUCCAACAUAUCUAAUGGUGUCUAUGUUACAACCGAGCGAGACUAACUGUGACAUCUUGAUGUUCGACCAUUUUUCCAUUAAAUGAAAUUGGUUUUUCAUCAACGUGCCUAUAGUCUUUUUCUCUGAGCUAAUUACUCAUGAGAUAACUAAUCUAUCAGGUGAAGUCGCUAAGGGAUAUAAACGUGACAGACUUGAAAAUUCGAUUAAAAAUCGACUGCUUGACUAUGCUAAUCGGCAAUGGUUAAUACAGCACCGUUAAAAUCGAUUAGAGAUUUGAAAUAAGUCGAUUCGAUAGAAGCACAUAAUUAAAUUGUGGGUGAUUCCACCUGAUUGCAAAAUUCGCGUCGAACUACACUAAAUUGAUUUUUCUAUUGAUUAUGUACCUGCUAUCUGUAAUUGAAACUUUAAGAUUUUUACGACAACCGAGAGUUGCCUAUGAGUCGAAGAUGCACAACGUGGAUCAAAAAUAAUCGAUCACGGGUUAAACACGCUAAAAUUUCUUAAAAGCUACCCAGUAAGUUAGGUCAUGCUAAAAUCGCGUCUGAUCGAAAUUCAUUACGAAAUUGAACCCGAUUUUAGGAAUCGAAACUUCGGGUGUGUCACGAUUUAUUUUUGGGACGUCGACUCAUCCUUUGAAGAAUUUUUAGUGAGCCCAGAGUUUUGGCGGAAAAUAAAAAUUCGGCAAAUUAAAUUCAAGAAAUUCGGUGGGGCAUUUUCAAGUAAAUUUUUGGCCUUCAAGAUGGAUCAAAUGAUGAAGGAAAUUGUGGAAUUGGUAUGGGCUUCCUCCUCAGCAAAUUUGGCCAUUAAAUAGAAGUUAUUUGGUGUGAAAUUAAAGAUGGAAAUCAACAAAUUCGUAGGGCUGUUGCAAGAGGUUUGUUUGGUCUUUAAUUUGGCUUCAAUUGGUGAAGAUCGGUGAGGAAAUUGGCCUUGGGUGACUUAUUGAUCAAGGUUGGCUGAAGAUAAGAGUGAAAAUCACUCAAGUGCCUUAGAUAUUUUGGGUUGACUUGCUUGCUUCUUGUCCCUCUUGGUUCCACCUCCUUCUCCCUUGAUACGAGACUGAAACCCUCCUCUGUCCAGCUUCUUCUUCUUCUUCUUCAUCUUGUCCUCCAUUUUUGAUGCUACAACAACCUAGAACAAACCAGCUUAGCCAGCUUGUCGAAACCAUAGCUCCCCCGAUGUUGCUUUCAGUUGUGCUCGAGCUUGACCGCUCGCUUGUUCCGCUCAGCCCAUCCCCAUGCCCGUCCACGCUGUCCCUUCUAUUCCAUCGAGCGGCCAGUCGAGCCGCCUUGCUCGUCCCCAUCACUACCUGCUUUGCCCGACUUAGCCAGCUGCCUCCACUUUCCCUCCUCGCAUCGAGCCCCUGUCUAGCUCUUCGGUUCAGCCCCACAGAUUCAAAGGCUAGCUCAAGUUGUGAGCCUUGUGGCUAUUCUACCGAGUUGUGGUCGUCAUCGCACCGUUGUCGCCGUAAACCGGUGAGUUAACCUCCUAAGCUCUAAUUAGGGGUUAAUUGCACUUAGUAUAAUGUUAGCUUAGGCUAAGUAUGGAUUAGGGGGAUUGGGUAGCUUAAGUUAAGAUUAGAGUAAUUUAGUUAGGCCAACUAUUUACUUAGUUUAGUUUAGUUAGGCCAACUAGUUAGUUAGGUGGAUUAGUUAGGUUAUUUAGUUAGCCUAUUAGAUUAAAUUAGUUAGGUUAGUUAGAUUAAAUUAGUUAGUUCAAUUAGAUUAGUCCGGUUAGGUUAUUUAAUCUAAUUAAGUGUUUUAAUUUAAAUAUUUUUCAAUUUAUUUAAUUAAAUGCAAUUUAUUUAAUUGUUUAUUAAUUAACGUAUAUUAUAUCAGGAUAACCGGUUGUCAGAAUUUCGUGCUGAUCAUCAUGGUUGUAUUGGUUUGUGUAAUUGAUAGCAAAUUUGUGAAAUUGGAUGCUUGGUGAUAAUUUUUAAUUAUAAUUUCAAAAAUAUAGAUUUUUGGUAUUUAAUUAGAAAAAUACCAGGUAUCAGUUUUUGACGCUAAAAAAGUUUUAAGUACUAUAUAAAAUUGUGAAAUUUUAAAAAGAGAGUAUAACACGUUUUAUGGUUCAAUCUGACUGUGUGUCCACAUACAAUUAUUUUACCGGGUAUUUUUAAUAUGAAGAAACUAUGCCAAGUACAUUAUUUGAAAUUGAGGCAUUUGAGUGCAAAGCGCAAUGUUCUUGGCUGAGAUUGGAUGUGCGUGUGAUUGCUAUGAGAACCCGUCACCCGAUGAAAUUUGGGUGGGUGAUGCUCCUAUAUGGAAUGCCCCACUUCAAUGGAUGCCAGAUCGCGGUAGAGGCUGGACCAAUACUCCUUCAGGAAUGCCGUCUAGAUGUAGACAUUGCCGUGCUCAAUUGGGGCGAGACAACGCCCGGUUAUGCUAGAUGACUGCAUACUAUUGAGUUGGACAUGACCGAUGUGUCAUAAUAACUGGGACACAUGUGAAUGAUUGGACUAACCGCGCCUGAUUAUGAAACAAAAUUGUGUGGUACGGAAUGUGACGUGUCAUAACGAUUUGGCCUUAUAAUCGAGACCCCCGUGAUUGAUUGAUAGAUGUUAUAUGAGCUGUACUAAUGUGCAUGGAGGUACUGAGGUGAGGUAAGUCUUAUAUGAUGUGUGUUUAGACUGCCUUUAUGUGAAUUUUCAUCUUAAACGGGGUUUAGGGUGUGGACUCGCUAAGAUUUUUAUCUCACCCCGUCAUGGUUUAAAUAUUUUCAGGUUCUUAGAUGGAGAACUCGGAGCCCAAGGUUGGAGGGUCCAGUGUGUAGGUGGCCUAGGGUUUUCUUUUGGACAGAGAGUUAUUAAUACAAACCCUUAGGUUAACUUGGCAUGUAUAUGAAGUGUGUUUUGUGAAAAUUGGUUGUCCUACUUUUCUAUCCCAUGUUUGAUUGUUGUUUGGAGUUUGUUCAGUUCGCUUCCGCAUGUGCAUAAAAAGAAAAGGGUCGACGCGUCCUGGGAACGUCGCAAAAAUUUUUAGUUGGCUGCUGAGGGAUGUGCGCGUGCCCAGGGUUUGGGGUGUGACACUAACAUUUCCUAAGAUUGAUGUAAUUUGUUGUAGGUCGACCAUGAAGUUGAUUUGUUUAUCAUGGCAACGGAAGAUACAUAUCGAGAAACGUUUGCACAUGUAUAUAUAUAUAUAUAUUGGUAAAGGGUAAGACAGUUUGAUAAUGAUCGAGUGACAUUGCUUCUUAGGCCCAAACCAAGGAAUCCCUUAGAUAUGAUGCAAAAUGGAUCUUGUUCUAUUGUUGAUAAGAGAUUUCUCUAUGAAAAAUCCGAAUCGGAGUUUGAAAAAGGGGAAGGAGAAGGAGUCCUCGACCAGCAAUAGAUAGAGGAAGACUUACUCAAUCACAUAGUUUGGGCUCCUAGAAUAUGGCACCCUUGGGGUUUUCUAUUUGAUUGUAUUGAAAGGCCAAAUUCAUUGGGAUUUCCCUACUAGGCAACAUCAUUUUGGGGCAAGCGGAUCAUUUAUGAUGAAAAUGAGGAGCUUCAAGAGAAUGAUUCGGAGUUCUUGCAGAGUCGAACCAUGCAGUAUUAGACACGAGAUAGAUCUUCCAAAGAACAAGGCUUUUUUUGAACAAGCCAAUUCAUUUGGGACCCUGUAGAUCCACUCUUUUUCCUAUUCAAAGAUCAGCCCUUUGUCUUUGUGUUUUCACAUCGAAAAAUUCUUUGCAGUUGAAGAGAUGUCAAAGGGGCUUCUUACUUCCCAAAUAGAUUCCCCUACAUCUAUAUAUAAAUGCUAGUUUAUCAAGAAUACGUAAGAAAAACACUUUGAAUUGUUGAUUCAUUGCCAGAGAUGGCUUAGAACCAAUAGUUCAUUAUCUAAUGGAUAAGAAUAUAUAGUUUUAACCAAUAAUUACAAAAGAUCUGGCGCCACAAAACUUACACUUAACAAGACAACGGGUUAGAGAGAGUGGAAGGGAGCUGAAUGCAAAAGAGGACCACAAGAGUGGGCUUGAGGAAGCAGAAAUAGCCAAAACAAUGGCGAAAGGAAAAGGAAAGCAGCGGGAGGCCACAGAAGACCAGAUGAAUCACAAUCUACGCUUGCAUCCGCUAACAACAAUGAUUGGAAGCACCCACGCGGAGGAAGAGCAUCCAGACAGCAAACACCAGGCUAGGGCCUUGCCGAAGUAGAAGACUCCCCAACUGAAAAAAUGAUUGGAUCAAUACCCCAGCUACGCUGCAAUCUCUGGUUUCUAUAAGUAUCAUCCACACUCCAGAAGGUGGUGGCCAUGUCUCUGACGACCUUGAUGAGUCCACACUCAUGAUAUUUGUGAAUCUUGAGACCACUAUUGGACAUAGAAGAAAUAAGAAAAUAAAAUGCAUGGACUAAAUAACAGUGUUGUACUAUAGUAAGGACUCAACUUCUUUGAGGAAAAGGUGGGUGUACGUAAAGGAAGGUAAAUGGACGAAACAGGCAAAUAUAUGUUGACACCAUUUGAUCAGAACAUCAUAUAUAAGCAGAUGAACAUGUGAACCUUCAGCAUUUUCAUUUUAUGGAAAGAUAUGGAUGGAUUCUUUAAAUGAUGCAAACUCAAGAGGAUAGCUGUGCCUUGGGAGGAGCUUUAAAAGAGGACCCCUUUUUUAAAGCAAAGUAACGUGAGAAACCAGGCGACACAUUGUCCAGCCUUUAUCUAUUCGAAGCAAAAGGUUUACUCUUGAUGGUUUGGCAUGCUAAGCCUUUUGUACUAGGUGACUUCACGUUCUUUCAGAAGCUAUAAGGCUGGGAAGGUUUGUGAUGAUCUCGUCUACCGUUUUUUAGUCUAUUGGAUUGCAAAUGAGAUGCUUGACAGAAGAAAGAGCUGGAAAGAAAGAGGAUUAUUUAUUCGACUGGACUCUUGAUUUCCCUCUUUCUUCUAAUGCCUUUCCUUUGCCCAUUACUGCUCAUAGGAUGAGUUAGUGGCCUGGUUGUGUAUGACGUCUGGAACCAGCGGCUAGAUUCCGUCUGAGGAAAAUCUGAGGAUGAAAGUGAAGGAGAAGAAGAGACUAGGGUUUUGAAACACGCUCGUGCCAUCACAGGAACCAUCUGAGUUCCACCAAAUGAGAUUUGAAGAUGGGACGAAGUCCAAAUCUGACUUGUAUAUAGAAUUUUGACUGUAUAUGCUCAAAAUGUUUUAAGCAUUAAUCCGGAAAAAGAAGUAUUUUUCGUAUGUUAUUGAAGUCUUAUAAUCUUUUGGAAGCUUUGUAACUUUUGUUUUGUAUUAUAGAAAGGGGAUUGGACAGGGUUGAAACCUACCUUGCUGUCAGAAUGUUCAGUUUAAGGUGUCAACGAAGUAUCAACUGUUCUUUAAGUAAGUCCAUCCUAGCUCCACCAGAAUGAUACCGGCUCCAAAGUACGUUUAUUGAAAUACACUACGGUGUGAAGGAUGAAAUUAGAGAGCUCACAAUUUCUUUUUGUGACUCAAAUAGAAACAUCUCAGUGCGCUGAAUUUGGACUCCGAUCUCUAAGAUGAGGUGAUAAAAUGACACAUUGUCUCACCUUGUGGAAAUAACAUGAAAACCUCUAGAUGUUAUCACUAGAAAGUCUGAUCUUGUAUGCCUCGAAAAUGUAAGUUAUGAACCAUAUUAAGAUCGUAAAAGCUUUAUAUUCAGAGCACACGGUGUCUGCUUGCAGAGUUCAUCAAAUGUGCACAGUACACAUACGAGCGUAUUACAUACUCCAACCACACAAAACCAAAAGCAACAUCAAACCAGCAAGGAAAGAAAUAACGGGAAAAUGCAACUGAGCUAAACAGUCCGUGUUUAUUCUGAAGCGCUGACCAAAGGUUUUGGGCUCGAUGGCCUCGUUGGCUAGUCAAUGCGCACUGUGGCAGCACUCGAAGGUGAUGACGGUCUUCAGGUAUCGAUUGCAGUCGCGGCACUUGAUUUUGUCCGGUAUGUUGCCAACCAUGCUGGGGAUAUAGAAAUGAUGGCAGAGGGACUUGUCGACAACCUUAUCAUAGUAUGCUUUGAAGACGGUCUCGAAAGUCUUCGCAUUGGUACUAUUGAACCAGUGCUGAUGCUGCGACAGCACCAUCUCAAAAUCCGUGAGACGAGUGUUGAUGACCACGCUUGACCCUCUCGCGACAAUGGCAAACCCACCAUCCUGCUUGUAGCUGGUGUAGAGCUUGACCAGCUCCUCUGUCUGGGAAUCGUAGACAUCCGAACUUUCCUGCAUCUUCAAGGACAUGCAGCUGUCGAGGCGGGUAAAGAAUUGCUCUCUAUUGGCCUUAUGGUUGGAGAACUUGAACAAGUCGCUUCUGAUCUUGCUCAGGUGUCCUUCAAUCCUUUCAAUUGUCUUGGAGCCUACAGCGGAGCCGUAUAAGAAUAUGAGCUCCCCCUUUUCAAUCUGACCAACAAUCAAGACACGGCAUGUUAAACGAACAAGAAUAGAAAUUGAUUAUGUUAAGAAAUUUUUAAUCUAUCAUGUGGAUAAUUCUCGUGUGAAUUCGUGGAAGUCUGCAAUAGUAGAAGCUCGUUCUACUUGAUUUUGUCCAUACUGUACAGGUUUGUGCUUGGCCAAGCGUGUUAAAGAUAAACCAUUUGAUAAUCUAGUCAAACAAAAUUAUAGUUGAGGCUGCGUUCUCCUUAGUCCCAAUAUGGAGGAAGAUUUCUGAUUAGACAUUGAUUGUAGGUUGCGUGUAUAGACAUCACCUAAAUAUAAACUGAACUAAAACAAAAGUGAGCGAUACGUUCAGAUUUGUAACAAACCAAUCAGAAGUCUGGUUGGAGGAACGUCCUUUUAACUAGGGAAAAAUAUGAAGAUACUGUCCAAACCAUACUGCAUUUGUAACUUACGCUUUGUUCGAUAUAACUUACGCUUUGUUCGAUAUUAGGGAAGACCGAGUUGUUCACCACAAGCUUGAACCAGUUGGUAACUUGGCUGCGCCAGAGCUCAUUACGCUUUCCCAAUGUGAACGGGAAGGCAUUGAUACCCCAAAUGUGUAUCAUCGACAUCACAUGAAAGUUCUCCACCUGCCCCCGUCGGUUCAGCACGACAACCUGAGUCUGCUCACUAAAUUUCCACUUCUUCCUGAUGAACUUUGCUGCUAUCUUGCUGACCAUGGAUUUGCAUGAGUACCAUAGCAUCCGAGAUCUCUUGUCCUGGAACUGCUUCCGUGUCUCCUCAUUAUGUACCUCAACCAAAGGAACCCACAUGAUUUCGUAAUUACUAGAUUUGAAGAUGCUUGCAUCGUAGAUGCCGGUAAGGGUUCCUAGUUCGUCAUCGGACAAGCUCAGGUUCGAUAUAAGCAGCAUCACGUUCUUGUUCUUCAACUCCGUCACCUCCACCUAUAACAAAAAGUGAUCAAACCAUGCUGUUCUGUUUGCAUUUUGAGGAAGUUAAUGACCUGUACGUUAAUAUGCAUUCCCUUCUCGUGCCAUUAAUGUACAAUAAUGGUCAGUAAUCAAAGUAAAUGAAGAUCAUUGGGACUGAGAAGCUAACCGUUUUCCUCUUGGAACAUUGAUAAACUGUCAAGUCGUUCUCGGUGCAAAACAAUUUGACCAUGAGCUCCACAAUGCCUGUACCAGAUCGGGAAAGUUCCUUGAUCUUCUUAUAUGAACUUUGCUCCUCUGCAUAACGUAAAACACUGUAAUUUUAAGUACAAUAUAUGGAUAUGAAGCAAAGAGUUAGCAACAAUGAUCUCACCAUUCACACGCUUGAUUUCUUCUUCCACUUCUUUCUUGAAGGAUUCAUAUAUCCCUGUGACCCGGUUCGAGAAGGUUAACAGAUCUUGCCCUAGGAACCUGAAGUCAUCAAGAAAUAGAUUAAGCAUUGAAGUGAAACGGUUAUAGAGAGAGAGAGAGAGAGAGAGAGAGAGAGAGAGAGAGAGAGAGAGAGAGCUUGGUAGAGCAUACUCAUUGCUCGCGCUAAUCAUGCCACUGAAUGGAACUGAGCAGCCAAUUACACCGAAAAUGACUCGAUAAAACCCGGCUCUUAAGUUGAUCGAUGUUGGCAACCUUCCGAAUUUUUGGCAGUAGUUCGCAAACUCAACAGCGCACUUGGUGAACUCCGAAGUCACCCUGAUCAGGUUCUUAAGCGCCACAAAAUCCGACUUACCAGCCCUCCUCCCUCUCAACAUGGCCGCGGAGCCUAAUUUGUAGUUUGAUUCUUCAAUUUGCUCAAGAUGCUCAUUCUCGGCAUAGUACACCGAGAAAGCCGACAGUGUCAGCACAGCCUUGGCAUCCCAUGGGAAGGAUGACAACUUGACGAAAAGCGAUUCCAUCGUUUGGCGCGCAUUGUUGGUGUGCAAGGCAUCGCAAGUAAUCUAUCGGUUGCGGACAUAGAUUUGGACAUUCAAUGUGGAAAAUGACAUGAUUGAGGAUGUGACGAAGAGUUUAACAAACACAGCGAUUGUUUCUUUUUUAUUUUCCUUUGAUAGAAUGAAUUUAAUACAACGUAAAAAGUUGCUUUUACUUUAGUAUCGGUUGUUAUCCACAACAAAAAAUUGUAAUCUCUAUGUAAUGUUAAAAAAGGACUAAAAUAGUCCGGGGCUCCUGCAUGGUUAUACUUCCACUUCGAGUAGAGGAAUAAAUAUCUUAAUAUGAGAUUACCUUACAGCACAAUUCGUUGACAGUGGAUGACAAAGGAACAGGCGAUUGUGAGGUCGAGCUUUUGUUCUGACCUUGGUCACCCUGGAAAAAUGAGUUCACUUAUGAGUCCUCACAAUGAAAUAUUAUGAACAUAAGAGUUUUAAAAUUUGUGUAUCUUUAUAAAGUUUGGCAGGACAAAAGUGAAACAUGAAAUUAAUUUGAGGAGCGAAGACAUUUUCCCACGCGUUAAGAACCAACCAACCAACCAUGGAAAAAAGUAAAUGGGAAAGAUUGCAUUAUUUGCCACGAGUUUCCUGGUUUUUGCGAGUAAUAUGUAGUAGUGACGCAGCUAUUUAUCCAUGGGCAAGAAUAUAUAUUUUCCUCUCUAUCUCUUUGUUUUUUUUUUAUAACUCAGGGGCAUGAAUAUCGAGUUGUAAUUACCUGAAACCCUGUAGAACACCUUGCAUGUCCCAUAAACCAGUUAAGAUUUUUGGCCUUUACAAAGAGAUAAACUCAUUCCUCUCCCUCUCCUCUUCACACGACUCUUUAAUAAAAAAAAAAAAAAAACUCACUACUAAAAAGUAAAUGAAAAAAAGAUUAUUGCAUGUCGUUUAAUUUGCCGUCCACUAAUUUACCUUUGGGUCGAGGAUUUUCUCGACGAGGCUCAAGUAAUCAUUGACAUCAACUUGUUCUGUCUCAGAUUGGUUUGUCAUGAUAUCGUUCAUGAAGUUGUCGUCGUUGAGGAGGUUGAGUAAGCUGGUCAGGAAGCUCUUGUUUCCGGCCAUUUUCGGACGGGGAAAGGAGUCAAAAGGAACGAGAGAAGCAGAAAAAGUUUAGGGUUUCAAGGGAGUGAGCGAAGUGAAGAAGGAAGGCUUGUGAGGAGCAAAACUGCAGGUCCCUUGUCACCUUUUUAUAACACCCCAGGACCACAACGCCACAGCUUAUGAGCCGGUAAGACGACCUAAAAAAGAACGAUUAAGUGAUGAGUCAUCUCUCUCCCUCUCUCUCUCUUCCAUUCGAGUGUUGCCGCCCCACGCCGAACAAAGUGGACUUUGCUGCCCCCUGUGCUGGAGGAGGCAAAAAUCACCAAAACAUUUUCCGUCUUUUGAGUUGGCCCAAGAUUUUAGGACAUGAGUCGGGUUGGGCUGGUCUUUUCUGAUAUGGUACGGUCCGGAUAGAAUUAUAUUAUUCACCUUUUGCUUAAUAGAAAUGUUGUGAUACACGCAUUUUGACUUUUUAUAAACACUUAAAAUUUUUUCUUUAUAUAAAUAUUAACGUGGAAAUUUAUGUAUAUUUUUCUCACAAUUUUUUUAAAAAUUAAAUAACAUUUUCGAAUACAAUAAUUUUCUUUUUGAGUUUCAUUCAAAACAAGCAAGUCCUUACAUAUACUUCAACGGUUUAAUCAAGAAGUGACGUGUGUGUGCAUGCAACUAGACUGGCGGCACUUCUUGUGGGUUACAUGCAAAGAGGCAUAAAUUCAAGAAUAUUUCGAAAUUGUGACAACCUUAUAUUAAGAUUAUGAGCAAUUCAUUUGUGAAGAGAUUAUCUUGUUAAGAAUUAUGAAUGACGAGUAAAUUGCAUUGCAUGGUGGGGAUAUGAUGAUAUGAUAAGAUGAAACCAUAUUCUUAGUUGGCAUUGCUUGUCGAAAUCAUCACAAUUUUAUAUGCACAUAUCUAUUCUUCCUAAUAUAACGAGUUCUUAGAGGUUCCUAAAACCGUAGCAGCCAGCCUCCUCUUCUCCUCUCCCUCUCAUCUUCACACGACUUCCUUCUUCAACCUCCAUGGAGGAGAGGGUUUGAGCUAGAUCUCUCCCUCCCCUCCUUUUUUCUUUGGCUAAUUUGGUUAUCUAUUUUCUUUUCCUUUCUUUCCUCCCAUUUAGGGAGCUUUUCUAUUUCGAUCUAGUUUAGAUCUAGAAGCUCCUCCCUCCUUUUUUUGGGGAGGUUUCUAUCUCAAUCUAGCCUAUAUCUAGGGAUUUUUGUGUGAAUGUUUUCGGGGUUUCGUUUCUCUCAAGUUUUGUUGAUGCACAAAUCCAAUUUCAAAGGAGAUCGGAGGAGUUUUGUGAAAGUUUUGCUUUCACUGUCAAACCUGUGCUUACUUAACCUUUGUACAUUGGAUAGCAAUAAUGUUCGGGACAUUGAAUCUAGGCACGCAUCAUCGAGAGGCAAAACUGUAGCAAUAAAUGGAGUUUUCAGUGUGUGCUCAUUAUUAGAGACAGAUUCGGUGAUCGGUCAUUGAUUUUGGUUUGAAGAAGUCAUAUAUAUGCUCUUUGAGUGUGUGACCCCUAACCUUACUUUGAUGAUUAAUUUUGUUAUUAGCAACUUGUUUUACUUCAAAUCUGUGUUGGAUUUGUGUUGGUUUGCAAUUGCACUGCAUUAUUUCUCUUUUAUUUUUGUGAAAAUGAAUGAAAUGUUACUUUGACGAAGAAAAUAUAAUGAGUUCUUAAAAUUGUAUAUCUUUUACAAGGUGCCGGAAUUAACUUUUAAUUUUCAAUAACUGCAUUUCACGUUUCGUCUCGUGUGGUGUGAAUUUGAGUUCAUUUAAUCAUCUUCCUUUGUGCAAUUGUGUGAACUUUUGCUAGAAAAUUUUAACAUAGAAACAAUCAAAUUAAUAAGGGAGAGUCAGGACGAUUUAGACGAUCGAACAAGACACUACAAUGGCACCACCUGCCGCGUCUCUUAAAAGCCACCAUUCUAGAUCCCCAAUGAAGAUGCCUUUGUUUUAGGCUUUUUUUGCACUCCAGCUUUUUUCAAACAUAAGGACAUGUUUAGUAACUUUUUUAUUCUUGAGAACAAGUUUACUUAGAAAUAAUUUUUUUUAUUCUGUUCCUUGGAUGAGUUUCUGAGUAUUCAAAUACGUUUAGUAACUAUAUAAAAUUUCUAUUCUUAGAAUAUGAAGAGAACAUGAAUACGUUUGGUAUGACCCUUGAAUUUUUUUGCGAAGUAAAAUUUCUUUUAAUUUUUAAAAUAAUUUCUUGAGAUUUUUUUUUUCUUUUUUUUUUCCUUCUCUUCUUCUUCAUCCUUUCGUUGGCCCUUGGUGAGGUUGAGCCUCAGCCAGCCACCGACGAGGCUUUGGUGAGGUCACCGGACCUCAUCUCCGGCCGAUCGCUGACCAUCGCUGAGCUUGAUGAUUGUCUAGAGGAGGAAGGAGAAGAAAAGAAAAGGAAGAAAAGAAAAGAAAAGGAAGAAAAGAAAAGAAAAAAAGAAAAAAAUGACUUGAUUCUAGAAUUAUUCUUGGUACCAAAGAAGUAAUUUUUUUUGUUUUUUUUUUUACAUUUUGAUUCUAUUCCAAAUCUAUUCUCAGGAAUAAUCAAUUUUUGAGAGUAGAAAAAUUAAUUGAUGUUACUAAAUAGAUUUCUAUUUUUUUUUAUUAUGAGAAAUAAAAGAAUAAAAUUAACCAAGAAUUUCACAUUUAUCAAACAGCACUUAAAUGCGAAAGAUUGAAGAGCCAAAUGGCAAGAAACAUGAUGUCCUGGACACCCCACGAUUCAUUGGCUAGAUCGAUGCCAUCUCCGAACGUCUCAAACUUUACAUGGAGAUGGUGAUGUCAUCUCCAACGUCUACGUCACAAACUCUGUGAUAGGGCCCUUUUUAAAAAGAAAUUUAGGGGUGUUGAUGUCCUUGAUAUUGACAUCGAAGUGAAGGUAUAAGUCAAUGACUUAUUAUUGAUCUAGUCCGAUAUUAUCAGUCGGAAAUGCCGGUCCUAAUCGAACAUCUAGAAAAGCAACAUCAGACCAAAUUUGCUACUUAUAUAUAUGGAUAAUUAUAAAGUGCAGUUGAAAAAUAAAACAAAUGCGAUGAUGUGGGUCUCGACGAUGUUUAAACUUGAAUACAUGACAAUAUAGUGAUGACACUCAGAAUUGAAGACGAACAUGAUUUCCCUAAGUGUUCUUACUUCAAAGGAGGUUAAUAUACUUUAGAAAGUGAAGUUUUGAAGUUUGUUUAAUGUGCUUUGUUAAUAAUGAGAAGGAUCAAUCAUAGUUGCUUGUAUUUGCUUCAAAGGAAGAUGGUCAAGGAUUUUUGUCGUUGAGACAUUGGAUUCAUUUAUUCAGAAUUAGCAUCGUGACAUAUGCAACUAGGGGCACCUUCUCGAGGAGAUUCCUAACCGGGAUGCUUAGCAUGACAAGUUAUCUGGUGAAUAAAUUCCUAUUGAAAAUGAGUGGAUACUUAAGUCUUGAAGAAGUAUGGUAAGCUAACGUUGCUAAUUAUUAUUAUUAUUAUUAUUAUUAUUAUUAUUAUUAUUAUUAUUAAUUUUUUUUUUUUUGGUGACCGAGGAACCGCCGGAGAUCACCCUUUCAUUAUUUUGUUCUUAUAUUACUUAGUUUUCCAUGUUGUACUUGAGAAAGUGAUGGUAAACUUAAUGGUAGGGUAAGAAAGUAUGUAUUCUUAGGUUAUGCACAAAUAAUGAUGCCUGGAAUUACACUCAACUAUUGCAUGUAGAAAUAUUAAACUAGAUACAUCUCUAGUAUUUUGUGUGGGAGCGCUUGUGGCAAUAUUCAGGAUAAUUAUCCAUUAUUAAACUUAUUGUAUGAUAGUUAAUUCAGUUAUAAACUUUUCUAUUUAUAUAAUUUAGCUUGAACCUUUUAAUGAUUUACUAAUAUAGUUUUUUCAGUCAAUUUUAAUGGAAAAUUGAUAACAUGGAUGUUGGCCAUUCUAUUGACAUAUUCGGCAUUGAUAUAGACAAGUUUUAUAAUUUUUAAUGAAUAUUUUGAUUUUUUUGAUUUUGUUUUCAUUUCUCUUCUUUCCUUUAUCUUUUUUUUUUUUUAAUAAUGUCUUUUUGCUUAAUGGGCCAAUGGGGUUGCUGAGGCCUCGAUGAUUAACCAGUGACCCUCAUCGGUGGUGGACAAGGGCCUUUGCAACCCUUGUUGACAAUAAAUCUAGAGAGGUGAGGGCUACAACACCCUGGCCUAGUGCCAACUGUGACAGCCCUCUUCCUUGCUGGCUAGGGCCUUGUAGCCCUUGCCUUGCUAGCCCUUUGGUGAAGAAGAAUAAUGAAAAAUAAAAAGAAAAAAGGAAAAAUGCACUAGAAGCUGUAAAACUUAUUGUAAAAGUAUAACCGAGUUCUAAAACUUUCAAAAAGUAUCAUUAACUCCUAAAACUUGUUAUAAAAGUGUAAUCAAGUCCUACUUUCAAAAAAUACAAUCGAGUUCUAAAAUUUUCGAAAAGUGCAAUUCAUAAAAAGACUUGAUUGGACAAAUUUGAUAAGUUUCAAAAUUUAUUUCUAUUUUUCAAAAGUUUUAGGACUUAACUACACUUUUAUGACAAGUUUUAUUACUUAAUUACAUUUUUUAAAAAGUUUUAAGACUUAAUUACACUUUUAUGAAAGUUUCAAAACUUCAAAUGCUUUUGUCCCAAAAGAAAAGAAAGAAAAGAAGAGAAAAGAAAAGAAAAGAAAAGAAAAGAAAAAGGUAAUGAUAAUUUUUUUUAAAACAAUUAAAAUAUUAAAAAAAAUGCAAAAAAUUACCUAUUAGCAAUGACUAUACAACAUAUGACAACCCCAAAAAUUCACAAACUUUGAAUUUGAGCCUUAAACCAGAAAAAUUACUCCAAUUGAACGAAUGAAAGGUGCAAGCACCUUACCAAGCAUUGCAAACAAAAGUAAUUAUAGUUUGGCAAGAUACCCAUGACGUCAAAUAAAGGAUGUAAAUAUAUAUUUUUAUGCAAUAAAUAUGCUUUGAUAACUCAUAAUAUAUCAAUUUUGAAAUAUGAAGUCACAAACUUGAAGAAAAGAUAGCACCACUCACCUCGAAAUGCCCAAACUAGACAAUGCAGCUCACUCAAAUUGACAAUCUUGUAAUGUAUCAAUUAAAUGAGAGUCAACUUGAAAAAUGAGUAAAACAUUACCUCAACUAUGAAAUAGCUAAAUUACACCUAAAUGCUAACAAAACAAAUCUUUAACACGCUAACAAAUUGCUCACUCAAAGCGAUUAUUCAAACCUAGCUGCAACGUGAAACUCGUAAGCAAAACCUUAAAAUUUUGUUCCGACUAAACCAUUACUUCAAUUCAACUCCCAUCAAACCUCACAGCUCCACGACGCCAUUAUUCACAAUUUCUAUGGAAUCCCAUAGUUCAACAACUCAAAAAUCGAACUUCACAACUCAAAUUUCACAAAACUUUGAAUUUGAGCCUUCACUGCAAAAAUUACUCCGAUUAAAUGGAUGAAUGGUGUGAACACCUUAUCGGGCAUUGCGAAUCAAAGUAAUUUCAUUUUGGCGUAGCGUGUACGUGAAACCUCUUUCCCUUUCUUCUUCCUCCUUCUUUCUUUCUCUCCUCUUUUCUAUCUCUUUUCUCUUCUCGGCGUGUUCUCUGCCGCUGGUCUCCUUUUCCUCUUUCAUAACACUUCUUUUUCUUUACCUUUUCCUUUUUUUAUGGGUCCCACCAAUAUAUGACCGGGUCAAAAGAAUGCAAUAUUACAUUUUACCCUCUUCAAAAAAAAAUUUUUCCUCAAGAUUUGAACUUACCAUAACCAUUAAACAAAUGCAAAUAUUUGCGUCUUACCUCCUCAUCAAGCUCCCAAGUAGCCACUCUCUCCAUAAAGAAAAGCAUUCUACACAUCCAUCUACCAAAACUUUCAUGACAUCUUUAGCAACCUUAUCUCUACCCUCACUUUCUACAACUUCCUUAUGAUCAAAUUCCUACACAAUAGCUUUUUUUUUGGGGGCUUCCUCCAUUCUCAACUUCAAGAGCCAAUCCAAGUUCUUUGGCCACUUUCGGUUUUAGCUCUCCUUCAACUUGCUUUAUGAGACUAGCAUCAAUGUUGUUAAUUUUGUUCUUAAACUUAGCACUUUUUGCCAUGGUAACACCAUCUAUUGUCACCUUUGGCAUACCAAAGCUUUACUCAAUGACCACAUUAUGACCCUCCGAGUCCAUAGUGACCUCCAUAGCAUUCGUAAGGUCUUCCACACCUUAAACAUCAUGCCGUGUACCUCAACCCCAAAAGAGACGUACAUCCUAGUACCUAACAAAAGACUAACACGCUAUAAAUUACCACACAACCUCACCAAUUCUCAUAAAAUCUAUACCUAAAUAUCAAAAUCUAAUCUCUUAUACCAAAAGAUGUCAUACCUAAAUCAUAUAGGGAUGGGGGGUGAUAUGGCCAUCCUUCUACCCGAAGAACGUAGCUUGAAACUAUAGCUCCCAAUAUACGUCAUGAUAACACUCUUGCUCUAUUGGCCACUAAUCGAGGAACUUGAAAAGCAUGAAAGGUAAAUGAAAUGAGCAAUCACAGUCCAGUGAAUAGUGCAUAUCUCUUCUUAGCAAAUCAAGCAUCCACUUUUCUAAGUAGAUCGAGUAUCUACUAUGCAUAUUUAAGACACAAAAAUAUAACUCAUUGCACCAAAUUUCAGGAUAUAACAAACUUAUAAGAAGAUAAUGAGUUAUAUAUGCUCCAACAAUGCUAUAUUUAUAGCAAAAAUAUCUAUUUCACAAUACUAUGAAAACAAAUUCUAAUGGGCUAGAUCAACAAAAUCAUAUGCCAAUAGUCUAUUCCAUUAGCCAACCUCAAAUCACAUGACAAUGGUCUAUUCCAUUGACCAAUUUCAAACUCAUAUAUUAAUCAUGAUCAAGCAUAACACCCCGUGACAUGGUGACCAAGAUCCCCCCUUGGCUAGAUCUCCACCUAUAUUACUGGUGGCUUGGUCCACAAGUCCUGAACUAGUAUGCAUACCUACAAGCCCUCAAUGGGCUUACAAAAUAGUGAGCAUCAAUACCAAUCCACAACAACAUCUUUAACAAUCCUUAAAACCAAAUCCAUAGUUGAUAUCACAAAUCGACUUACAAACAAAACAUAUAAUCGUUCUUAACCUAUUCAUCAAACAUAAUAUAUUUCACAAGGUGUUUCUCAAACUAUUUCAUAGUCCAUUUUAGAAACUAGGUUCACAAUUCAGUAUGCAUAAUAUUUUGCAGCACAUUUCCUAGAACAUUUUUCAAACCAUUCCCAAAUACCAAAAGUAGUAAAUGCCUGAUCUAGAUUGUUACACAAUAAACAUGCUUUAAUAACUCGUAGUAUUUCACUUUUGAAAUAUGAGGUCACAAACUCAAAGGAGAAAUAGCACCACUCACUUGGGAAUGCCAAAACCAAACAACGCUACUUACUUGAAUUGACAAUCUCAUAGUCUAUCAAUUAAACAAGAAUCAAUGUAAAAAACGAGUACAAUACUACCUCAACUAUGAAAUGGAAAAAUUAUACCUAAAUACUAACAAAACAAUUCCUAACACGCUAACAAAUUGCUUACUCAAAGCGAUUAUUUAAGCCUAACUGCAAUACGGAACUUGCAAGCGAAACCCUGAAAUUUCGCUUCUGACUAAACCGUACUUUAAUUCAACUUCUAUCAAACCCUGCAACUCCAUAACUCCAUAAACCACAAUUUCCAUGAACUCUCAUAGCUCAACAUCUCAAAAAAUUGGAUUUCAUUGCUUAAAUUUUACAAAACUUUGAAUUUGAGUCUUAACCUAAAAAAUUACUCUAGUUAAACUAACGAAUGGUGAGAGCACCUUACCAGGCAUUGCAAAUCAAAAUAAUUGUAGUUUGGCAAGAUCCCUGUGACGUGUACAUGAAAUCCCUCUUUCCCUUUCUUCUUCCUUAUUCUUCCUUCUUUCCCUCCCCCCUCCUUUUUUCUCUUCUUGGCAUGCUCUCGAGGGUCUCUUUUUCCUAUUUUAUAACAUUUCUUUUUUUUUUCCUUUUUCUUUUUUAGGAUACCGCCAAUAUAUGACUUGGUCAAAAGAACAAAACUUUCUGCUUAAAUUAGAUCUUGCGACAUUAGUGCUCUCACUUUUUUUAAAAAAAAUGAACACUUGAACUUUAACAAUAUUCAAUAGCUUACACAGAUUUAUUUUUAUAUUUCAUUAUAUUUUUAAAAUUUGGAUUGCAAUUUAGAUUUUGAUGGGAAACAAAACUUGAUGAGAAAAGAAAAUUAUAUAUUUUUUAUUUAGUCUUUGAAGCAUUUACAAUUAAAGGAAUUAGGAAAAGAAACAAAAAGACAAAGUUGGAGCAUGUUACACGUGAACGUUUUCUUGCAUCUACAAAGCUGUAUGAUGGUCAAAGGCAUCAUUGGCAAUGCAAUAAGUCAUAUCCGUUGGAUAAGUCCAAUUUUCGGACAGGAUAACGACUUUAUUGAAGUCGUCUGCUUUCAGAGGUGUGCGUUGCCAAUGGGACUGUUGUGUCGAGAGUCUCUCUCUUUACCUAUGUAGCCGUCAACGAAAUUUUCAUAUGCUUUUUAAUUUCUUGCAAAAAAUAUUCUCUUUUCUCUUCUUCUUUUUCUUUACUUUUUUUUUUGAGGCCAUAGUAGGCAUGGCAAAUACGAUGGCCCGGCCCAAUGAAUGAUUUCCCGAUUAAUGUUUGUUACCUGAAAAAAAAAAGUCUUGUAAGCCUUCGUUCUGACUUGAGCAAUUUCUUGCUAACGUCAAAUACUCAGAGAAGAUUGGCCCUUUCGAACAUUAAUAUUUGCUUCAUCUAAUCACAUGUUUGGAAGUCAUUUUCCAAAGUUACUGUUUUAAUUAAUAAAAAUUAAAAACUGAGAGAUAGGUCCGGUCAUUCAUUACUUAACAACACGUAUACUCAACAGCAUGUAAUGUGGAAAGUGAUGUUGUGAAUAUGUAUUUUCAUGCAAUAAACAUGCUUUAAUAACUCCUAAUAUUUCACUUUUGAAAUAUGUGAUCACAAACUCGUAAAAAAGAUAGCACAACUCACUUGGGAAUGCCGAAACCAAAUAACGCGACUCACUUGAACCUAUGAUCUUGUAAUUUAUCAAUUAAACAAGAAUCAACAUAAAAAAUGAGUAAAACACUACCUCAAUUACGAAAAGGCUAAAUUACACAUAAAUUCUAACAGAACAACUCUAAACGUACUAACAAAUCGUUCGCUCAAAGUGAUUAUUCAAGUCUAAUUGCAAUGAGGAGCUCACAAGCAAAAACCAGAUAUUUUGCUUCAACUAAACCAUUACUUCAAUUAACUCCCAUCAAACUUGAGCUUCACAACGCCAUAAUCCACAAUUUGAGUGCGGGACACCUGGAGUGCCAUAACUUGGCACGCCGGGACACUUAAGUGCCAUAACUUUAAAAUGGUACACUUAAGUGCCAUCAUCGGAGUAAAAUGGGACACUUAAGUGCCACUCCGGCGAAAAUCCGGCCAAAUAGCUGACGUGGCGACUUUCCGGCGAGCUCGGUCCCAAACGGCGUCGUUUUGCACGCUGACGUGGCGGAGAAAAUGCAAAAACGACGCCGUUUCACGUCUACGUGUAAAUAAUAGUAUAUAAAUUAAUUAAAUUAGAUUUAAAAUAUUCAAAAAAUUUAAAAAAAAUAAGAAAAAUUUAAAAUUUUUUUAAAAAUUAAGAAAAAUUUUAAAAAUUAAGAAAAAUUUUAAAAAUUAAGAAAAAAUUUAAAAAUUAAGAAAAUUUUAAAAAUUUUAAAAAUUAAAAAAAUUUUUAAAAAUGUUAAAAUUUUAAAAAUUUUAAAAAAUUAAGAAAAUUUUAAAAAUUUUAAAAAAUUUUAAAAAAUUAAGAAAAUUUUAAAAUAUUAAGAAAAUUUUAAGAAAAUUUUAAAAAAAUUAAGAAAAUUUAUUUUUUUUUAAAUUAAGAAAAUUUUAAUUUUUUUAAUUUAAGAAAAUUUUAAAAUUUUUUAAAAAUUAAGAAAUUUUUUUUAAAAAAAUUAAAAUUAUAAAAAAGUGGGGAGUGGGAGGCCGAACGGGGCGGCUCCCUUGCCGCCACCGCCGGCUCCCUCACCACCGCCACCUCCGCCGCCGCCGCCUCCCCCCCCCCCCCCUUUUUUAAUUUUUAAAUUUUUUUAAAUUUUCUUAUUAUUAUUUUUUAAAUUUUUAAAAUUUUUUAAAAUUAAAAUUUUUAAAAUUUUAUUAUUUUCUUAAAUUUUUUUAAUUUUUUAAAAAAAAUUUUAAUUGUUUAAAAAAAAAUUUAAUUUUUUUAAAAUUUUUAAAAUUAAAAUUUUUAAAAUUUUCUUUUUUUUUUAAAUUUUUUAAAUUUUUUAAAAUUAAAAUUUUUUAAAUUUUCUUUUUUUAAAAUUUUUUAAUUUUUUAAAAUUAAAAUUUUUAAAAUUUUUUAAUUUUUUAAAAUUUUUUAAAAUUAAAAUUUUUAAAAUUUUUUAAUUUUUUAAAAUUUUUUAAAAUUAAAACUUUUAAAAUUUUCUUAUUUUUUAAAAUUUUUUAAUUUUUUAAAAUUAAAAUUUUAAAAUUUUCUUUUUUAAAAAAAGUUUUAAAAUUUUUUAAAAUUGAAAAUUUUAAUUUUUUUAAAUUUUUUUUUUAAUUUUUAUGCUGAUUUGGAGCUCCGGCGAGCCACAUAGACAAAAAAAAAAAAAUAAAAUAUUGCCACGUAGGAUUUCCGGCAAGGGUCGCUGGAGGUGGCACUUAAGUGUCCCACUCGAAAAAAAAAGUGGCACUUAAGUGUACCGUUUUGAAGUUAUGGCACUUAAGUGUCCCGGUGUGCCAAGUUGUGGCACUUGUAGUGUACUUCUGCCCCACAAUUUUCAUGAAAUUCCAUAACUCAACAACUUAAAAAUUGAAUUUCGCAGCUCAAAUUUCACAAAACUUUGAAUUUGAGCCUUAACUUGAAAAAUUACUUCGGUUAAAUGAACGAAUGGCAUGAGCACCUCACCGGGCAUUGCAAAUCAAAGUAAUUCUAGUUUGGCGAGAUCCUCGUGAGGUGUACACAAAAUCCCUCUUUCCCUUUUUUCUUCCUUAUUCUUCCUUUUUUCUUUCUCCAUCCUCCUCUUUUUUCUAUUCUCGGAAUGCUCUCGAUGGUCUCCUUUUCCUAUUUUAUAACAUUUCUUUUUCUUUUCCUUUUCCUUUUUUUGGUACCACCAAUAUAUUUCUUGGUCAAAAGAAGGGAAUAUUGCACUCAAUCCUUUCCUUUUGUCGGAACCAUCUCGAUGAGAUCAAGUUUACCUGUUCAUUUGUAUUCGUCGAAUCAUUCUAUAAUUAUUAGAGCUAUCUUGAUCUUAAGCCCUCAUUGGACCUAAUAAACUAAUCAAUUAAAUUCUUAACGAAAAAGGAAGGUUUGAUUAUCUAUUAUGAAGUCUAGAUUUUUUAAAUAUAGUUAUCUUGUAACUCAAAGAGUGUGUUAGUGCGAGUUCGAGAGUGAAGACCAUAUUUUAUGCAUCAGACAAAAAGCGUGACAAUAAUAUGCUAAGAAGCAAGCCUAUCAUAGAUGAGGGAUUUCAAAACUCAUUCAUAAAAGUUAAUUUGGGAUGCAGGUUAAGGUGGUAGUGUGAUCGGUCGAUUACAUUACAUGAGUUGUGUAAUGGACACAGGCUUUGAUUAACUAAAACAUUUUAAGUAACUUUCAUUUUCAUUUAAUGGAAGAAUCUCCUUUAGUUUGAUGUUUCAUGUUCCAAUGGCGCUUGUUGUGUUCUCUGAUAAUUUCUUUGGUAAAUAUAUGUCUCGAGUUCGAGUCUGUGAAAGAAAUCGACCCGAUGUGGGGUGAUCUAACCUGUAUAAGAAAAGUCCAAAGUGAAUGUUGCCUAAACCUAGAGGGGGCAAAAAUUACCAAAACAUAUUACAUGUUGAAGUUGUAUUCCUGUUUUUAGUUGGCAAAGGAUUUUACAAUAUGUUGCUGUUCAUCUUUUUUGAUAUUGGCAUGUCAAGACAGACUUUUAAUUUUUACUUUUUGCUUAAUGUAAAUCUUGCGACGUACCUGCUCACUUUUUAUAUGAACGCCCAAACUUCAACAAUAUUCAAUAUCUUACACAUAGAUUUACUUUUAUUUUUUCAUUAUAUUUGUAAAAUUUGGAUCGCAUUUUAGAUUUUGAUGGGAAAUAAAAUCAUAUAUUUUUUAUUCAUAGUCUUUUAAGCAUUUACAAUUAAUAGAAUUAGGAAAAGAAACAGAAAGACAAAGUCGGAGCAUGUUACAGAUGAUUUUUUUUCUUGGAUCUGCAAAGCUGUAUGGUGGUGUAAGGCAUCAUUGGCGAUGCAUGCAAUGAGUUGUAUCCGUUGUAUAACUUCAAUUUUCGCACAGGAUAGCGACUUUAUGGGAGGCGUCGGCUUUCAGAGGGGUGGGUUGCCCAAUGGGUUCGUUGUGUCGAGACUCUCUCUCUUAACCUAUGUAACCGUCAACGAAAUUUUUCCAUGAGCUUUCUAAUUUCUUACAAACGUGUUCUCUUUUCUUCUCUUCUUCUUUUUCUAUGUUUUUUGUUUUUGAGGCCACGGUGGGCAUAGCAAAUACGAUGGCCCAGCCCAUUGAAUGAUUUCCCGAUUAAUGUUUGUUACCUGAAAAAAAGUGUCUUGUAAGCUUUUGUUUUGACUUGUUGAGCAAUUUCUUGGUAACGUCAAUUAUUCAGGGAAGAAUGGCUCUUUUCGAACAUUAAUACUUAUUUCAACUAAUCACAUGUCUGGAAGUCAUUUUCCAAAGUUACGGUUUUAAUUAAUAAAAAUUAAUAACGGAGACACAGAUCCGGCCAUUCAUAUACUUAAUAACACGUAUACUCAACAGCAUGUAAUGUGGAAAGUGAUGUUAUGAAUAUGUAUUUUUAUGCAAUAAACAUGUCUUAAUAACUCUCAAUAUAUCACUUUCGAAAGCUGAGGUCACAAACUUGAAGAAGAGAUAGCAUCACUUAUCUGAGAAUGCCCAAACCAAACAACGUGUCUCACUCGAACCGAUGAUUUUGUAAUCUAUUAAUUAAACGAGAAUCAAUGUCAAAAAUGAGUAAAUCACUACCUUAACUACAAACGGCUAAAUUACACCUAAAUGAUAACAAAACAACUCCUAACGCACCAACAAAUUGCCCAAUCAAAGUGAUUAUUCAAGCCUAAUUGCAAUGCGGAGCUCACAAGCGAAACCCCGAAAAUUUCGCUAUGACGAAAUUUUUAAUUCAAUUCAACUCCCAUCACACCUAUAGCUCCAUAAUGUCAUAAUCCACAAUUUCAUGAAAUCCUAUAGCUCAACAACUUAAAAAUCGAACUUUGUAGCUUAAAUUUCACAAAGUUUUGAAUUUGAGCCUUAAUCUAAAAAAUCACUCCGGUUAAACAAACGAAUGGCGUGAGCACCUUACUAGGCAUUGCGAAUCAAAGUAAUUGCAGUUUGGCAAGAUCCCCAUGGCUGGUACACAAAAUUUCUCUUUCCCUUUCUUCUUCCUUAUUCUUUCUUCUUUCUUCCCCCCUCCUCUUUAUGUAAGAGUUUUCCUAAUGUAGACUACAUUAAUUGAUAUUAUAAUUUACCGUUUUACGAUUACCGUAAAACGGGGUUAGUCUAAGGUGAGAUAAAAGGUUUCUUAAUUAGUUUAAUAUGAGGCUGGCUAGCGUAGGCCGAGUUGAGCUUAGCCCGUAAUGAGAGGUCAUGGUUGGAAACUCUAUAAAUAGUGCUCAAGUCUCUCAUCUAAUUUUAAUUCUCAUAAGUAUCCUCACAUAAGGGGUGUUUACCUAGCGCUAAAGGGUGAGGGAGCCGUCUCAUUGAGCUAGUGAUAUGGAGGGCAAUAGAGGAAAAUGACUUGCACGUGAAACAUCGGUUUCCGCUUCCGCUUAAAAAACAAUGAAUCCUAAAACAAGUGCGUUAAUCUUUCUGCUCAAUUAUGCAUGUUCUUAUUCUGGUUAUGAAGAUCUUGGGAUUGCAUAAUUUGCAUCCAACAUGUGGUAUCAGAGCAACCAUAACCCUAAAACUUGAACGCAUAAAAUUUUUGCUAUAAUUUGUGAUUUUCAUGAUUUUUUGUUCAAUAAAAAUAAAAUUAAAUCACAAAUUCGGACUGCGCUGAUGAGAUGAGUAGAUCCGUGGGUGGCGUGUAGCUAGGGGAGGUCCUACGUGCCCCCACAUGCAGCCAUGCGCCGUUGGGGCAUUGGAGAUGUGCCCCACGUGUGAUCAUGCACCCCCAAGCGUGGGGCGCGGCUCACGCAUGCGACGCACGUGCGAUGCUAACGUCAGUGACCUGGACCUGAUUGGCGGACGACCUGACCUGACCCAACCCGAAUCGGUCAACUGUUGAUCGAAUCGGUCAACCGGUCGGACCGAACAGCUAGACCGGACGGUCGAGUCGGAAAUCGGUCGAAUCACUGCCGGUCAGACCGGUUUUUGACUGGCCUUUACGCCUGUGCGUGGGCCCCAAGCGCCGCGCACUCAGGCGGCGCAUUCGGGUGCGUGGAAGCUCUGAUGGGCGCGUGGCUGGUGGUAUUAGGUUUGUAUGAUUCUCCUCUAUCUUGUGGUGUAUUUAUUUUACAUGUUUGAUGAUUUUAUGGAUGUAAAAAUACAUAUGAAACUCUAAAUACAUGUAUUUUUAGUAUAUUUUCACGUAUUUUUAUGUGAUUUUGGAAAUACAUGUGUUGGUUUAUAGGUAUGUUAUCACAUAAAUGUUAUAAAAGUGUGAUUUAUUGAUAAUAUAUAUAAGGAUUAAUUUUUUAUUAAUGAAUAACGAUAUUAUUAAUGAAUUAAGCAAUGUAAUUACCGUGAUAUGUGAUUUUAGUGAUUUACUACUCCUAUCACUAAAGUUAAAAUCACAUGUAUAUGAUGUAUGUGAGAAGUAAAGUUUAUAUCCUUGGUAUGAGAGAGUUUCAAUAAUUCAAUUGAGUUGUGACUGCCAAAGUGGCACACUUGAUUGGGUUUGAGAAAUAUUGAUCUCGUAUAUUGAUUGAGAUGUUUCCUGGUCUAAUGCGUAGUCAUACUCCCAAAGAAGGUGAUUGUGUAUUAGUUCAUGGAGGGAUAUAUGAUGAAGUGGUGGAUGAGUGACCGAUCCUAAUGGUUCAUAUGCCCAAAGGUGAUGAAUUUACAAAAAUUAGAACAUAUUCUCAUAACCGCUAUCAUUUGGGAAGUGUACAACUGCAUGUCAUGUAUUUUGCCCAAAUGUGAUUAUAUGAUUAUGCGUAACUCUCUGGAUGUGUACUUGUACGUCGAGUUACACAGUGCUCACAUGAUGCUAAUUAUAUACAUUGCUUGUUUUUCAGUCACAUUUUUUGUAAUUAAUAACUCCACUAUUAUUGAGGUUUUUAUUGCUACAAAUUUUAAGUUGUGAACAUAUGAUUUGCUGUUUGGGAAAAGAGCAAUAAAAUUUACUUACUGUCCAUGAAGCGUUUCAUUUUGGAACACUUGAAAAGUGGUUUAUCAAUUGACUGCACUAUAAAAAGAUGCCAUAAAAGACGAUAAAGUUUUCAUUAUGAAAGAGGGGUGGACAGUUAAUAGAUAUUAAGAAAUAAAUAUUUAUUUCUAGUAUUUUUAAAGAUUCUUUUAGAGUAAAGAUGGCAACUGGAGGAAAUUUAUUUUUCUUUAUAUACUACGAGGUCAGUGGAAUGAAAUUUAUUUUUCUCAUACUCUAUGUACGUGAUAUUUUGUUUACAAGUAGUGACUUGAGGCAUCUCUUGUUCUUUGUACUGAGGUCCGUAAUGAUUGUUCUUGUUAUAGUUUAUUAGAUUUAUCUCAAAAGACAUUUGUUGAUCGUAUUUUGGAAAUAUUCAAUAUAUAUCAUUGCAAGUUAGGAAUUGCUCCUGUUGUUAAGGGUGAUGGACCGAAUCAAUUAUAUUGUCCUUAUGUAGAUAUUGAGAAAAUCUAGUUAAAAUGUGUACCUUGUGUCGGUGCACUUAAAAGUAUAAAGUAUGCUUGAAUUUGCACUCAACUAAAUAUCGUCUUUGCGACGGGACUUCUAAGCAGACAUUAAUCAAAUUCAGGACACGAUCACUAGGUUACUACCAAGAAGGUUUUAAUGUACUUAAAUAGGACAAAAGAUUGUAUGUUGAUUUAUAGACAUGUUCAAUUCUUGCAGUUAGUAAGGAAUUUAGAUAUAAACUUUGCUGGCUGUUAUGAUGACAUGAGAUCAAUAAUAGAAUACAUAUUUAUGUUAGUAGGAAGUGUAGUAAAUAAAGUUUUAUGUCAUUUUCUAAUAUGUAAGUAGAGUUUAUAACAUUCUUUUAGGUUGUUACUUGAGCUAUUAGGCUUCGGAACCUCAUUGAGGAGUUAACCGUUUUUAACUUUAUGAAUAGACUUAUACGGUUGUAUUGAGACAAUAAAUUUGUAGUAUUAUUUAUUAACAACAGAGGUCUCAAGGGGUUCAAAUAUGUGGUAGUCAAAUUUUUGACCAUAAAGAAACGGUACAAAAAUGUGACGUUAUAAUAUAGCAUAUUUCCACAGAUAAUGUGGUUGUAAAUUCACUAACUAAAGGACUUUAUUCUUUUAUUAUUGAAUGACAUGUCAUUGGCAUGGGACUAGGAGCAUCUUGGGAUGCUGUUUUUUAGUAAGAGCUGUGUUUUAUUUUUCCUUGAAUAAAGUUUACAUCUGUAUGUGUUACAAUUUAUUAACACUUUGAUGUGUGUGUGUGUGUCAACUUUUGCAUUUAAUAAAAUAUUUUUGAAUGAAUUGUUAUUAUGUUGAAUAUAUAUAUAUAUAUAUAUAUAUAUAUAUAUAUAUAUAUUGUUAAAAGUCUCAAGGUAUUGCUUAAACCUUGAGUGAAGGCUAGGGGCAUCCGGUUAUUAGUCUUGUGUAUAUAUCUUGUUAUACAUAAAGAAAUGUUAACCGUAAAGAUAAGACAUAUGUGGGUUCAUUGAAACCAUAAAUAUAUUCUUUAGUGGCACAAAUUUUUUAUGAUGCUCAAGGUAAGAGAAUGGUAGUAUGACAAAUGGAAUCUCUCUAUGAGAGAUGUUAUCCAUUUGACACACUACCAUAUUGAAUCCAUAUCAGUAAAGUUGAGAACAUUCGUGAUCAUGAAAGGCUCUGUGUGUAUAUGUGCAAUUACUGCCAUGAUUCGGUGUUUGAGAUUUUAUUAGAUAUGAUUGACUAUUAAGAAUUAUUUUUAGAUCAAGGUGCACACAUACAGUACAAUUUAAUUAAUAUAGUUUAAGUGGGAGAAUGUAAGAGUUUUCCUAAUGUGGACUACAUUAAUUGAUAUUGUAAUUUACCGUUUUACGGUUACCGUAAAAUUGGGUUAGUCUAAGGUGAGAUAGAAGAUUUCUUAAGUAGUUUAAUAUGAGGCUGGCUUGUGUGGGCCGAGUUGAGCCUGGUCCGUAAUGAGGGGGCUUAGUUGGAAAUUCUAUAAAUAAUACUCUAGUCUCUCUUCUAACCCUAAUUCUCAUAAGUAUCAUCACAUAAGGGGCGUUUACCUAGUGCUAAAGGGUGAGGGGGUCGUCUCAUUGAGCCAGUGAUAUAGAGGGCAAUCAAGUAGAAGGACUUGCGCGUGGAACAUCAGUUUCCGCUUCUGCUUCAAGAACGAUGGAUCCCAAAAUAAGUGCGUUAAUCUUUUUGCUCAAUUAUGCAUAUUCUUGUUUUGGUUAUGAAGAUCUUGGGAUUGCGUAAUUUACAUCAAACACUUUUUUUCUCUUCUCAACAUGCUCUCGAUGGCCUCCUUUUCCCAUUUUAGAACAAUUUUUUUUUUUUUUAUGUGUACCACCAUUAUAAGACUUGGUCAAAAGAAGUAAAUAUUACACCCAAUCAUUUCCUUUUGUCGGAACUCUCUUGAUGAGAUCAAGUUUACCUAUUCAUUUGUACUUGUCGAAUCAUUUUAUAGUAAUAAGAGCUAUCUUGAUCUUAAGCCCUCAUUGGUCCUAAUAAACUAAUCAAUUAGAUUCUUAAUGAAAAGGGAAGGUUUGAUUAUCUAUUAUGAAGUCUAGAUUUUUUUAAAUAUAAUUGCCUUGUAACUCAGAGAGUGUGUUAGUGCCAGGUCGAGAGUGAAGAACAUAUUUUAUGUAUUGGACAAAUAGCAUGACGAUAAUAUACUAAGAAGCAAGCCUAUCAUAGAUAAGGGAUUUCGAAACUCAUUCAUAAAGUUAAUUUGGAAUGCAGGUUAAGGGUGCAGUGUGAUCGGUCGAUUACAUUACAUGACUUGUGUAAUGGACACAAGCUUAAAAUAACUAAAACAGUUUAAGUAACUCUCGUUUUCAUUUAAUGGAAGAAAUCUCCAUUAGUUUGAUGUUUCGUGUUCCAACGACGCUUGUUUUUGGUGUUCUCUAAUUAUUUCUUUGGCAAAUGUAUGUCUCGAGUUUGAGUCUGUAAAAGAAAUGGACCCAAUAUGUUGUGAUCUAACCUGUAUUAAGAAAAAUCCAAAGUGAAUGUUGCCUGAACCUGGAGGAGGCAAAAAUUACCAAACCAAUGACAUGUUGAAGUUGCAUUCCUAUUUUUAGUUGGCAAAUGAUUUUACGAUAUGUUGCUGUUCAUCAUUUUUGAUAUUGGCUUGUCUAGACAGAUUUUUAUUUGUUACUUUUUGUUUAAUUUAAAUCUUGUGACACACACAUUCUCACUUUUUUUUAUAAACAAUUGAAACUUUAACAAUAUUCAAUAUCUUGCACAAAAAUUUACUUUUAUUUUUUCAUUAUAUUUUUAAAAUUUGGAUAGCAUUUUAGAUUUUGAUGGAAACAAAAUUUUGAUGAGAAAACAAAAAUUUUAUGGCUUUUUUUUUUUUUUUCUAAUCUCUUAAGCAUUUUCAAUUUAUAGAAUUAUGAGAAGAAACAGGAAGACAAAGUCGAAGCAUGUUACACAUGAACUUUCUUGGUUCUGCAAAGCCGUAUGAUGGUCCAAGGUAUCAUUGGCGACGUAAUGAAUCGUAUCCGUUAGACAAGUCCAAAUUUUGAACAGGUUAGCGACUUUAUCGAAGUCAUCAGCUUUAAGAGGCGUGCGUUGCCCAAUGGGGACAUUGUGUCGAUGUAACAAACAUUAACCAGAAUGCAUGAUGAUAUAAUGAUGACAUUGAUUGGUGUGAGACACACUUAUGAUUGAAGAUGAACAUGAUUUCCUUGAGUGUCCUUACUUCAGCAGAGGUUAGUAUACUUCGGAAGGGGAAGUUUUGAAGAUCGUUUGAUGUGCUUGGUUAAUAGUGAGAAGGGUCGAACAUAGUGGUUUGUAUUCGCUUCAAGGGAAGAAUGAUCACAGAUUUUUGUCGCUGAGACAUUUGGAUUCAUUUUUUUGAGAGUCAAAAUUGUGACAUCCAAAAUUAGGGGCAUAGUUGCGAGAGAUUCCAAACAGAUGCGUUUAGUACAACAAAUUAUUUGGUGAAUAAAUCCCCACUGAAAACAAGUGGACGCUUCUUGUCUUGAAGAAAGCUAACGUUGCUAAUUGUUUUGUUCUUAUAUUACUUGGUUGUCCAUGUUGUAUUUGAGAAAGUGAUGGUAAGCUUAAUGGGAAGGUAAGAAAGUAUGUAUUCUUAUGUUAUGCACAAGUGGUGAUGCCUAGAAUUACCUCACCAAUCGCCAGUAGAGAAAUUAAAUUGGAUAAGUCUCCAGUACUUUGUGUAGGAGUGGUUGUAGCAAAAUUCAGAAUAAUUGUCCAUAAUAAACUUAUUAUACGGCGGUUGACUUAGUCCUAAAAUUUUUGAUUUAUCCAUUGUAGAUAUUAACAUUUUAAUGAUUUGCCAAUAUAGUCAUUUCGACUAAUUUUGAUACAAAAUCGAUAACAUAGAUACUAACCAUCUUACGUGGCAUAUCCGGCAUUGUGUAAACAAUUUUUACAAACUUCUAAUGAAUUUUUUGAUUUUUUUAAAUUUUUAAAUUUUUUCUUAUUUCUCUUAUUUUCUAUAUUAUCCAAGUUUUGUUUUUGUUUUUAUUUUAUUUUUUAUGUCUUUUUCCCCCAUGGGUCAGUAGGGUUGUUGAAGCCUCGGCGAUUGCCACCCUCAUCAGUGGUGGGCAAGGGCCUUCACGGUCCUUGCAGCUAAUAGAUCUAGAGAGGCAAGGGCUGCAACACCCUCACCUAGUGCUAAUUGUGACAACCCUCUCCCAUGGCCAAUUAGAGCCUCAUAACCCUUGCCUAGUGGCCAGUGAAGGUCACCCCUUUGCUGAAGAAUAGUGAAAAGUAAAAAGAAAAGAAAAGAAAAAGGAAAUUUUUUUAAAAAUUCUAAAAUCUUUAGAUUUUUUUUUUUUUAAUUCUAAAACUUAUCCACAUCAACACCAAUCAUGCUACAUAGAAAAACCGGCAUCCACAUCAUCGAUUUCCAAACUAAAAUGGUUGGAAAGACCAAACUAACAAAUUAUCAAAAGUUUUAGGAUUAAAUUAAUUUAAUUGAGAUAUUUAAAACUAAAUUAGCCAUCACACAAUAAUUUUAGGACUUUUUGGAUAAUUUUCCCAGCAUUAUUCAUAUGGAUCUUGAUGUUGUUCAACUCAAGGUGGAGUUAUAACUAGUUAUCUCUUAUGGUAGUCAGUACGAGCAUGAUAACGAAAAUAGAAGGUGCCAAUAGUGAGUUGGAGCUUGUAUAGUCGUGGGUUGUUGUAAUUGCUGAGUUUGACGAGAUGCAAAUUCUCUAUAUUGAUAGGUUGAUAACUAUGGUUUUUCUUUAUCUAUUGUAGGGAAUGUUUUGUUUGAAAAUCCUCGUAAAGAAGCCAAAACUGUAGGUGGAAUUGACAUUCCGAUGAGGUCCACGAUUAGAUUUCACGAUGGGGUAUUUAGUUUCAACAAAUUUCGCAAUAUUAUUUAAAUUAUUUUAUGGGUAAUUAUAGUUAAAGUAAAAUCGAAGGAUGUCACAAUUGUUGAAUGCUUUAAGUGUCCCUAUAUGUUGUUGUUAGCAGCUAAAAUUGACUUGCUUUAAUGCUAUAGUUUGUUGGUGAACCCGGGAAGCUUUCUUUCUGUACUGUACUGAUAAUAGAGUUUCACAAUGUCCAAAUUAAGUAAGACUGACAAUUAAAUUAUGUACAACAUCACUUUCCAGAUUACAUGCUAUUGAGCAUACAUGUUAUUAAGUAUAUGAAAGGCGGCAUCUAUCCCUCAGUUUUUAAUUUUAUUAAUGAAAAGUAACUUAGGAAAAUGACUUCUAGACAUGUGAUUAGAGGAAAUAAAUAUAAAUGUUCGAAGAGAGCCAAUCGUCUCUGCAAAUUUGACAUUAGCAGGAAAAUGCUCAACAAGUCAAAACGAAAGCUUACAAGGCUCUUUUUUGUUUUUUGUUUUUGUUUUUUUUUUACGUAACAAACAUUAAUGGGGAAUCAUUCAACAUCUACUUCAAUCCGAAGAGAAAAAAACUUACAAUAUAUAAAUAUUAACACGUAAAUUAAGAUAUAUUUUUAUGAUUUUUUGAAAUUUAAAUGAUAUUCCACACUACGAUGGACAAAUAAAAACAUUCGUUUAAACUUAUAUACCAAACGAGCAAACCCUCACAUGUACCUCGGGGGCUCAGCCAUAAAGUGACAUUGUGCGCGCAUGCAACUAGAGCCGUGGCACUUCUUGUGGGUUGUAUGCGAGGGUCAUGAUGGUUCAAUCAUAUCUGUGAGUGUUUUGAAAUUGUCACAAUCUUGUAUCAAGAUCAUGAACAAUUCAUUUGUGAGAUUGAGAAAUUAUAUUGUUAGAAAUUAUGAAAAGACAGAUAAAUUGCAAAGCAUGAUGGUGACAAUAAAAUGACAUGGUAAGAUGAGACAAUAUUCUUACUUAGUAUCAUUUGUAAAAAUCAUCAUGGUUUUGUAUGCAUGUGUAUGUCUUCCUCAUAAUUUAAUGAGUGUUUAAGAUUGAAAGUUUUUCACGAGUUGAAUUAAGUGUCGGUUCUCAUAGGUCGCAUUUCGCAUAUCAUUUCGCAUAAUGGGGUUUGGAUUGUGUAUUGACAUCCACACGGCCAAGUCGAGGACAAUCAAAUCGAUCGGAAAGAGUCGGAAGAAAGACGAACGAUCGAACAGGAACCAACGACGUCACUUUCUGCGUCUCUUAAAGUGCCACCACCGCCUCUCGAUCGCCAUCGAAGAUGUCUAAUAUUCUCGACAUUUUUGCAUACCCGAGCUUUUUUCCAUCAUAGAUGUGUGAGAUUGAAAAGCCGAAGGGCGAGAAACACGACGGCCUGGACCAUCCAGGAUUCAGAGGCUGGAUCGAUGCCACAACCAAAAAUCUCGAACGUUGGGUGAAAAUGGUGAUGUCAUCUCCAACGUCCACGGUAGGGCCUCUUUAUUUUAUUUUUUAAAAGUUUUAUGUUCCUUAAUGCUGACAUCCAAGGUAGAGGUCAAUGAAUUUAUUAUUAGUAUAGUCUGAUAACAUCAGUCACAAUUGUUGGCCCAAAUUGAACAUUUGGCCAUGAAUUUAUUUCAUGCUACGCUGCACGGGACUGAAUUGCUACUUAUCAAUGCAUGCUAGUAGUAAAAUUACCUCCAUGAGAAUAAAAAAGUAUUUAUGUUUAUACAAGAAAUAUUUGCAAUGAUAUUUGUGAAUCUUGAGAUCACUUUAGACAUAGAAGAGGUAAAAAUUAGAUAAAUAAAAAGGACCCCAAUUAGACUAGAGGGCUGCUUCAUGGACUAAUUGACAGUAUAGCACUGUAGUAAAGACUCAACUUCUUCGAGGAAAAGGUCGGUCCACAUGAAAGAAAACAAAUGGACGGAACAGGCAAAAGAUGUUAACAUCGUCAUUUGAUCAGGACAUCAUUUUUAAGGAGAUAACAUGCGAAACCUUAGGAAUUUUCAUUUUAUGGGAGUGGCUUAUAUCACCAACAGCAAGGAGGACGAGUUCACGACAGCUUAUCCAUACUCAUGGCCAAAUAUAAGUUUAAUUUUGCAAGUUAUCCAAGCGCGCUUGUUGACCACCGAACCUAGUGCUCCCCCUCCCAUCACCGCGAGUCGUCCUCGCGCACCAUUGUCAACACCCAUCCUCGCUGUGGCCAUCCACCGCGGGCGUCGCCACCGAGUCCUACUGCCGGCCACCAUCCACGACCCAUCGAGUUCGAAUUCAGAAAUGUUAUCCACGAAUUAGGUAAAAUUGUGCCAGAAUUAAUUCUUUGAUCUAUUGCCUAAUUUGAUAUGAAAUUGUGGACUAAUGCAUAUUUCCAAGAUUUUUAUAAAUCACUCCAAGUUAUAAAAAUUUCCUAAUCCACAACGUGCAUAUGGACAACAAUCCAAUUUCAACCCCGGGAUACAAUUCCCUUCCGCAAGGGAAAUCGGUCAUCCUAAUCCUUUGCAUACGAUCGUCAGUUUAUUUGUUUUCAAAUUUGCAUGGAUAGGAUAUUUGGUGAUUAUCUUUUGCGGAUUGGGUGAAUAUAUUUUACGACGGUGUUAUCCGUCGCUUGAUUGUGACCAUAAAAAUAUAUAAACACAUAUAUAAAUCUCAUACAUAGAUAAGUUUGCAUGUUUAGGAUAGAUUUUUAGGGAUAAUUUAGAUUUUCGAAUAUUUUUGGAGAUUACCUUGGGUGAAUGGGGAAGAUUGCAUGUUAAAUGGAAUUUCCUGUUUAAAUUUAGAUGAUUUAGAUGAGAUAAUUCUUCGAUUUAAAUGAGGAUUUAGAGUGGUUUAUGAGUUUAAAUUAGAUAUUAUCCUAAUCUUGACAGUUUAUUUGGGGUAAUUUUUAAUUUCAAAUUUAAUAAAAAAUGCCAAAAAUAUCAACUUAGUAUACAAUCGAUCCUUUCUUUAGGUAUAAUCACAUGUCUAAAUUACGCUAUUAAUUUAUUCCUAAUUUUAAAUGAAAUGUACAGAAAAUAUCAUGUCCAUGUUGUUAUUAAAUUGCACGUCAUAUAGAGUAAUUUAAUUAGAAAUUACCUAUCAUGUUAGAGUAGUUGCAUAUUAAUUAUUGCCCGAUAGUAAAGGUAAGUCAUUUAAUUAAUAAUCGCACAUAUUUUUUAUGUCGUUGCAUCUAGAGUAAUUAAUUUACAUGCAUUGCACACAGUGUAGUUCUCAUUUAAAUAAGAGAAAACCCUAAAAGAAUUGGAGUGACAUUGUGUACUAAUUAGAAACCAUACUUAGGUUGAAUGUGUUUUUCUAAUUAACAUUGCAAAUGCUUAUGUUGCUUCAAGGUAAGUAAUUGCUCCCCUUCCUUGCAAUUUAUUUAUCAAUUUGAUUAUUGAGUAUUAAAUUAAUAUUUGUGUACCAGCAUGAUUAUCUUAUAUGUUAGUGGUUAACUUAAAAUCAAUUCAAAGUACUUGUCAAAAUAAUUUUCAUGGAAAGGAAAGACACCGAAUAGGGCAUUAGAGUAAUUUAGCGUAAUUAAGUUCCUGAAUUCAUAAACUUUGGUUUGUAGGAGUAACGUAUUACUUGGUCUUUCAACUGACCCUCCAAAAAAUAGAUUUAGUGGUGACUUAUAAUUGAAAAUGAUCUUGCAUGCUAAAAAUUUGAACGUAAGUCGCAAACCAGUAUGAGCUUGAGAGAGCUCGAGUUAAGUCUAAGUUUAGUUCCAUGAGCCAAACUCUAGGUGGUGUAGUUGAGGGUGAGGUCAUGAUAGCGACCGAGUUUACCUUGUGGUGCAGCCUAGAAGGACGUCAUAAAUAGUAUGCAUAGUCCCCCCCUAAUGGGUUCUCAUUAUAGUGGUACAAGCAAUAUCAACCAAUCUCUUUAUCUAGUAACCCAUAAUCAACACCCACAAACCAUUUCAUAAACCAGUUUCAUAAACCGAAUUGGAUAACCUUUUAUAAUUCCAUUUAUCAAAGAAGACAUUUCAUAAAACAAUAUGCAACCAAUACGUAUAAAUUUUGGCAAGUCCCUUCAUAGAACAUUCAACUAUAACUUCCAAGCUUUCCAAAGCAUGGCAGAAGAACAGCCCAAGUGCCAUAACUUGGCACUGGGGGACACUUAAUGUCACACCCCGAUCCUUGAGCGCGAGCCCAUCCCUUACUUGGUCGAUUUAUUUGCGACGUCCCAGGAAGGUCGCCGACCCAUUCAUUUAUAUACGCAUGCGGAAGCUUAAUAAAAUCCCCAGACAAUCAGACAAUGGGAUAGAAAAGUAGGAUCAUAUUUUUCAAACCAAGACGAGUCUUUAUAGACAAAUUGAUUGAUUACAAACUUAGGCUAUUUACAAAAUUAACGGCUUAUCAAAAAGGGGACUGUCUUAAUAUCCACUAGUCAGACUCAUUUUUGCCGAUUCUUCAGCCUCCACCUUCCGAACUCUAGGACUUCCGGUCCUCCACGAUCGUCAUCUAGGGACCUGAAAUAUUUUUCCCCAAACCGGGAUGAGACUAUGUCUCAGCAAGUUCUACCACACUAAGACCCAAUUAGGAAGUCAAUACGCCAUAAGGGCUGCCUAAGCACAACACAGGUCAAAGGGGCUUACCUUGGCAUUAGUUCCUUCCUGCACAUCAGUUCAAUUAAUAAUAUUUACAACUACAGGAAACAAUCACAUUCCACCAAUUAGAUCGACUCAGCGAUCAAUCGACUUAAUCGAUUACAUGUCACCACGACCUUUCCCUGAUCGAUACAUUCAAUACUAUCUAUAAAGUUUGACCAUAGUCUAGGACUGCUCACCCAAAGCUGAUAAUAGAUAGCAUAGCUCGCCCAAAGUUGAUAGAUAUAGUAUACUAUGUAUAUGCUCUCCCAAAGCUGAUAGAUUAGGGCCCCUAGGCCAAUUUAGUAUACUAUAUAUGCUCGCCCAGAGCUGAUAAAUAUAUCACUCGCCCAAAGCUGAUAAUAAGGCAUACUGCUCACCCAAAGCUGACAUAUCACCCGUAGGUCAAUAUGGUAUACCGGUAUACUGCUCACCCAAAGCUGACAUAUCGCCCGAAGGCCGAUAUAGUAGACCACUCCAACCAUAGUCAAUUCAUCAUUUUUAUCAUUCACGAUAUGUAGCCGUGUGUGGGUACACGAUUGGCCUUAGCCAAAAUAUAAUAAUUUCAUUUACAAAUAUCCCACCAAUUUCAAUAGCUCAUUACAUAUUUUUGGCGCUGUAAACUGACGCUUGGUUAUUUCUCCAUUAAUAACCAAACUCAUAUAAUUUAGGAAUAAAUCCUAAAUUCCCAAUUAAUUCGAUUCAGCACAAAUUAACGCUCAAAUAAAUAAACGGACUGCACCACGACAAUCAGCACGGAAUUUCGGUCGUCGGCCACCUCAAUCUUAAUUUCCGAAAUUUAAUUAAUUAAUUAAUUAAUUUCGAAAAUUAAUAAUUAAUUACAAUAAAUCCAAUUUAGCUCAAAUUGGAGCUCAAUUAAAUAAACGGACUUCACCAUGAUCAUCGGCAUAAAAUUCUGGUCACUAACAUCCCGGUUGAAUUUUCGGAAAAUAAAUAAAUAAUUAAUUAAUUUAGAAAAUUAAAUAAUUAAUAUUAAAAAUUCAAUUUAGCUCAAAAUAAAGUGCGAUUAAAUAAACGGACUUCACCACAGUCAUCAACAUAAUAUUCCGGUCACUAGCCAUCUCAAUUGAAUUUUCGGAAAAUAAUUAAUUAAUUAAUUUAAUUCCGAAAAAUAAUAUUUAAAUACCAAAAAUUCCACUUAGGCCCGAAAAGCCUAAUUGAAGCCCACUAAGGGUCGGGAAAAAUCCCGAGAUACUUUCAAUAAAUAGUAGACUAUGUCUACUUGCUAAUUGCAUAAUCAAUUCAUUUAAUUUACAUCACAAUUGACUAAUAAACACUAAUCCAUACUAAUCUAACCCUAAACCUAACUAAUUAAAACUAAGCAACCCUUAAACGUGAUUAACCUACUAAGCAAGGAUUAGUGAGUUAAACUCACCCGAUUAACGAUCCGAGCGGCUCAAAUCGACGAGGAUGAUGCGAGGAUCGAUUCACUCCAAGGCGGGCCUAGCUUCCGGGGUCGGGAAGCUGGCCAAAACGGGCCACGAAGCCGCUGCCAUACCCAUUUUUCCAGCUGCUGUCCGCUGCUGGUUGAGGCCGAGAAAGGGGUAGAUCCGAGUUGGGUUGGGGCAUGCAAGGGCCGAGAGGGCUAGGCGGAGCUCCGGCGGCUGAGGCGGGGGUGCACGGCGGUUGGAGGGAGCUCCGACGGUGGCUCACGGUGCUGAACAGCAGCUCUGGUCGCUGGCCAAGCCAGGGACGACGUGGCUGGAGGCGGAGAUGCGCGGGACAGCACGCGCGAAGAGAGGCGGCACACGGCGGUCCGGCGCGACGGCGAGGGAGUGCGACGGCGAGGGGGGGUCUACUCCGGCUCCUUCUCUGCGGUUUCUGGGUUUGAAAGGCACAACCAGGAGGAAGAAAAGAGUUGGUCGGCCGGUAGCAGGAGGGAAGAGAGGGAGGCGGAGGUGCGGCUGGACGUGUGACGGCCUUCGGUGGGCUUACGACGGCGUUCCGGCGGCUGCUAGCUCCUGCUUUGCAGCUUCUUCGGCUGGCUGGGUUUUCAAAGAAGAAGAAGAUGAAGAAGAUGGAGAGGGGCCGAAGGAGUCGCACGGUAGGGAGAGGGAGGAGAGAGAACAGGGGGGGCAUUCCUUUUCUUUUCUUUUUUCUCUUUAUUUAAUCUCCCAAAAAUUGGCCCACCCUUGAUGUCAUGUUCCACUAUCUCCAAUUUCUCACAAUCUUAGUCCAAUGGGUCCAAUUUCUUUUUCCGCCGUGGCAUAAAAUCUCGUACAUUUAAUUCAAUGAAUUCUCAAUCAAUUCCAUCCAAUUGAAGCCCAAUUAAAUUAACCCAUGUGUCCUCAACCUUCUUACGACUUUUCCCCAUCAAAUGAUCCAACUUGCAUCUCCAAGAUUCAAUUAAAAGCGGUCUUCUGACAAUCCCGAACAUAAACGGCCUUACUUUGUUUUUCUGCCAAAAAUCUCGGUUGUAGAAAAAUCUUCUAAGGAUGAGUCGACGUUCUUAAAAUGAAUUGUGACUUGACAGAACUCUCAAUUUCUGAAUUCAGGUUCGAUUUCAUGGUUAAUUUCACUCCGACACGUUUUUAGCGUGACCUAGGCUACCAGGUAGUUUUCAGAACUUUUUAGGACAAAUAACUCAUGGUCGAUUUUCCUCGAGCCAUAAUGAACCCACUCGACACAAUGGCGACUCUUGAUUGUCGUGAAAAUUUCGAGGAUUCAAAUACGAACACAGGGUACCAAAACGACAGUAAAAUCAAACUAGUGCCGGUCGACGAGAGUUUUCCAAUUUAGUGGAGUCACCCACGAUCGGUCGCUUAUCUCAGUCAAACCGACCUAUCUCUGAUCUUAAUUCGAUUUUAUAUUGUGUCGCUGGCCUCUAAAAAUAGUCAUGGUCAAGAGCUCGGUCAUUGGUCGAAUUCUCAAGUUUAUCUACCUUAAAGUCCUUGAUAGCUUACCCAGCUAGUCUAGUUAUCUCGUGAGUGGCCAACUCAGAGAAAAACAUUGUAGUCGCAUCGAUGAAAUGCCCAAUUUAUUUAAUCGAAAUCAGGACCCGAAAAUCUGGAUGUCACACUUAAGUGCCAUAACUUCAAAAUGGUACACUUAAGUGUCACUCCAGCGAAAAUCCGGCCAAAUAGCUGACGUGGCAACUUUCCGGUGAGUUUGGUCUAAAACGGCAUCGUUUUGCACGCUGACAUGGCGGAGAAAAUGCAAAAACGACGCCGUUUCGCGUUUGACGUGUAAAUAAUAAUAUAAAAAUUAAUUAAAGAUAGGAAGGUGGCUUGCAGACCCUUCUCGAAUGAUGUCUUUUCGAGCUGUCCUAAAUGAUUGUGCACUCAUGGAGAUAGAAAGUAAAGGCUGCAAGUUCACCUGGAUGAAUAAUCGCGAAGGGGAAGAGCUGGUGAAAGAACAAUUGGUUCAGUUGAUGUGCACGAUGGAUUGGCGCUUAUAGUUUCCUGGAGCUGAAGUUUUCGCACUGCCUGUUGUGGGUUCCGACCAUAGUCCUUUACUUCUUAAAACAUCAGCACCUUAUAGAAAACGAAGGAACAUCUUUGAAGCUUAUUGGAACGGAGAUGAAGAAUGCCGAGAGGUUAUUUCUACAUCAUGGAAUUCAGUGUAGCUUCAAGAUUCUAGUCUACUUCCAAAUUUAAAAAUUGUUUUGGAAGCUUUGAGUAAGUGGAGCCGAGCAAAAUUUUCAAAGGGACAUACUAAGGUGACCGCCUUACAACAACAACUAUAGCAUCUAAUGAACCAGCAGCAUUGCAAUUAUAAUAGAGUGGAGGCAUCAAAAUUGCGAGAGGAAAUCAGACGAACUUGGCAACAGGAAGAACAAUAUUGGGCUAUACACUCCAAGAUUCAAUGGUUGAAAUGGGGCAACAAGAAUACAAGAUUUUUCCAUGCAACUGCACUUCAAAGGAGGCAAUGAAAUAGAAUUAGCAUGUUGCAGGAUGACUGCCAGCAAUGGGUAUGUGACUCUCAGACAUUACAAGAUAUGACAUCCAAUUUCUCUUCUAGGUUAUAUACAACAGAGGGAUAUAGGGAUUACGGACCCAUACUUGAUCAAUGCCAACAGGUUGUUACCUCAGAAAUGAAUGACCAGUUAAUAGCCUUGGUCACUUUUGAGGAGGUUCGCAAGGCCACCUUUCGGAUGGGAACUACAAAAGCUCCAGGCCCUGAUGGUUUAAAUGGUUUGUUUUAUCAAAAUCACCGGGAGACCAUUAAAAAUGAUCUUAUUCUUUUAGUGCAAAACUUCUUUACAUCAGGGGUGAUGCCUACAACUCUAAAUCAGACAAUUAUUGCUUUGAUUCCCAAGACACCUCACUUAGAGAGACUGGAGCAAUAUCAUCCAAUCAGCCUCUGCAAUUUCGCAUACAAAAUUAUCUCAAAGGUAAUUGCUAACCAUUUGAAACCUUGAUUUCCUUAUCUGAUUUCUAAGGAACAAUAAGCUUUUGUGAGUGGAUGAUAGAUUCAAGAUAACAUUUUAAUCAUUCAAGAAGUUCUUCAUCAAUUUAAGACCCGGAAUAGGACACGGAAAUUCAACGCAAUCCUAAAGACCGACAUGCAAAAGGCGUACGACAGAGUAGAAUGAGAUUUCCUUCAUGACUACCUACUCCAACUGGGGUUCCAUCCAAAAUGGGUUCAGUGGAUAAUGCAGUGUAUCACAACAUCUUUUAUUGUUAAAUUUAAUAGAGAGCAACUACCUUAUUUUUGCCCAACUUGGGGUCUACGACAGGGUGAUCCUCUAUCUCUAUAUAUUUUUAUUCUACUGGCAAAUGUUUUAUCAAGUCUUAUUAAUUAAGCUGUCAGCUUGGGACACAUCAAGGGUAUUAAGUUAAAUAAGUUGUGUCCUACCUUGUCCCAUCUUUUUUUCGCUGAUGAUGCAAUCUUUUUCCUAGAUGGUAACAUUCAGGAAUGCUAGAACUUUACUAAUAUUUUAAAUUAGUAUUGUGUGGCCAUGUGUGGCAUCCCAAAAUUCAUAACGACCUCUAGCUACAUUAAAUUCUAUGAAUAGGUGAUGGAAGUACCAUCAAGUUAUGGCCAUUUAAUUCAUAAUUUGUAAUAAGAUUUAUGGCCAAGCUUUUAAUGGAUAAUUAUUUGAUAGGAAAGAAAAUCCUAUCAUUGGCCAUGUGUUUUAUAAAUUGGAAUUUAUGGAUUCAUGAUUUCAAGUUUUAUGGCCAUAUGAAAUUGUAAUUUAGUAUUUAUAUAAGUUGGGAUUUAAGGUAAAUUAUUAAAAGUAAAGAUGGACUUAUUUAAGAAAAUUUUGGGCCAUUUAAGCUUGGACUUUAGGCCCAAGUGUGUUGGCCUAAAGUGGGCCAAGAGGCCCGGCCCAUAGAGCCAUGAAGUGGUCGACCAAGCUGGCCCAAGAUAGGCCCAAGAAGAAGGCCCAUCAACCUUGCAUGUAAUCGGACAAGUGGCAUGAAGGAGGUGAAGCAUGGUGGACACUUGUCUUCCUCCACAAUUACACUUGUCCCCCAUGCAAAAUAAGAAUACAUGCAAGUAUAUAAGCAACCAAAAAGGAAGAGAGAGAGGGAGUGGCUGAUGGUUGAGGGCUGUCGUCCAAGAGAGGUGCCAAGAGAGAGGAGAGAAAGAGAGAAAGAGAGGAAGAGAGGAAGAGAGAAAGGAAGGAGCUCGCCUGUCGCCGCCGCACGCCGUUCGUCCGUCGCCGGUGUGCCGUCUGUGUGGUCGUGUUUGCUCGGUCUUAGAGGCAAGUUGGGACUGAUUUCCACCCUUGCAUGUGUGCUUUGCAUGUAUGAUUUGUUUGUGGUAGGUUUCGGAUCAUAGGGAAGGCAAAAAUCGGAGCUAGAAUGUGGCUGUUCUUGACUUUGCAUGCUGAUUUCGUGAGAUCCGCCUGAACCAGAAUCUUGUGACAGCUUGCAUGCAUAUUUCGAGUCUGAUUUUGACCUUGAUUCCUUCAUGAACGUUGUAGCUAACAUCUUAAAAUAAAACAUACUAAAAUUUGGUUGAAAAUGAUGGAGAUUUGAGGGGUUAAACUCUCAUCCUACGGAGACCUCAGAUCUGGAACGAUUUCACUGACUUCUUGUUGGAUUUGUGGUUUCAUGUUGAUUUCUGUUACGAAUCUCUCUUCGAUUUAUUCAUGAAAGUUGUAGGGGACAUAUUAAACUACAACAUAAUAAAAUUUUAAGUGAAAUUAACAAGUAUAACAUAGUAAAUAGACUAGAUCUUGAAGACGGUAAUUCUGGAGAUGUAUUACAGGACACCCGAGACUUCAUGGACCUAAAUGACGACUAUACCCUGGAUAUUUGACUUGGAUCUCUUCAUGAAAUUUGUAGAGAACAUCUUGAUGUAUAAUAUACCCAAAUUUCAGAGGAAACGAAGAAGAAUAGGUAGGUGAAAACUCAGUAUUUUGGAGAAGCAUGUACUGGACGUUUCGGUGAUGGAUCCAGAAGCUUCGUGUGACUGUAGAAAAUAAUCUAAAAAUAAUAUGACUUGGAAGUCUUCAUGAAAAAUGUACUUUAAUGUCUUGGCUAUAACUCGGUAAAAUUUCGUAAUUGUUGAAGGUCGUAUGGAUAUUUUAAUCGAAUUUCUUCGGAAACUGUGCAUACUGAUUUCAUCCGAAAAUUACAUGCUGUUUUGUGUGAUUUAUGGAAUUAUGUGAAAUCUUAUUUGACCAUGUAUUUUACAUGAAAUCAUCAUCCUAUUGUCUUGAUUAUCACUUGCCUUAAUUUUUAUGAUUUUUGAGAAUUAUAUAGAUAUUAAAUUAAUAUUUUGAAAAUGGCACUAGCUGGAAUUUAAAUAAAUGAAAAAGGGCAUGAAAAAUGGAUUAUUUUAUUUGGCAUAAUUCCAUUAAAUUUUAUUUCAUAAAUAAUUGUACCAUGUAGUAUGAAUGAUGAGGUCUUGAUGUAUGCAUGGCAAUGAAUCGAGAUACAUGUAUGAAUUCAAUGCUGAAUAUGAUUUUUGGUUGCCAUUACAAUAUAUGACAUGCUAAAUUAAGACCGAAAUUGGUGAACAUGAAUAAUGUUAAAUGAGGAGAUUGAUGUGGUGGAUGAUAAUGCCCCGGGAGUGUCGGGAUGCCCGGUGGUAUAUGGUACGUAAUUCCAGUGGAGGCCUGGUGAUAUGUCGGUACAUAAUUCCGGAAGCCCUGGAGGUUUUUGCCCAGGGGGAUGCCUCGCGAUGCUAGGAUUGGGGUGCGGGAUACCCGGCUAGGGAGUGUAAAUGCCGGAAGCCCUGUCGGAGGUCUUUGUCCGAGGGGAAUGCCUCGUGAUGCCAGUUGGGAUAUGAGAUGCCCGGAAUGUGGGGGGGCCGGAUGCCCGGUGGCCUGGAAUGGCUGAAUGCCGGAGGUUUUUCUCGCAUGGGAUGCGAGUGUAUAAUAUGAUAUAAAUGAUGAUGAUGAUGAUGAUGAUGAUGAUGAUGAUAUAUGAUAUGGCAUGAUGAUGAUGAUGAUGAUGAUGAUGAUGAUGAUGAUGAUGAUGAUGAUGAUAUAUGAUAUGUCAUGAUGAUAUGCAUGAUGAUGAUGAUGAUGAUGAUGAUAUAUGAUGAUGAUAUAUGAUAUGGCAUGAUGAUAUGCAUUAUGAUGAUGAUAUAUGAUAAGUCAUGAUGACAUGUGUGAUGCGAUGAUGUCAUGAGGAUGACGACAUGUGUAUGAUAUGAUGAUGAUGACAUGUAUGGUAUGAUGAUGUCAGGUAUAUGAUGAUGAUGACAUGUGUGUAAUAUAAUAAUGUCAUGACGAUGACUAUAUGAGUAAGACAUAACGAUACACAUGUAUGUGUUAUGAUUGUGGUGAUAUGCAUGAUAGUAUAUGCAUGUCUUCAAGGUAAGUAAUGCCUGGAAUGCAUGUAUGAUUUGUAUGAUGCAUUGAGUGGUUAUUGGUCCUUUACCUGUUGAAUGGUUGUACUCACCCCUUCGGGGACCAACAUUUCAAAUUAGUAGAUUGAGUGAGCGGUUGUAUAUGACCGUUAGGAGGAGGAUAGCAAAUGAGGGAACUUUUGGACGCUGACACUGGUUGAUGAACCUUAAGCAUACGAUUGUGGGAAGAGAAGUUGGUCAUCUUUUGAAGUAUAGCCUAGUAUAGGAAACUAUGGCACUUCGAUGUACCGACUAAAGAUGUCCAUCUGCUUUAUGUAAAUAAAAGUGUACGGCUUUAACUUAUAUAAGAUGUUUAGUAGGUGUGCAUCAUUUUCCGUAUAUAUGGAAGUGAGUUGAUGGAUAUGCUUCUACUAUAUGAAUUGCGCAAGGGACCGAUAUAAAAAAAAAAAGAAAAAAAAUGUAAACCCCUAGGUUGUAUGGACCCGCUACAAUUGAAAUGGUAUCAGAGUGAUAUGUUAAUAAGGAAAGUGAAAGGUAAGCGAACUGUGGCGACCCUAACGGAUUGGGGGCCGUCAAGGGGUGCCACACCAUGGGACAAGUAGUGAACCGCAACAACUCUGGAAUGAUUUUCAGUAAACAUUGUCCUAUUAGAUUGUAGGAAAAUAUGUCGCAGGAGUUUAGAACACCUGUGCUGCAAAGGUAUGGCAAAUAUUUGGGAAUACCAUCUAAUUGGGGUCAGAUCGAAGAAGGAAAUGUUCUCUUAAAUGCCGAAUUGGAGGGAUGGAAAGAGAAAUUAAUAUCAAAAUGUGGUAAGAAAAUUCUUAUCAAAUCUGUUGUACAUGCACUCCCACAUUAUGCCAUGUCGAUCUUUAAGUUGCCUCUGUCUAUUUGCAAAUCUAUUGAAAAAAGCAUUGCUAGAUUUCGGUGGAGAAAUGAUCAAAACAAAGUAGGAAUCCAUUGGCAAAAAUGGGAAGUUCUUAAAGGAAGCAAGGAUAACGGAGGCCUAGGCUUCUGUGAUCUCAUAGCAUUUAACAGAGCGAUGCUUGGAAAGCAAGCUUGGAGAUUAUUACAACAGCCUCAAUCUUUAUGGAGUCAUUCAAGGGUCUGUACUUUCACUCAAAAGACUUUCAAUCCUAGGGUUGGCCAUCCUAGGGUUGGCAGAGCAUUCUAAUGGACAGAGAUGCUAUUCUACCACACAUUCGCUAGUUAGUUGGUAAUGGAAAUAAGAUCCGAAUCCGUGGAGAUCGGUGGUUACCAAUGGACAUUCUCCAUGGACCUAAGACUAGAGAAGAACCAACGAUGGUGGCUGAUCUUAUUGAUCCAAUCCACCAUAAUUGGAACAGAUCGCUGCUCCACAGGUUUUUAGAUGAUCAGGUCAUAGCAGAAGUUCUUACCAUCCUAGUAAGAGCUCUCUAUACCAAAGAUCAAUUAGUUUGGACAGCCACAAAGGAUGGCUGACAUACUGUGAAAAGCAAUUACCAUACUCUAAUGCAGACUACAAGCAACCACAGCAGUUACAGAGCGUCAACAUCUUACCAGAAUCCCAGGAUAUUGUGGCAAAGAAUAUGGGCAAUGAAACAACACAAAAAAUUAGAACAUUCCUAUGGUCAGUUUGUCAAAACGCACUAGCAUCUAGAGCAAUUUAUUCCAACGACACAUUGUCAUUGGUCCCUUAUAAAAACUAUGUCAACAGAACACUCCAGAAACCCUAGAGCAUCUAUCUCUCCUGCUCUUGGACUAGGCUGUCGCGACCAAAAUUUUUCGGGUUCACCACCUAAAACUAGGUUAAUGGAUUACUAAGUCUUUAAGCUUAGCUCGGGCUCUCCCAAGCCCAUACCAAUUCGCGACUUAGGUUAGAAAUCUUAACAUGCAAAUGAUUUUUAAUUAGGAGUCGCUACUAAUCUAUUUUUGGUGGGUCGAUUAGAAACCCUAGUAAAGUAAUGGGAGAUUUACUUUACUCCUACAAACCAGAGACUAAUGGUACGGGGACUUGGUUACGUUAGAUUUCUCUAACGCCCUUUCGGUACCUUUCUUUUUAUUUUGAAAAAUGUUUUUUUUGCAGGCAGCUGAUUUAUUUUAAACUAUCUCCCUAACAUGUGAGGUUAUUAUGCGGGUGCGCAAACCACCAAUUUAACACCCAAUAAAGCAAUUAAAUAAUGUAGAAUUUACCUCAAAGCAACGAAAGCAUUUGCAGUGUUAAAUUAAAAUCCACAUCAACAAUCCUAGAUAUGGUUUCUAAUUAACGAGCAAUUACUCAAUUUUUGUUUUCACUUUAUCUAAUGAGAAUCAUGCGAUGCAUGCUAAUAAUCUAAUAUGACAUGUCAACAUGACCUAAACUAUAUGACAUGAAGAAAUGCAAUAAUUAAAUGCAAUCUAAAUGACCUAAUUCUAAUGACAUGCAAUGCGAUGCAAUGACAUACAAAAUUAUUUAACCUAAGAUGACAUGCAUCAUACAAUUUAGUAUGCGAGUUAUAUGUCAUGCGACAUUUAUUAAAUGACUUAGUCUAAUGACGAGGAAGUUCUAAUUAAAUGAACCUUAUAAAAACUAAAUGAUGUGCAUUUGAUAUUUCUAUUUUAAAAAAUGCACAAAUGAUCUAGUUAGAUUAAAAUUCUAUCUAAUUUAAACUAAGGAUUAAGUCACAUUAAAUCCUAAUUUAAACUAAGAUAUUAUCUAAAUCUAACAUGUAAUUGAUCUAAUAUGUAAUGACGUGCAAAGAAUGCCCUAAUUCAACAUGAUAUAUGCAUGCUGAUUUUUUGUGUUUUUAUAUUAAUUUCGAAAUUAAAAUUUCACAUACAAUUCAAAUAAUGAUAAAACUAACAACCUAAAUGAAUGCACUUUUUUAUUUUUUAUAUAUUUUUUAAAUUCGGAAUACAAUCCCUACUCUAGAUAUGCAAGAUAACGAGAAAUAUUCUAAAACAAACUGAAUCCUAAUUCAAAUAUUUUUUAGAUUUUUUAGUGGUUUUCAAAAACAAGCAAUUAUCAACUAAAUCUAAACAAUCUAAACUAAUCAAGGCAUCCAAUCAAAUAAAGGAUCAAAAUAAUCAAAAAAAUAACCUGUUGUCUCACAGGUCAAAUUAACGAUUAUCCUAACCCUAAUUAUUACGACAAAGAGUUCAAAAUAACUAAAAAUCUGAUUCGAAUUCUUACGGAUCAAAUUAAUAAUUACAUUGAUUCAGCAUUUAAAACAAUAUUAACAAACCCCAAAAAUUAAUAUAAUUAAAAAAAAUGAUCCGACAUCUUACGGAUCAAAUUAAUAAUUACAAUAAUUUUAGGGAAGACCCUGUGGAUAAUGCCUACAAAAUCCAUGAAAUAAAGAUCACUCCUAAACUUAAAAGGAAUAAAUAAAAUAAAGUAAAUAGAAAAAGAAAAUAAAACUACCUAAUUUCCCUUUCCUUUUCUUUUUUUGUUUUUCUUUUCCUGCUUUCUUCACCCACGGCUGAGCGGCUUCGGUGGAUCACCGAAGGUUGGGUCGUCGGCGUUCAAAGCUCCGGCGAAGACCAGCAACGGACUAAUCGGCGGCGAGCGGUGGCGUCGCGAGGAGCAGCAGCAGGCAGUCUCGCUUGGGCUCGGGCUCAGGCAGAGGAUCGGCGUCGGGCUGUGAGUGGGGACGAUCCGGCGUCUACAGGCGAAGCGGUGCGCGGCAAACGGAGGGUAGAGGCGUCGGCAGCAAUGGUGAGUGUUGCGAGUAGCAGGUGGGUCUUGGAUCGGCUUGGGCUGCAACGGCGUCGUCGUUCGGGCGAAGCUGCAGGAGACGGUGGCUGACGAGGUUGCGGGCUUCAACGAGGGGUGCGGUCGUCGGUUGGGCGAUGCAGAUCGUGGUCAGAUCAGGGGCGGCAACGGCGUCACAGCAGUGCAAGCUGUCGACGGGCGCUUGGGCGGAAUAAACGCGAGCUAAGCAGGGGCAGGGCUCGGCGCGGCAUGGUGGGCUCGGGCGGAGGAAGACUCAGGCGUCGGGGACUCGGGGCGGCGCGGUGGUUGCAGCAGUUGCUACUGGCUUCGGCUUCCAGGCGGCGUCGGCGUGCGCGGAUGCGUCGAAGGUAAGGCGAGGGCUGCGCGGCGGUCGCGGCUACGUCGACGUGGGGAAGGCGGCUCGGCUGUGGCACGGCUCGGGCCUACUCGCGGAGGGUGGAGCGUCGGGUCUCACGAGUUGCAGCGGCGGCGGGUGAGGAGUGGCUUCGGCGCGGUAGAUCGGGCUCCGAGCGAGUGCGGGGACUGAGCAGAGGGCGGUGAUGGCGCGGUGCAGUGAAUGGCGGUAAUCACGCGGUGAGACGAAGGAGCUCUGGGCAGUCGCGGAUGGAACAACAACGUGGGUAGUGAGAUUGGGGAGACGAUGAACAGUAGGAAUCAAAUCACCUCUGCCUUUUUACUUUUACCUUUCCCCCUCUCUCUCUCUCUCUCUCUCUCUCUCUCUCUCUCUCUCUCUCUCUCUCUCUCACGUCACUCUCCUAAUGACCUUUGACGAAGAGAAAACCUAGAAAAAGCCCCCUUCUCUCAUCGUACAUGGCUCCCUUUAUACGCAAAUAAGACGUGAUCUUCGUGAAAUAUUUCAUCCACUUUUCAAUAUACACGAAGAUUUUCCUAUAACCUCUGAAUCACAAAAGUCUCUUAUUUUUCUUAUCUCCUAAAUAUUUUCUAUUGAUUUUUAAAGAUAAGAUCAAAAACCCAAUUUUUUUAAAUUCCAAAAAUCCUCAUUUCAAAUCGCAAUUUCAGAAAACGGGCUUAGGCCAAUUUGUACUCUUUUCGUGGGCCUAGCCCAGCCUGGUAAUUUAAAACUCAAAAACACCAAUUCAACCCAUCCACCACCAGCCCAGUAAAUAAAAUGCAAAAUAUGCAAACUAAAUGUAGCUAUGCAAUCAAUAUUUUUUUUCAGGGAUAAAAUUAACCCAUAAUUUUUUAUGCAAUAAAUGACUAAGUGGAUCGCCAAAAUUUAGGUGUCAACAAGGGUUAUCUGGACUCACUCACAUAUCAACAUACAGCCUUUGCCUCAAAUGAUUCAUCGUUUAGAUGCAUGGUUAAUAGCAAGUUUGACAACAUCUAAACACUCACUUGGACUGGAAAUCAUUGCAAAUGUCCUUUAGCAGAUCUGGAGGAUGCGAAAUAACUUCAUUUUCCGCAACCAACAACCGAAUCCAACCUUUGCAGUGGAGGCAGCUAUUGCACAUACCAAAUUAUACCAAAUCUUUGCUUCCACUCGUUUGAGAACAAAGUUUGGUACUCUGAAUCCCGCGCAGCUUUGGAGACCUCCAGAUUCGGGAACCCUGAAAUGCAACAUCGAUGGUGCCUAUCAGCCAGGAAAUACAUAAUGAUCGAUGGCCUAUAUUUGUAGAGACCAUCAAGGUUGACUUACAGAUUCCUUUUCAAGAAGAUUUCUAGCGGCUUCGGCUCUUGAGGCAGAGAUCCAAGCGCUUACCUUCACGCUUCAACAUUUGCUGUAGCAAGGCCUCAACUGUGCACAACUUGUGAUCGAAUUGGACUGCAUCACCCUUGUCGACGCUGUGCGAGAUGGGAGAUUGCCGCCGUGGGAAGUUCGUGCUCUGCUUGCGGAGGUGGUUGUUUUGCUUUCCCAUUUCCCUAACCUAAGGAUGCAACACUGUAGGUGUGAGGCGAACAUGGUAGCCGAUUGGGCUACAAAGGCCCAACACACAGACUUUUCGGCCCACAAUUGGAUCCUUUUUCCUCCUUUUAUAGUGCUUGACCUAGUUUAUGUGGAUGCUUUGGCUUCAGGUUGUAAGUUUCCUUUGAUAUGAAUACAAGCGUUUUCUUUCGACCAAAAAAAAAAAAAAACUACUCUAUAAGAAUUUCCAAAGCUUACAAAAAAUGUAGUAAAAGUUCGAUCUCAUUCUAUGCAAGAAACAUGUUCUCAAUAACACAUACAAUAUUAAAACUCUACCAUUUUUAAGACAUGAGUAUGUAAAUUCUUAGAAAAAAUAGUAUUACUCAUCUGCGAAGGGCUGAAAACCAACCUACCUUGAUUAAUCAAGCUGACACACUCGUAUUCCUAUUAAUUAUUGAAAAAACGAUAUAUAAAACCAAGUAAUGCACUAGUCUAAUGAACAAAUUGACUAAUUACACCUAUUCUUUGAUAACAUGACACCCACACACAAAUGAAUGAAUUCGUUUAUAGCAAACAUCCAUCAUUUUCCUUACGCUUAUUGUUUGUUAUGCAUAAUUCGCACAUGAAACUUCUGAAUUUCAUUCCAAACAAACCAUAUUUCAAAAUUGAUUAUCAAUAAAUGCCAUUACUUCACAACACCCUAGGCUACCAAUUUCCCAAAAAUCAUAGUUCAAAAUAUAUAUAACUCUAAAUUUGUGCCCCGACUUUCAAAAUUACUCCGAUUACAAUAAUAUUAGGUUUGAAUACUUACUUGGUGUUGCAAUUCACAGUUGAUUCAACUUGUCGAGUUGUUUGGAUCGUGACUGCACUAAUUUUUUUCUCUUUUCCCUUUUUCUUUUCGGCGGGCUCCCUUCUUCCUUAUUGUCGAUGGUGGUAUUCUUGCAUCAUCUACUAAAGAAUAAGGAAAUAAGUUGGUUAAUGGUAGAGAUGUUAAACGGGUGGGUCGGGUCGAGUUUGGGUCGAGUCAUUAAUGGUCCGAUCCAAAUUGACCCAUUAACCCAUUUAUCACCCAUUUAUGCCUAAUGUAAAUUUUUCAACCCAUACCCGACCCGACCCAUACCCAACCCAUACCUGACCCAAUCCAUAUUAAUAAAUUAUUUUCAUAUUUAACCAAAUUUAGAAAAACUUAUUCCUAAUUUUUUUUAAAGAUUAUAUUACUAAAAUACUUCCAAGCUUAUUUCUUAUAUAUAUUAAAAAUGGUAUUGCUAAAAUAGUUUAUACAACAUAAUUUUAAUGGACAAUUUUUAUAAUUUUUAAAUUUUAAAAAAUCGAAUUUUAAUUAUUUUUAUAUUUUAAAAUAAUUUUAAAAUAAUUUUUUAAAUAUAAUUUUUCUUUUUCUUUUUUCUUUUUUGUUCUUCUUCUUCUUUGGCCGGCAGCCGGUCACAGGCGAGCUUCGAGCUCACUCGGCUCGCCGAUGCCGGCGACCUCAAGUCUUGCCAGAUCUGCGAGGAUCAAGCCUCGCCGGACUUUGGGGAGGCCUCUGCCUCACCAGAUUGACGAGGCUUGAGGCUCGCCGACGUUGGCCGAGCUCGAGCUCGCCCCUUGUUGGAUUUGGCGAGGCUUGAGCCUCGCCCGACAUCGGUGAGGCCUCCGCCUCGCCAGAUCUGGUGAGCUCGAGGCUUGCUGGCGUUGGGCGAGCUUGAGCUCGCCCCUUGCCGAAUCUGGCGAGGCUUGAGCCUCGCCCGACGCCGGCGAGUUCGAGUCUCGCCGGGCGUCGGCAGCCUUGCCAGAUCAAGCGAGCUCGAGCUCGCUCGACGCCGGCGAUCUUGAGGCUUGCUUGGCCGGUCACCGGCCAUCGCCGUGUCGGUGACCGGAGGAAGAAGAAAGAAAAAAAAGGAAAGAAAAAAGAAAAAAAGAAAAAAAUAAAACAAUAAUUAUAGUUUCGGUUAAAAAAACUAAAAUUAAAGAGAGAAGAGAGAGAAUGUGAGGUUUUGGCUUUGGGUGAAAAUAAAUAGGUUGAUAAAUGGGUCUUAAAUGGGUCUAGAGCUGACCCAUUUAAGACUUAUAUUUCUCACUCUCUUUAUUUUUAAAACCCAUUAUGGGUGCUUUAGGAAAUAAUGCUUGACCAAUUAAUGACCCAUUUAAACAUAAAUGGGUUCAUAAAUGGGUCAAUGAUUCAUUUUGACACCUCUAGUUAAUGGGCUGGGCUUUAAGAGACUUGGGUUGGCUGGCCCCAUUAUUACGGUUAGUACGUUUAUUGAAAUAAUAUAAGAUGUGAAGGAUGAUAUUAGAGCGCUCACAUUUUUCUUUUGCAGUUCAAAUAGAAUGUUCUCAAUAGGAUGUGGUGAAAAAGUGACACAUUAUCACACACUAAGGGCGUGCAUGGUUGUGUUUAUUUUUUCUGUUUAUGAACAAAAAAUUUGUUUUUUUGUUCCCGGGAACAAAAAAAGAACAGAAACACGUUUGUUUACGUUUUUGUUCAAAAUCUAUUUUUUUGCUCUCGGAACAAAAUUGGAACGGAAACAAGAAACAAAAAAAAGUUGUUUUUUUGUUCCGGAAACACUUUUGAAGAAUAAAUUUUCUCUCUCCUAUCUUUUCUUCUCUUUUUUUUUUCUUCUUCCUUUCUUCUUCUUUUUUCUUUAGCCGAUUGCCGGCCCUGGCCAUGGCCAGCGACCGGUUGUCAAGGGCCGGCGAUGCCGUUGAGGGCCGGCGACCUCGCCGGAGUGUCGCCGGCCCCCGGCGAGGCCGAGCCUCGCUCGGGGCCGAUGAUGCUCAGCCUCGCCAGAUCUGGGCGAGGCCAAGCUCGCCUAGCCAAGGCGAGGCUGAGCCUCACCCGCACCAGCGACGCUCAGCCUCGCCUUGGCUGGGCGAGCUCGGGCUCGCCUAGAUCCGACGAGGCUGAGCCUCGCCAGGGGCCGGCGACACUCGGCCUCACCAGAUCUAGGUGAGGCCAAGCUCGCCCAGCCAAGGCGAGGCCUCGCCUUGGCUGGGUGAGCUCGAGUUCUCCCAGAUUCGGCAAGGUCGAGCUCGCCCAGCCAAGGCGAGAUCGAGCCUCACCGAACCAUGGCGAGGCUCGGCCUCACCCUUGCUAGGUGAGGUUGUCGAUCCCCGUCGGCCGGUUGCUGGCCUCGGCAUGGCCAGCGACUGGCCAAAAGAAGAAAAAAAUAAAAAAUAAAAUAAAAAAGAAAGAAAUAAUGGAAAAAUAAAAUAAAAAUAUUAAAAAAUUAAAAGAAACAAAUAAAAGAAUAUAAAUUUACUAAACGUGUUUCUAUUCAUUUUUUUAUUUAUUUCCGGAACAGAAAUAGUUUUUUCUAUUUAUGUUCCCCGGAACAAUUUUUGAAUAGAAACACAAACAAACACACCCUAAAUAGAAGAUAAGCGCUGAAUCCAUUUAUCAAUACACGUAAACUCAAGCAAGGAUUUUUAUUUAAUACGGUUCGACACUCUUCCUUAGGAUACUUGAGAGAGCACAGAGCUUUCCCACCCUAAUAGUCUUCUUAUAUAUGGUGAGCUAUUGGCUGCACAAAUGGAACAUAUAGGCCUAGUGCAGGCGAUCCGUUGGAUCAUGUCGGCUUAGGGUGUCGCCCCCGCAUGCACGGUACAUCGAGUUGGGCAGAGCACACGCACAACCUUGUUAAAUACUCCACGGAAAGCAAUAUCAAACUGGAAAGGAAAGGAAAGAAAUGACUAGAAAACACGACUGAGCUAAGGUCCAUGUUUAUUCUGGAGCGCCAACUGAAGGCGUUGGGCUCGGUGGCCUUAUUGGCUCAUCAAUGCGCACCGUGGCAGCACUUGAAGGUGGUGACGUUGUCCAUGUUCAGGGUGCAAUUGGCCGUGGGGCACCUGAUGCACUCCUGUAUGUCGCCAACCAUGGUGGGGAUAGAGAGUUGGUGGCAUUGUGGCAUGACAAUGACCUCCUCGUAGUAUACUAGGAAGUGGGUGCCAAAAUCCUGUGGGUUAGUCACGUUCUUGAUCCACUUCCAGUGCAUAGACAGCACUUUCCUGAGAUCCGUGAGACUAGUGCUGACGAUCAUGCCCGACUCCUUCGUGAGGAUGGUGAACCCCUUUGGUUCUUGUAGCUGGUAUAGAGCUCGAGCAGCUUUAGCGUCAGGGAAUGGGGCAUCUCCUUGUUCACCUGCAUCUUCCAGGAUAUGCAAUUCUCGAGGCGGGAAAGGAAUUGCUUUCUCUUGGUGUUGAUGUUGAAGGGCUUGAUGUGGAAGGAGGCAUAGAGUUCCCUGCUCAGGAUGUUUUCAAUCUUUUGGACAGUCUCGGGGUCUUCAGAUGAGCCCUGCACGAAGCCGUGCAAGAAUAUGAGCUCGUUCCUUUCCCACUGGCCAACAAGCAAGACACGGGACAUGCUAAAAGAACAAGAAUACAAAUCCACAGAAUCUGGAAAUUCUUAAUCUAUCGUGCGUAUAUUCUUGUUUAAAUUCGGCACACGUGACAUUAGAUGUAUCUAAACUUUUAGAUUGGGUAAAGUCUACGUGAAGUCUGCAAUAAUAAGCUUGCUCCACAAGAUUUUGUGUAUAAUGUGCGAGUAUCUGCUUGGCCGAGCGUGUCACAGACUUAACCCUCAAAUAAUCCAGUCAGAAGAAAUUAGAACAGAGGCUGUCUUCCUUCGUCCCUAUUUGGAGGAAGAUCUCCAGCUAGACUUUCAUUGUUAUAACCUAUAUGUAAACUAAACUAGUUAUAAAUGUGAGUGAUAUGUCUAGAUUUGCAGCGCACUGAUCAAAAGUGAUGCAAGCCAAGGUUAGGCUUUCUCAAAUAGUAGGAUCGGGAGAGUGACUUGCACACGGGAAACAGGACGAACAGAAAUUUCAGCACUGCGCAAGUUUAGAAGAACAGUCGUAUCUUUGUUGAUACAGAUCGGAUUGACCUGAUUCCAAAGCCGAAUGAACAAAGACUUCUGGAUCUACAAUUUCUCUGUUUUGGGUUUUCUGAAAUAAGCACUGUAGGAUGAUCGAAUUUGGGUUGGAAGUGGGUGAAAAUAACGAACAGAGCAAGAAAAUAUUGAAACUUCAUUGGUUGCUCUUCUAGGCCUCCAAGGAAGUUGAGAGGGCACCGAUUCUUCUAGAUUGAUGACUGCAACUCUUCAAGGAUGCAGAUUUCGAAAACCUCUGACUCUUCAAGGACGGAGUGAAAACUCUUAUAAGUUUUCAAGGGUACGAUACUUGCUUGAAAGCAAAGUUUUCAUUCAUCAAAAGUCGUCUAUCUUGUACAAGGAAUUGGAUGGCUUAUAUCGUCAAAGAUAUAAAGAUAGAGCAUUGAAACUUGAAAGCAUUAAAGAACUCUUAAACUAGAAAAAUAGUAAAGAGUAUAGAAAUUAGAAACUAGUAAAAGCAUAAUGUCUUCAUGGCUCCCAAUGUGUCUUUCAAGCUUCUCGGAUGGACUCAAGAUAUUGAUAUGGCUUCUCGGUUGAAUUGACAACUUCAUCAAACUUCAUCGACAACUUCAUCGAUAAGAGGUUUCGUCGAGCUUGAAUGUAGGCCAAUCUUCUUGGUCGAGAGAGCUAGUCUUCAAUGCAGGCUGCAUCAUUCUCCCCAUCUUUAAAAGAAUUCUUCCUUGAAUUCCAGCCAUCAUCAUCAGAAGAAUCUCCCACAUAAGGUGUUAAAUGUCAAAUGUUGAAGACGUCGUGAAUCUUCAUAUGAGAAGGAAGAUUUAAUCGAUACGCAUUAGGAUUGAUGCACUCAAGAACUUCGAGAGGUCCAAGCUUUGAAUCACUAAGUUUGUUAGAACUUCCAAUAGGAUGCCGUUCCGGUGGCAAAUAAGCCAAACAAAAUCUCCAGGUUCAAAGAUAACUUCACGUCACUCCUUGUCGAUGUCCUUUUUAUAGGAUUCAGUUUUGCUCUCCAGUCUUUGGGUGCACAUCUUCAUGAAUUGUCCUCAUUUGAGAAAACAAUAUCGUCGACUUUGCUGCUCGACUUCUUAGCAAAAUGAAUUGGUGCAAGAUCAAGAGUAGUGUUUGGUUGUUGACCAUAUAUGAUCAUAAAUGGACUAUAUCCAGUGUUACGGUUCUUAGCACAAUUAUAUGCAAAUUCUCCAAGUGACAACCGUGUCUCCAAGAACAGGGAUUAUUAUCAAUCAAAGUCUUUAAUAGAUGUUGACACCUAAAUUUUGGCGAUCUAGUCAUUUAUUUAUUACGUAAAAAAUGGGGGAUUAAUUUUUACCCCUAAAAAAAUUAUAGAAUUAAAAUUACAUAACAACUAGUUUUAGGAGCAUUUUUUUUAUUCACAUUUGCAUUGGAUCGACUGGCGAUAGAUGAGCGUUAAUUCAAUGAUAUGACGGGAGAUUUUUCACAUAUUUAGGCAAUAUACAUCGAAGGAUAUAUAUAUAUAUAUAUAUAUAUAUAUAUAUAUAUAUAUAUUUUUUUUUUUUGACAGAAAGGAAAGUUUCAAGUGGAAUAUUAGAAAAACAUAAAGAGAAUAUUGCACGUGGGGCAUAAAUUGAGUAGUAUAUUUUUUGACUCAAAAUAAGAAAUAUUACAUAAUCAAAGGGGAUUUCGUGUGUGAGCUGAAAAGGAAAGGAAAAAUAAGGAACAUUUGCCAAAAAAUUAAGUCCUUCGCUUGUAUAAAAGGGACGGCGUAUGGAUAAUUUUUUUUUUUUGGGAGGGGGGGUGGUUUUUAUUUCAUAACGUCAAGGGGGCUUUUUCUCGAUUUGGAGGUAAACACAAAAGAAAGAGUCUUUUUUUUUGUUCUUGGGGGGCUUUUGCUUCGUUCUCCUAAAAAUAAAAAACAACACAAAAAGAAAAGAAAAAAUCUUUUGAGGAAAAGAAAAGUCAAGGUGCAGAGAGCAGAAGCAACAGUGGGGAGAGGGAGAGGACGUGAGAGAGAGAGGGAAAAAAGAAAAAAAGAAAAGGAAAAAAGGACUGUUCAUCUUCUUCGAGGACUCUCCCCGCCGGCGUCCGUCGCUUCCCCCUGUUCGCGCCAACCACUACACCAACCACCGCCACUCCGCCAGCCGUCCGCGACCGCUUGAUGCUGGCCCACGCCUGCCUCCCUGCCCGAGCGCUAACGUUCGCUCGUCACCGCAGCCACCGUCUUCGCCCGCUGUUGUCUCGUCGCUCCGCCACUGCGCCUCCGCCUCGGUUGCGACCUGCAGAUCCCGCACCUCGCCUCGCGUGUCCACGGUCGCUCCUGCAGCCGGCCCCUGUUGGAAAUUUCCUAUAAUAUGGGCUUACAUUAAUUAAUUAAUUUUCUAUUUUAAAUAAUCGGGUUAAUGGAUAUUACAAUAUUUGUUGAACUGUAAAGUGAUCUGAUUGAAUUGGGUAUUGGCAUCUAUUGAUAACGAGCCUAGUUGAGCAGCAAAGUGUAAGCAAUUGUGUUUAACUGAAGCCCGUAAUGGGAAGGGCCCAGUUAACACGCUGUUGAUUAAGGUUUGCUAGGUCCCCUCUCUAGCCUAUAAAAGGGUAUGUUAUACCUAUCAGUUGCUUUAAUCCCAUUGAAAGCUGCUAUAUCGAAAUAGGUCAUAGAGAGGAAGAUCUGGCAUUCUAAUAGAUUCCUGAUUAUCAGAGUGAUAUACUUUUCUUCAAGUGAAGCAAUGGCUCAAACAUGUACGCUUUAAUUCCGCUGUGUUUAUUGAUAUUGGUGUUUUACAAUCACAUAUGGAUCCGUUUCUUCUUGAUUAAUUAGUUGUUUAUGUGAACAAAUUACUUACAUGUGGUAUCAGAGCUUGUCAUAUAUGAUUGUAGAACCCAAAUGUUAUAUUUUUAUGGACAAAUUCGAAAUUUUCCUCUUUGAGCCAAAUAUGGGCAUUAUCUUUCCUGCGGAUGCUUGAAGCGGGAUCGGCUCUUGCUUGAAUAAUUUAGUUUUCUUCUCUCUUAGUUGGAUGAUUUUAGAAAGGAAUAAGAGAGGAAGAAGCAAACCCUAGCACCCAUGGCCAAAUUCGUUUUUUUUUUUCUCAAAUUGAAGCAAAAAAAAAAAACUUUCUUUAAUGCAAUCGAAAGAUGCUAAAACAUAUAUAUAACAAUGCUCAUGCAACGAUUUACAACAGACAUCAACCAAUUGCAAGUAAUUUGAAAAUUCUAUAACUUUUUGUGUAUAAACCCUAGAAUUUCAAAUUUAAAAUUCUCUCUCAAUUCUCAACAAAAUUAUACAAAUUAUAUAUGGUUGGAAAGAUCUCGACAUGUAGAACAAAAGCCCUAUGGUUUCAAAUCAAUCAAGCAAAAAGUCCACACGACCAUCGGCUUCUUUUAUAGUUUCACCUAGGAAGGCAAUCUUGCUUCGGACGAAACGAUGAAGGUGAAUUGUCGACAAAGGUGUUCUCUUUCGUUCUCGGGCAAGUUCCUUGGGCUCCAUCUCCCAUGGCAAAGAUUGUUUCUUUUUUUCUUUUUCUUUUUAUGUUCAAAGGGGUCAAUCCUGAGUAAGUGCCCGUGUUUGAUCACCCUUUUCUUGUUUAUUUAUUUAUUUAUUCUUUAGAGAUCCAAAAUCUUGUGGUAGAAUUCUUCAGAUGCAGCUUGUGCAGUGAUCAUUUUAUUUUUAACUGGCUACUCGAGAUUUUUGGGUUUUGCAUUGCUGUGUAUGGUGCAAUUGGAGUGAUUGUCUCAUAUAUAUAUAUAUAGAAAAAGUUCUAGAAUUUUAAGUUAGAUUCUAGUAUUACCUUUGAUUUUUAUUCGACGGUAGCAACGGUUAGUUUAGAGAUUACCGUAGCUGAUUGUUUGUUCCACUCUAGACGAGUGGUUAGGGUUUUUGCCUUCUCUUCCUCCCGCCUCGUGCUUUGGUGGGAUUGUGUGUACGGGGUUUCUGUGUGUUCGCAUUAGGUUCUUGCACCUCUUUCCUUUUCCUUGAUUGCCGCUUUGCCGUUUUACUCGGUGGACCGAGAUUACGCAUCAAUUGAUCCAUGUACGCAAUGGGUGACACUUAUGGCGUGCUUUUCGAGGUUUUUGCUGUUAUAAAGUCGAGAUUUGUGCCCUAUUUUUCGUUGAUUUGGGUUAUUUCUAUAUUAAGUAGUUAGUGAGUCGCUGAAGCUUUGGGGCUAUGGUGCUCCCUUUAGUCUGGAAAAGAGAACCAAUGGUUAAGAUUUCCUAAGUUGUCGGGAUAUCAAAUUUUAAAGAUGGAAAUAGUCGGUUUUUGCUUUUCACGUGCAGUGCGUGCAUCUUGUUGCUAGAUUCUAAAUGAAACCACUGCUUUAAGGCUUCAUUGUGAUUUCUCCAUAAAUAUGUUGAUUGUGGGGUGAGCAAAAGACCAAACUGUGAUUUUUGUUUGUACGAGUGGUUUUAUGCUAAGUUAUCUAUCUAGAUUUGUUGGGUUCAUAGUUGGUUUACUGAGUAAUGUGGCAUGACCAGCAAAUUCCAAACUUGCAAAUUCUAAUCUUUUUGCAAAUUGCUCGCACGGCUCCUGCAAUGCAUUGGUGUUUUAUUGACUAAGGUUUAAAAUUCCAUUGAAGGCAAUAUAAUGAAACCAAGAGAUUUGUGAAUCGAGAUCCAAAUGUAUAUAGAUACAAACAAGAGGAUGUUAUUUAUCAAAAAAUUAGGAUUAGGCUAGAGAGAUGUAAAAGCUGAAGGUUUCAGCAGUGGAAGAAAAGUCUAUAGUCUACCAUGUAGUGCUUUGGGGAAUCCCCAGGUUCAAAAGGGGAAAAUCGUAGAUGGUGCAUGACGAGAAGCACAUGAAUGAUUUUUUUUUUACAUGGGAAUUAUGUUUUAAAUCUAUCCAUUUGCAGCUUUUUUAUUUUUAUUGUAAUCUUUGGACCGGUGACUAACGGAAGACUAUAGCAUCAAAAUACAAAUUAAUCAAUAUUAUUGAAAAUUUUGGCGAACCAAACGGACCUUUCAUGUCUUCUUGUGUGGUUUUACCAUGAAUCAUCGGAGUGGACUGGCUUAACAUGAUUGAGGUUUAGAAGUUCUCUUUAUAGAGAUUUUGCUUGAUCUCUUGUGGGUUUCAUGCUAACAUGCAUGAAGGAUACUUCUAAAUUCAAAUGAUAUGAUUGUGUCAAAUAGGUGGAGAUUGAGUUAUUACAUGACUACGAAAUUUCCCAAAUUUAAAAGAUGCCAAAUUUAAAUAUGCCAACCAAGGGUUGACAGUGAGGAAGUGUGAGAUAAAGAUUAUCCUCAUGAUUUUUUGAUGUAAUGAUUAAUGAUAGCUACGAAAUUUUUGGCUUUCUUUAAUUCUAGUAACCAUUCGUAUUCAUUCUUGUUUUGCCAUGAGUCCAAAAUAUUAAAAUAAUAAUUAAAAAAAAUUGUGGCAAAAAUUGUUGCUUGAUAAAUGCAAUAUGAUCUUGGGAAGCACAUGUCGUAAAGUGCUUCAUAUUGUUAGAUGAAUUUUGGGCAUAUAUUUUUUGGAGUUUCCUAUUGAUAAAAAUUAGUAUAUACAAUUACUUGCCCAAAGGGAGUUAUUGUGUAUAUUAAUUUGAAAAUUGCAUGAAGAAAAAUUCCAAAAUUAAAAGAUGGGGAUGUAUGACUCAAAAAGAUUUAUCUGCCCAAAGGGGAUAAUUUUUUUUCUUAAAGUUAUAUGUAAUUCCCCUCUAUAUUGAUAUAUUAGAGAUAAAUGAUGGGGAUGUGUGACUCAAAAGGUUUAUCUGCCUAAAGGGGAUAAAUUUUUUAGAGUUAUGUGUAAUUCCCCUCUAUGUUGAGAUAAUGGAGAUAUAUAAUUUAAAGGAUUUGUCUGCCCAAAGGGGAUAAAUUUUUUAGAGUUAUGUGUAAUUCCCCUCUAUGUUGAGAUAAUGGAGAUAUAUAAUUUAAAUGAUUUGUCUGCCCAAAGGGGAUUGAUUCUUGAAGAUUAUAUGUAAUUCUCAUUUAUCGUCUCUAUAUAUUGAUAUCAUGGAGAUGUAUAAUUUAAAUGAUUUGUCUGCCCAAAGGGGAUGGAUCAUUGACAAUUAUAUGUAAUUCUCCUUAUUGUUAUUUUAUAAAUUUCAUGAUGUGAUAAAUAAUGGUGCAUUAUACACUCUGCCCAAAGGGGAGUUUAUAAUGUACUAAUUAUUUUUGUUGAAAUACUUAUUGCCCAUAAUUGAUCUAAUUGCAUUAUGUGUGACAAAUAGUUACUUUUGCUAUAAAUAACAACAAUGCCAUGGUUGAAAUGUUAAUUGGAUCAAAUAUUAUACUGUUAAAGAUUUGGUCAAAAAGGGAGACAUUGUAAUUGAGAAUAUUGGAACUAAGUCCAUAUUGGCUAAUCCUCUAACAAAAGACUUACGACCCAUUUUAUUUAAAGAAUAUGUGAAGAAUAUGGUUGUUUUAGAAUCUUCUAGAUAUUAUAGUUAUAUGCAGACUGAUAAUGCUUUUAUGAUGUCUAUUAAAGCAUUUAUUUUCAAUGAUUGUUGUUAUUGAUUCUAUUGUUAUCCUUUCUCCUGUUGACUAAGAAAUGGAAGUAUAAAACAUUAUCCUUAAAUAAAUUUUAGUUUAAAGAUGACUGGAUGUCACUUAUUAUGAGAUCUCAUGUUGGAUUAUGACAUAAUUGUGCAAUUUCAUGUUGUUUAGAAAUUGCACUAAUGCAGUUCCAUGUCGUUGAGAAAUUGCAUUAAGGACCGAUAAGAAAUAGUGUAUAUCUUGAUGACAUGUUGGCACUAUUUCUUACUACACUACUAGGCCCAUGAUCCAUGAAAAUAUAAUACUUAUUAUAUGUGAUUAUGGAAGGUCUUGUGUUGUGGUAUUUUCUUAACACAUUGAUCUCCAUAGUCCUAUAUUGAGGUUAUAUAGGAUUGGAUUGGUAUUGAGAUGUCAUUAUUGGAAUAUUAUUUUUUAAAAGUUGUGACCACAUAAAACAAAAUUUUUAGUUAUUAACCUGAUACUGUCUUUUUCAAAUAUAAAAUCUUUUUCGAAAUAAAAUAAGUUAAUUAAUGUAGCCCAAGUGGGAGAAUAUUGGAAAUUUCUUAUGAUAUGGGCUUACAUUAAUUAAUUGAUUUUCUAUUUUAAAUAAUCGGGUUAAUGGAUAUUCCAAUAAUUGUUGAACCCUAAAGUGAUCUGAUUGAAUUGGGUAUUGGCAUCUAUUGAUAACGGGCUUAGUUGAGUAGCAAAGUGUAAGCAAUUGUGUUUAACUGAAGCCCGUAAUGGGAAGGGCCUAGUUAACACGCUGUUGAUUAGGGUUUGCUAGGUCCUCGAGUAUUGGCAUUUAUUGAUAACGGGCCUAGUUGAGUAGCAAAGUGUAAGCAAUUGUGUUUAACUGAAGCCCGUAAUGGGAAGAGCCCAGUUAACACGCUGUUGAUUAGGGUUUGCUAGGUUCCCUCUCUAGCCUAUAAAAGGGUAUGUUAUACUUAUCAGUUGCUUUAAUCCCAUUGAAAUCUGUUAUAUCGAAAUAGGUCAUAGAGAGGAAGAUCUGACAUUCUAAUAGAUCCCUGAUUAUUAGAGUGAUCUACUUUUCUUCAAGUGAAGCAAUGGCUCAAACAUGUACGCUUUAAUUCCGCUGUGUUUAUUGAUAUCGGUGUUUUACAAUCACAUAUGGAUCCGUUUCUUCUUGAUUAAUUAGUUGUUUAUGUGAACAAAUUACUUACAGCCCAUACACCAGUGACCGCGACCCAGAACCUAUGCCUCUGCCGCCAGCCUCCGCAAUAGUGCCUGACGCCGGCUGUAGUCUUCGUCGCCCCUGUUGCAAUGCCACUGCACCGCCCUCUCCUGCUACCCGCCUCCGCAGCCACCUGCGUCCCCCUCUGCCAGCCACCGUUGCUCUGCCUGUAACCCAACGACACCGCUGUCGCGACCUGUAGAAGCUCGCGAGCCCCCCUCGCCAACCUCUGCCGCGUCUCUGCCAUCGCCGACCCACGAGCGCCGCCUUGCAACUGUCCGAAGCUCCGCCUCACCGUCGCUGUUCCCAUGUCCUCUGCCGGAGUCUCUGCCUUCGACUCGGCACUACCGCGACCUGCAGAUCCCGCAAGCACCCGCGCGUUCGCCACCGCCGACCCGCACCAGCCCUCCGAUGAGCCGUUCCGCCCUCUGCUACAGCCCUCUGUUCCCCGCAGCCAUGCAGCGGCUCGAGCCCUUGCGACGCCAGUAGUCGCUGCCCCUCACCAGCCGUGACACCAGCAGCCCGUCGAAGCCGCCACUGUGCCGCUCUGACUAGCAACCCGACGCUUGUUGCUGCAUUUGCCAGCCCCGAGCCUUUCGCCCGAGUGUUGCUACUGUUCCCCUCGAGUCCACUGCUGCCAACGCCGCUGGUCUGCCCUCGCCGGAGCUCCGAUGACCACGCCCACUCCGACGGUGACCUAUCACCUCUGGUGACCCACCACCGCGAGCUUCCAAGCCGUGUGUGGAAGAAAAAAGGGAAAAAGAAAAAUCAAAUUAGGUAGUGUUUUUAUUUACUUUAUUUACUUUAUUUUUUAUUUAUUUUUCUUAUUAUUAUUUAUUAUUUUGCUUUUUAAGUAGAACUAUUGCUUAAUGUAUGAUUAAGAUUCCCAACAUGAAGUAGUCUCUUAAAUUAGGGAUUGACAGUCUGAUUUUCGCGCCCGAAAUCUGACUUGCAAUCGCUUAGAAAAUCGUCAAUCCAAUCUCACGCUCAAGAUUUGAUCCACGGUUUAUUUAAAAUUAACCAACCCGAUCUCAUGCGCAAUAUAUGAUUCAUCAAUUUUUGGAUAUCAAUCUUAUUUUGCUCUAAUUUGCCGUCGUGUGGUUUGAGUCGAUUUUGUUUUCGUAAAAGAGAAAAAAAAUUGAAUUAGAUUAGGUUUAUUUUCUUAUGGUUAUCUUACAUAUUUAGAGUAGGAAUUUUAUUUCGAAUUUUUUAAAAAUUAAAAAUUAAAAAUUUUAAUCAAUUUAGGAUGCUAUUUUUUUUUUUUUUUUGGCCUUACUUAGGUUGCACAUUUUAUUAUUUGGCAAUUUUAAAUUUUGAAUUUUAUAUUUAAAAAAAACACAAAAGUCAUCAUGCGUAUGUCAUGUAGAAUUAUGGCAUUCUUUGUACGUCAUUGCAUAUCUUAUGUUUCAUUUUAAGUUUAGAUUGAUCUUUUAGAUAGAUUGCAUCUUAAGUUAAAGAUUGCUAAGUUAAGAUAAUAUCUUAGUUUAAAUUAGGAUUUGACCUAACCCAAUUCUUAAUAUAAGUUGGAUUGAAUCUUAAGCUAGCUAGUUUUGUUUUUUGUUUGGGUAACCGAGGACUCCACCACAUGCCCCCUCGUGCUCGAAUGGCUUUUGAGGACCGGGCCUCUAUACCUCGGGGAAGAGUAGCACAACAACCUACCACCAUGGCCCCCCACUUAAAUCGCUAGCAAUGCAUGGUUUCGAACUCUCUACCUCAAUGAUGAGGAAGGGACUCUCAACCAACUGGGCUACCCACGGAUGGGUUUAAUCUAGCUAGUUAAUGCAUUUUUCUUAAUUUCGAAUUUCAUGGAAAAUACAAAAAAAAAUUGUCUUAGAAUAAAUCAAUUUCAUUCUUUAGGAUAGAUUACAUGCUUAUUUCAUUUAUGUUAGUUUAGGUCAUAUUGUCAUGUCAUAUUAUUUCAUGCAUUGCAUAAAGCAUGAUUCUCAUUAAAUAAGUGAAAAAAAAAGAAUUUGCGUGUUAAUUAGAAAUCAUAUCUAUGAUUGCAAUGUAAAUUCUGAUCUAACACUGCAGAUGCUUUCGUUGCCAUGAGGUAAGUUCUGCAAUUUAUUUACUGGUUUAUCUAGAUGUUAAAUUGAUGGUUUGCGUAUUCACAUAAUAACCUCACAUGUUAGGGAAAUAGAUUAAAAUCAAUUUAAGAUGCUUGUCAAACAUUUGUUUAAAAUAAAAGAGAAAGGUACUGAAAGGGUGUUAGAGAAAUCUAACAUAAACAAGUCCCCGAACUCACAAUCUCUCAUUCGUAGGAGUAAAGUAAAUUUCUCGUUACUUUACUUGGGUUUCUAAUUGACUUACCAAAAAUAGAUUAGUGGCAACUCCUAACUAAAAAAUCAUUUGCAUGUUAAGAGCUAAAACCUAAGUCACAAAUUGGUAUUGGCUUGGGAGAGCCCAAACUAAGUUUAGGCUUAGUAAUCCAUUAACCAAACCCUAGGUGGUUCACCCGAAAUUUAGGUCGUGACAAUAGAUUUCCCAAUGUUCGAUUGACGACCUCAAUUUGUCCAUCCGUUUGGGCAUGAAACAUAGUACUAUAUUGUAGUUUAGUACCGACAUUCUUCCACAAUUGUCACAAAAAAUGACUAAGAAAUUUUGUAUCCCGAUCCGAAGUAAUGGUCUUCGGAAUGCCAUGCAACUUAUAGACUUCCUUGAAAAAUAAGUCAGCAAUACGCGAAUCAUCCAUAGUUUUUUUUUACAUGGAAUAAAAUGGGCCAUUUUUUAAAAUCGAUCGACAACAACAAAGAUUGAAUCCAUACCUUUGUUUGUGCAUGGUAGUCCAAGGACAAAGUCCAUAGAGAUAUCCUCCCAUGGGGCAUGUGGAAUCGGUAAGGGCAAAUAAAGGUGAGCAUUAGUAGCUUGUCCCUUUCCAAUUUGGCAACGUUGACACCUCAUCACAUGUCGAUGUACAUCACGUUUCAAAUGAGGCCAAAAGUAUUUGGUUGAGACAAGUUGUAUAGUUUUGUUGCGCCCAAAAUGUCCUUCACGGUGAACUUCAUCGAUCACCCUUUGCCGAAGAGAACAGUCCGGCACACAUAACCGGUUUCUUUUGAAAAGAAAACCAUCAUAUAUAGUAAAAUUAGCAAGCUUCUUUUCAUGUGCAUCAAGAAUGAUCUUGGAAAAGUAGGGGUAUUCUUUAUAUAACUUCUGAAAAGAAUCAAAUCCAAGAACAACAUAAUGCAUUGUAGAGAGCAAGCUAUUCUUUUGACUAAGGGCAUCAGCAACCUGAUUUUGAGCUCCAGCCUUAUGCUUAAUAAUGAAACUGAACUCUUGGAUGUAUUCAGCCCAUUUUACUUGCUUGGAGUUAAGCUUUUGCUGUCUGGAAAUAUACUUGAGAGCUUCAUGAUCAAUAUAUAAAAUAAACUCUCGAUGAAUAAGAUAUGGCCGUCAGUACUCAAGUGUGUGAAAUAAUGCGUAGAAUUCCAAAUCAUAGGUGCUGUAAUGAAGUUUGGCACCAUUCAAUUUUUCACUAAAGAAGGCAAUGGGUCGACCUUCUUGACUUAGAACUCCUCCUAUACCAAUACCUGAUGCAUCACAAUGCACUUCAAAAACAAGAUCAAAAUCAGGUAAUGCAAGUGCCGGGGCUGUGCUCAAUUUUUCUUUGAGUUGUUCAAAACUUUUAUGAGCUACAUUUGUCCAUUCAAAAAAUCCCUUCUUCAUGCAAGAAGUGAGUGGGGCCGCAAUGGUGCUAAAAUGCUCAAUAAACUAUCGAUAGAACGAAGUGAGGCCAUGAAAACGUCGCACUUCAUGCACAUUUGUUGGAGUUGGCCAUUCUCGAAUCACCUUGAUAUUAGAAUAAUCCAUCAAAAUGCCAUUCUUUGAAAUAUGAAACCCCAAGAAAAGGAUUUGUGGUAUCAUAAAAUAGCACUUGUCGAGAGCCGCAUACAAUCGUUCCUGUCUCAACACACAUAAUACUUCUUGAAGAUGCUACAAGUGCUCAUCAGUAGACUUACUAAAAAUCAAGAUAUCAUCAAAACAAACCACAAAAAACUUUCCCAAAAAAGACUUCAACACCUGAGUCAUAAACCUCAUGAAUGUCGAUGGUGCAUUCAACAAUCCGAAUGGCAUGACUAGCCACUCAUAUGGCCCAUCUUUCGUUUUGAAUGCUAUCUUCCAUUCAUCUCUGGGUUUGAUUCUAAUUUGAUGAUAUCCAUUCUUCAAAUCCAGCUUCGAGAAUAUAAUUGCACCGGAAAGUUGAUCUAAGAGAUCAUCAAGGUGAGCAAUAGGGAAUUGAUACUUGAUGGUGAUCUUGUUGAUCACUCUACCGUCAACACACAUCCUCCAAGCACCAUUUUUCUUAGGCACUAAAAGAGCUGGAAUGGCACACGGAGUAAGGCUCUCCCUUAUAAAACCCUUAUUCAAUAGCUCCAUAACUUGUUGAUACAAUUCCUCAUGUUCGGUCGAACUCAUUCGGUAACGAGCGAGAGUCGGCAAAGAGGCUCUGGGCAUCAAGUCGAUUUGAUGUUGAAUAUCUCUCAUAGGAGGGAGACCAUUGGGUAAGUCCAUCGAUAAGACAUCCUUGAACUCUUCCAAAAGAGGUUGAACUCGAUGAGGUACGACAAAGGCAACUUCAUUCUUCUCACCUAUUUUAUUAAGCAAAAUAUACAAGAUACGAACUCCUUUCAAAGCAUCAUUCAUAUCCUUCAUUGUAAGCAACGUAGGGGAGAAAGAAUUCUCAACUACAGGAGUUUUCAAAGAUUAUUUACUCAUGACAACCUGAAUUUUCAGAAUUUGUUUUCGAUUAAAUAAAUCGGGCUUUUCGUCGACGCACCUAUAGUGAUAUUCUCUGAGCUGAUCACUCACAAGAUAACUAGACUAUUUGGGGAAGCCAUUAUGGGAUUUUAAUGCAAUAGAUUUGAGAAUUUGACUAGGAAUUGAUUUCUCGAUCGUGUUGAUCUGCAAGAGUCAUUACGACACUGUCGAGAUCGAUUAGAAAUUGGAGAUAGGUUGAUUUGACUGAGAUAUGUUAUCAGAGUGUGGGUGAUUCCACCUAAUUGCAAAAUACUCAUUGAGCGGCACUAGACUAAUUUUUCUAUCGUUUUGGUACCUAAUGCUUGUAAUUGAAACCUCAAGAUUUUCACGACAAUCGAGGGUCGCCAAUGUGUCGAAGAUGUACGUUGUGACUCGAGAUAAAUCGAUCACGAGUCAAUUGCAUCAAAAAUUCAUAAAAGCUACCUGAUAGACUAAGUCACGCUAAAAUCGUAUCGGAUUGAAAUUAACCGCGAAAUUGAACCCGAUUUCAGAAAUUGAAAGUUCUGUCAUAUCAUGAUUUAUUUUGAGAACGUCGAUUCAUUCUCCGAAGAAUUUUCGGGGAUUCCGAGAUUUUUUCGGAAAAUCAAUUCGGACGAUGCGGAAAAAUAACGAAAAUUCAGAUGGGCUAAGUUGAAGGAAAUUUGGAUUUCCAAGCUGAGCCUUUGGUUGUUGGGGACUCGCAGAAAAUUGUACGAGAUUUUUCUUCAACGAAAUCAGACCUCAAAUUGGAGAAAACGGAGAGGAAAUUGAAGUCCAAUUUGAGCGAAAUUCGAAAUUAGGCAAGGGGUUGGAAUUUUGGGCAUCAAAUUAGGUUUUUGUAAGAUUAAUUUACAAGAAAGUAUUAAGGGGGACCAAGAGGGAUAAGAUUGGAGUCUAAGGGGACCAAGCUUUAAUGAAUUGAAGAUAUUUAUCUUGGCUUGCCCCACCCCCCUUUUCCCAAACUUCUCGAGCACAUCUUGACUGCCUUAUCCCCUUCGUGCAUCUAUUUCUGCUUUCCUUCAUUUUUUUCUUCAUUCGAAGUUAGCCCCUUUGAUCCCAUUUCCACUAGCUCGUGUCUUUUUCGCAUCGUCCCAAAAUCCCACCGACUGCAGCCUUCCAUCACCAGCUGAAGCCAUUUGUCCAGCCACCUCCACACUUCAGUCAACCUUACAAUUUCCUCUACCAGUUGUUGACCGCAGCAAUGCGCUUGCACCAUCUUUGGUUGGCCACUCAAUUCCUUGCAAGCUACCAUCCGAGUCUUCUUUCGGCUUAGUCAGCCCUGCAACGCUAGCUAAGCCCAAAGAAUUCCCACGAAGCAGCUCCUUAACCUCACGUCUCUGGCCCACAACAGCAAGCCCAUGAUCACCCUCUCUCCGCUCCGUUUUCUCUACGUCCAUCUCCACGAUCGACCAACCUCCAGCCCAGCAUCUCCAUUGAAAUUUCUGCUUCAUUCCCCAUGUCUUCUUCCCACUCAGUCAAUUUUCCUAGCUUCCUACCAUCGAUUGAAGCCAGUGAAGCCGGCUCUUAGACAAGCCCAGCAAUAGCCCUUGCCGCUUCUUUGUCCGCAGGCCCAAUUCGAGUAGCCACUUGAAGUCCUACAGCAGUUCGGCCCAACAGCCCAUAAUUCCAGCCCAUCUUUAGUUUGGUCAAGCCCAUUUGAAGCCCAAAGUUUCAACCCAAUAGCUUCUCCAAAGUUUAACCCACAAGUCCAGAGGCCUAGCCCAUGAAGCAAGCCCAAUCCAAUUUAGCAACAAGUCUCAGCUUGGGCUGAGAUUUGUUGGGCCAAUUUUAGGCCCGGCCCAAGCCCGUUGAUGGUGCCACAAACUCAAGUUUCAACUGCCGACGCGCCAUCGUCACAAUAUUCUGGUCUUCACAUUAAACCAGUGAGUUUAACUCACUAAUCCUCGCUUAGUAGGUUAAUUAUGCUUAGGGGUUGAUUAGUUUAGGCUAAGAUGGAUUAAGUGGUUAGAUUAUAUUAAAUUAGUGAAUUUAAUUAUUUACCAAUGUAUGUUAGGUGGAUAGCUAGUGCAAUUAGAGCCUAAACAAGCUCUAGUAUUUAACUAAAGUGGUUCGGUAAUUUUUCGGGCCCGUCUCGGCUUCCAAUUAAGCUUUUCCGGGCCUAAGUAUAUUUAUUGGUAUUUAUUUAUUAAUUUCCAUAAUUAAUUAAUUAUUUAUUUAUUUUCCAGAAAUUCAAUCAAGAUAGCCAAUGACCAAAAUUUCGUGCUAAUUUCAGUGGUGCUUUAUGUUUAUUUGAUUGAGUACCGGUUUGUGAAAAUUGAAUGUGAUUAGUGAAUAUGGGGAAAUAUCCCAAAAUUGAUAAAGGUUGGUGUUUGCUGGGAAAAUGACCAUGAGAGAUCGUGAGUUGAACAUAGAAAGCUGCCUAUGGUUGUGCCAGUUGGGCUGAGAUUCGCCACCGAAUUUGGAAUCGGUCAUCCUCAUCGGGUCGUGAUUUGUCACCUGAUAGAGGUUGUGUCCAUCGGGCCAUGAUUUACCACCUGAUAGAUGUUGUGCCCAUUGGGCUGUGAUCUGCCACCUAAUAAAGGUUGUACCUAUUGGGCUGUGAUUACCACUUAAGAUAGGUUGUGUCCUUAGGAUCGCGAAUUAUAGCUGAGAAUUUUAUAGACUCUGCUCGUUGUGCUGUGAUUGAGAAUUGAGAUGGAAUAGUUGAAAUGACUGGAAAGUGAUCCUGCUGACAUGUAAUUGACUGACUCGAUUGAUCGUUAAGUCAAUCUAAUUGAUUGGAUGAUAUGAUUGUCAGUAUCGAUUAUUUGAAUUGACUUGUAGGAAGGAACUGAGGCCAAGGGCUACCUAAGCACAACCACGAGUCAGAGAACUUGCUGAGACGUCGUCUCACCCCAUUGUGAGAUAACAUUUUUAGGUCCUUAGACGGCAGUUGUGGAGAACUUAAAGUCCCAGAGUUUGGGAAGUGAAGGAAAUAAAAUCAGCAAACCCAUCUGACUCGCUAGUCAUAGACUGUCCCUUUUUUAUUAAGCCGAUAUUUUUGUAAACGACCUGAUGUUGUAAAUAAACCUGUGUGUUUAUAAAAAGUUAGUUUUGGUUUGAAAAAUUUAUGGCCCUACUUUUCUAUCCCAUUAUUUUAUUGUCUAGGGAUUUAUUUCUAUGCUUUCGCAUGUGUACUAAAAUCAAUGGGUCGGCGAUGCAUCUUGAGACAUCGCUAUUAUAUCGACCAAGUAGGGAUGGGCACGUGCUCGGAGGGUCGGGACGUGACACUACUAGGUGCCAACGUAAUCUUCUUGCCUCCAAAUUCAAAAUAAUAUGUAUUUUGAUAACCAUCAUGUGUAGUCCUCCUAUCGAAUUGCCAUGGUCGACCAAGAAUAAUGUGACUAGCAUCCAUCGGCAGAACAUCACACCAUAUCUUGUCAUAAUAAACAAAACCAAUGGAUAGAUUAACAAGGUAUCGUUUUGAAAUAGUUAUCUCAGAGCCUUUCUUCAACCACAACAUUUUAUAAGGCAUAAGGUGUGUUUUUAAUUCCAACUUCAGCUUGUUUGCCGCUACUUUAGAAAUUAUAUUCUCACAACAACCAGAGUUAAUAAUUAAUUGACACACCUUUCCCAUGAUUGUGCAAGCAGAAUGAAAAAAUAUUGGUACACAGCCACCUAUCUCCAAUGUCAUCUUGAGGAGUAAAAAAGAAUUUUCCUCACCAUAAGAAGUUCGCUAGUGUCAGCAUGCACUAUUUGUUCAUCAUCCGCAGCUUGUUCAUCAUUGUUCAACUCCUCUUCAAGUGGAUCCUCAGCAUUUUUCAUCAGAAUCAUUAUCCACCAAGAAGGCUUUACUGGCUGGUCAAUUCUUAUUGAUUCGACAAUUGCUAGCAUGAUGACCCAACUCCCCACAAGAAUAACAACGUAUUUUGGACAUAGCAGGUUGCUUCGAAACAUGGGGCUCAGUAGAAGGCUUACUAGCAGAUUGCGUUGUAGCCUCAGCAACUUUAGCAGUGCUAGUGGUACUCUUAGUGGCUCAACUUGUCAUGGUAGUUGAUUGUUGUCUCCGAGAACGAGAGCACUCCAUUUUGAGUGCCCGUUGGUGUGCAUCUCCUAAGUCCCAAAUGUCGAGGACUUCCAAGGUGUCUUGAAUGUAAAAUUGAAGACCAUUCAAGUAUUUGUUCACAAGCACCUCCUUCAAGUCCUGGAUAUUGUUACGAAUCACUAACUCAUUGAAUUCAUUAGUGUAUUGGUCCACCAUUCGCAUACCUUGUUUUAGAUUUUGGUACCGUUGGUAGAGCUCUCUCUUAUAUCCUUUGGGAAGAAAAUAUUUUCGAAUCUUGCCCUCCAUCUUUCUCCACAAAGUGAUUGGUGCUUUGCCAACGGCUUGGCAAGUUUGUUUUUAAUGUCUCCACCAAGCAAUCGCCUUGCCUUGGAAUCGCAUAGCAAUGAUCCCAACUCGACGAUUCUCCGGAACAUUUCGAUGCUCAAACACCUCAUUCACAAAGUGUUAGCCAAUCAACAAUAUCAUCAAGAGACUUAGUACCUGUAAAUUUUGGAACAUCUUUCUUGACUUCCUUUUCCCAAUCUGGCUCAUGAAUAUGUUGUAAACGAUGUUGAACAUGCCUCCGACCGUGAAUAGAUUGAACACUCUCCGAAGAGGAAGAGUCACCAUGGGAAUCUUCAGUCCUAGAAUGGGGUGGAGAAUUAUUUGCUUCAGCCCUCAAACGCUGAACUUCUCGCAUCAAUUCGUCAAUUUGUUGUUGCAUACGUUGUUGCAAAUUCUCAGUGUGUGCACUUCAUCGAGGGGAAUGGUUCUGCCGCCACGAUGCCUAGCUUGUCUUGGAGGCAUUUUCCUCUCCUCCAAAGCUCUAAUACCAAAUGAUGCAAGCCAAGGUUAGGCUUUCUCAAAUAGUAGGAUCGGGAGAGUGACUCGCACACGGGAAACAGGAUGAACAGAAAUUUCAGCACUGCGCAAGUUCAGGAGAACAGUUGUAUCUUUGUCAAUACAGAUCGGAUUGAUCUGAUUCCAAAGCCAAAUGAACAAAGACUUCUGGAUCUACAAUUUCUAUGUUUUGGGUUUUCUGAAAUAAGCACUGUAGGAUGGUCUAAUUUGGGUUGUAAGUGGGUGAAAAUAACAAACAGAACAGGAAAAUAUUGAAACUUUGGCCUCCAAGGAAGUUGAGAGGGCACCGAUUCUUCUAGAUCGAUGACUGCAACUCUUCAAGGAUGCAGAUUUUGAAAAGCUCCGACUCUUCAAGGACGGAGUGAAAACUCUUAUAGGUUUUCAAGAGUAUGAACUCUGCAAGGUUCACGAUACUUGCUCGAAAGCAAAGUUUUCAUUCAUCAAAAGUUGUCUAUCUUGUACAAGGAAUUGGAUGGCUUAUAUCGUCAAAGAAAUAAAGACAGGGCAUUGAAACUUGAAAGCAUUAAAGAACUCUAAAGCUAGAAAAAUAGUAAAGAGUAUAGAAACUAGAAACUAGUAAAAGCAUAACGUCUUCAUGGCUCUCAAGGUGUCUUUCAAGCUUCUGGAAUGGACUCAAGAUAUCGAUACAGCUUCUCGGUAUCGACAACUUCAUCGAACUUCAUAGAAAAUCGACAACUUCAUCGAUAAGAGGUUUCAUCGAGCUUGAAUUCGGGCCGAUCUUCGGUCAAGAGAGCUGGUCUUCAAUGCAGGCUGCAUCAAAAAGUCUGGUAGGAAGAAGGUCCUUCCAACCAGGAAUGGAUGAUGAAAAUAUGGCACAGAUAAUCCAAGCCAUAGUGCAUUUGUAACUUGCGCUUUGUUCAACGGAUUGGAAGAUCGUGUUGUUCACCACAAGCUUGAGCUGGUUGUUUUGUGCCUGUCCCAGAGUUCGGAGCCCCUCUCUUGCGUAAACAGCAGGGCUUCUAAUACCCAAAGGUGUAUCAUCGACAUUGCGUUGUUGUUCACCUCCCUCCCCUCUUGGCUAAAAAAGACAACCUUAGUCUACUGCUUAAAAUGCCAAUACCACUUGAUGAAUUUUGCUGCCCUCUUGCUGACAAUGGAGUUGCAUGAAUACCAGGGCAUUUGAGAUCUCUUUUUUCCAAACUGUUCAUUGUCUUUUACAUCCCAAUAGGGACCCACAUAAUUUCGUAGUUAAUGGAUUUGAAUCCGCUCUCAUUAUAUAUGCUGGUAAGGGGUUUUAAAUCUUCAUUCAACAAGGUCAAGUCCAAAAUAAGUAGUAUCACGUUCUUGCUUUGCAGCUGCUCGACCUUUACAUAUAACACACAGUGAUCAAACUAUGCCCUUAUUUUCGCAUUUUGAAUGCCUAUAAACAAACUAUCUAGAAAUUUUGAACGUAGUUAAUUAUUUGUAGUUGAUAUGCAUUCCCUUUUUUUGACACCGAUAUACAAUGAAGACCAGAGAUCAAAUGCAGGGACGAUUAUGGGGACUGCGAAGCUAACCGUUGUCCUCUCGGAACAUUGACAGACUGUCAAGUCGUUCUCGGUGCAAAACAAUUUGGCUAUAAGCUCCACAAUGUCAGUAACAUAUCACAAAAGUUUCCUGACGCCGUAAUAGAAAAGUUCGUUCUCUGCAUAACGUGAAUCGCCAUUGUAGUGAGUACAAUAUAUGGAUAUGACAGAAAGUAUCUGCAUACAUAAAAAGGAAUAUGAAGGAGACGCAUGAAUGUUUCAAUCCUUCGAUGAGUGAACAACUUUUUGUUUGAGAACGACAAUGAUCUUGCCAUUGUAGUGCUUGAAAUCUCAUCUUUCUUGAAGGAUUCACAUAUCUCUGUGACCUGGUUCGAGAAGAUUGAUAGAUGUAGCCCCAAGAACUUGAAGUCAUCAAGAAAUAGGUUGAGCAUUGAAGGGUCUGUUUGUUAAUGUAUUUAUUUCUCAACAUUUCUGUUAUUUUGUUUCCCGGAACAACAAAAGAACAGAAAUCCACUUAUUAACGUUAGCUAAUUUUUUCUAUUUCCUGGAAUAGAAUAGUGGCUAGAAAAUAGAUUUAUAAUGGAAACAAGAAUUAUAAAAAAAAUUACUUCUUAUUCUCGAAAAUAAUUUCUGGAAUAAGUCAUUUUCUUUUCUUUCCUUCUUCUUCCUCUUCUAAUCGGUCACCAGACCUCAGCGUGGCCAUCGAUUGGCUAGAGACGAGGUCUGGCAAUCUUGUUAGAGCCUCGCCAUGGCUGGCUAAGGUCGAGCUUGGCCAGUGGCUAGGCAAGGCCCAACCUCGCCGGGGGCUAACGAGGCUCCUCCAAGAUCCGUGACCUUGCUGACUCUCAUCUCUACCCUUAAAAAAUCUCAAAAAAUCAUUAAAAAUUUGAAAGAAAUUCUACAUCACCAAAAAAAUUGUAAGGGUCAUACUAAACACAUUUCUAUUUUUUUCUAUUCUAGUAGUAGAAAUUUUGUGUACUUAUCAAACAUGUUCUUUUGUUCAGAAACUAUUACAAAGAAUAGAAAUUUAAAAACAUAUUAUUGAAAAGAAAUUAUUUUCGAAAGUAGAAAUGUUACUAAAUGCACUCGAAGUGAAGUUGAGAGAGAGAGAGAGAGAGAGAGAGAGAGAGAGAGAGAGAGAGAGAGAGAGAGAGAGAGAGAGAGAGAGAGAGAGAGAGAGAGAGUAUCGCUUGCGCUAAUCAUGCCACUGAACAGAAUUGAGCAGCCAUUUAGGCCGACAAUGGUUUGAUUAAAACUGGCUCUUUUGUCGAUUGAUAUUGGCCAUGCUCCGUAUUUUUUGAGGCACUUCUGUUCACUUGGUGAACUCUAAAAACACCUUGAUCAGAUCAUUAAGCGCCCCAAAAGCCUUGGUCCGUUGCGUGUCAGAGGACUUACCAAUUGCACAGAACCCUCUCAACAUGGCCGCUAAACGGAAAAUGUUGUCUGAUUCUUCAAUUUGAGUGAAACGACAAUUUCGUUGAAAUAUAAUACGCGAAAACGACAAGAAUUUAUAAUUUAUGUUAACACAAAAUCACUAAAGAAAUAAAUGAGGAAUAAUAAGGACAUCAUAGAUUUAUUUGGUUCGGUUCAAAUAUCGAUAACUACGUCUAAAAGGAAAGCUAGUAGCAAAUAAUCCAUUAUAAUUGGAUAAUCAGAGUUUACAGUCGCUCACAUACUCAACCGUUUCCCACACCUAGAUUUCAACCUAAAUCCAAAGUGUUUAUAAAUAAACAACUCACUUGACGUAAACUUACAGCACAAAAUCAUCACGUAUUCAAGCUGAAACAAAUGCUCUAUGUACACCAAAAUCAAGACUCCAACAUUCUUCUUUAGCUUUGCAUACAUACAUUGUUAAGUGAAUUGCAAGUGCACAAUAUCUACAAGUAAUAAAGUGAUGAGUGAGUAUCAUUUUCACAAGGAUUGUCACUAAUUAUUCAAUUACUUACCAAAGGUGAUCAAUCCAAAAAUCUAGCUAACCAAGUCAGAAAGGCAAUUAAAAAGUGAACUAAACCAAUUAUAGGAUUGAACUAUAAAAGAGUCGAAACUUAAAGAAUUCGAAAGUUAAUUCAAAUUGUAACAUAAAUCUAAUCUAAAGUUAACUGAAAAUUAACAAGGUAAAUUUCAAGAUUUUAGCCAAUAUCACAAAGCGUUAGAACAUCCAACUUACCUUAACCAGUCAUAAUCCUUGUCAUACAAUAAAUUAAUUUCCAAUUGUGUUGGUGAAAUUUCCCUAAAUUAGAUUACAAGCCGACCUCAGUCUAACAAUCCCUAACUAGGUAUGUUAACCCACACUAACUCUAGGUGAAAAAAAUGGAAAUUAUCCACAAAAUGAAGUUUCUCCUGGAGAUCCUGCCUUUAGAGGACUAGAUAUCACUAUGAAUUAUGAACAAUUGGCAACGGGAGUUACAAUGGUGUCAGAAGCUCUCCCAUUGAAUGAACAGAGAGUUUCUGCUACUCUGGCUUUCUCUCCAAGGGGAGAGGAUGACAAACUAGCUUCUUUUUUAAGAGAGGAAAUCAAGAAAACCAGUAUCCCAGGUCUUCCGUUAUUGGAGAAACUAGAAUCAACAGUCGAGAACGACGUAAGGACUCUUAACAGUGAGAACAUCUUCCAUGCAGCAACUAAUGCUGUAGCCUCAGAAUCUUCCUCUGAAGCCAAGAGCAUCUCUAUGUAGGAUGCUGAUAUCCAACACAAAGGCAAACUUGUUUGUAGUAAUAGAAGAAUCUGUGGAAGUCAUAAGAAAGGUAAAGAAAAGGCAUUAUCCGAUGGAGAUACUAGUGGACGAUUGAUAAAAGAGGAAGACAACAGCCAUGAGAGUGUUGAAAGCUGUAACAGUGCGAGCUUAUCUUCAGUUGGAAGGAAGAGAGGGAGCGUUGAAUCGCAUCUGAUUGGUGGAAACAAACAAGCUAGGUAUGUUCAAAACCAAACUGCUUCAGGCUCUUUUGCUGGACAAGAUAGCUCCAUCAUGAAUUGGAUAUACAUGGUGAAGGGCCUCUCCAAAACAAAUCAAGAUGUGGCAGGCUCUCUCUCACUUGCUCUCACUGGUCCUGGUUCUAAAAAUGAGCAUCUGGAUGGUUCAUUUGUAGGUGGCAGCCAAAACCUGGAUGCUAAUUGUGGGAAUAUGGGUUUUAAAUCCAUUUUUCAAUCUAUCUAUUGUCUGAAUAAAACUGCUCAAGAAUCGAGGGC